rnacentral:lncRNA from 1 species
UUUCGGCAACUCACCUUGGAAGUGUUUACUUCUACAGGAGGCCAAACGUUCAAAACAACUGUGUCUUGGAUUCGGAGGUGCUCAAGUGCUCCCUUGCCAAGGCCCUCGUGCCCUUCUACCCGGUGGCCGGCCGCCUGAAGCUGAACGAUGAGGGACGUAUCGAGAUGGAUUGCAAUGCAGAGGGAGUGCUGUUUGUUGUGGCGGAGACUGCCUCGGUCCUCGAUGAUUUCGGGGACUUUGCGCCGACUCUUGAGUUCCGGAAGCUCGUUCCUGCUGUUGAUUAUUCCGCUGGGAUGUCCUCUUAUCCCCUCUUGGUGGUACAGGUAUUCAGAGAAAGAGAGGAGACAUUUUUUUCACUCCUUUCUUUUAUUUCUCUUGCUCAUAAUAUCAUUCGGGACAAUUCUUGAACCUGAUAUGACUUAAACUUACAAAGUAUGGUUCUGGUUUUACUCUGUUUAUGCAUCAGGUCACAUACUUCAAAUGUGGUGGAGUGUCACUUGGUGUUGGCCUGGAACAUCGUGUAGCAGAUGGCUUUUCUGGUCUCCACUUUGUAAAUACAUGGUCUGAUAUCGCUCGAGGUCUUGACCUUACAAUUCCACCAUUCAUCGACAGGACAUUACUUCGUGCCCGAGACCCACCACAGCCUGCAUUCGAUCACACUGAAUACCAACCUGAUCCACCCAUUAAAACCGGUACAAAAGCUGUAGGUGAUGAGAGCGCAACGGUAUCCAUUUUUAGAUUGACACGGGAGCAGCUCAACAUCUUGAAAGCCAAGUCUAAGGAAGAUGGGAACACAAUCAACUAUACCACAUAUGAGAUGUUGGCAGGUCAUAUUUGGAAAUGCGCAUCCGUGGCACGUGAACUUCCUGAUGAUCAAGAGACCAAACUACAUAUUGCAGUUGAUGGAAGGUCCAGACUGCAACCCCCCCUCCCUCCUGGUUUCUUUGGCAACGUGGUUUUUUCAAGCGCACCAAUUGCUGCAACAGGGGAUCUCAAAUCAGAACCAACAUGGUAUGCUGCAAGCCGUAUUCAUGAUGCUGUUGUGCGUAUGGACAACGAUUAUCUUAGAUCAGCGCUGGACUAUCUUGAACUUCAGCCUGACCUGUUACCCCAUGUUCGCGGAGCUCAUACUUUUAGGUGCCCGAGACUUGCAAUAACUAAUUGGUCUAGGCUGCCGAUCUAUGAUGCUGAUUUCGGUUGGGGUCGACCUACUUUCAUGGGGCCUGGUGGAAUUGGAUAUGAGGGGUUGGCUUUUGUGUUACCAAGUGCAACAAAUGAUGGAAGUUUAUCAGUGGUCAUUUCUCUGCAAUCUCAACGUAUGAAAUCAUUCUCCAAGUUGUUGUAUGAGAUAUAAGGAAAUGAAAUGCGUCGAAUGGGAACAAUACGUUGAACAUACUUCGGGCUUCUAUCUCGUGUCCUCUGAGUUCUGGGACUUCGGAAAGCAGCUGUUUUAGAAAAGUUCAAGUGGUCUUUUGUGGCUAAUAUAUAUUAGAGUAUCUGUUUUAGGAACAUCCUAGUACUGAAUAAGAUUGUCAGAGUAUCUGUAAGCUUUGUUUAAUGCUGUGGAGGACUUCUUUUUCGGAGUAUCUGUAGUUUACUGUGAUUCUUAAUAAGAUUUUCUUUCUCCAUGAAACAAAAACAUACUGAAUCACUUUGGUUGCAUGAAGGUUAGUGCCUUUGGUAAACCUGCACUUCGGUUAUACUUUCAGAAAUUUUGGUUUAAUGCAAGAGCAUUUGUAGCUUUUUUAUUUCUCACUGCGAAAAAAGGAAGAGUUAAUAAUCACACUACAGUCCAAACCUUUUAAAAGAGGUUCCAUGUGGUUUUGUCAGGCUGUGUGGUCGUAUUCUUUUGUCAGCUGGUAUUAUCAUAAAUACUUGAUAUUAUCAUUUGUCCUAGGUGCACCCAUGCACCAUUUGUCCUAUAUGAUGUUCUUAGAUUUUUUAAAAAAUUGAUUAUCAAUUAUACAAGUUAUCAAGUUUUUACUUUUUGAAAAUGCAAUUGCAUAAGGGUUAUGCAAUUAUGCUAUUUUUGUUUGGCAAUUGGUAUAUGAUUGGAUAUGUUAUUUUUCAAUUGAGUUUAUUCUUUUUGACUCACGAUGACUUGCGUAUGAAUUUCACAAUGGUAUUUGUUUACUUUUAUAAAUCUAAAGUUAUCGUUUUAGAAUAUUCUUUUUUUUUUAUGAGAACUGUUUGACUUUUUUUUUCCUUUUGAUUUCGAUAUGUCACUUCAUUGUAGCUUUACUUAAGUUCAUUAUGAGUUGCUGGUUUUAUUUAUAUGAAUUAUGAUGGCUAGUUGUGGUUAAUUCCUCUGUAUUUUAUGCCUAGUUUUUAAAAAUCAAUUGAGGUUGAUAGUUUUAAUUUUUUGUUACUUUUGUUUCAUAGAAUUCGUGAAUGUGCAUCAAUAUUUAUUUGAGAGCUUGAAAGUCUUUAUCCAUCAAAAUUUUUCACCUCGAGUUCUAUCUAUGUAAUUGGUUGAAAUCAAUUUCUAAAAUAAGAACUAUGUUACUUGUUGAACUCUAUGUUACAUGGUUGUACUUUUGUAGACAUCCACGAAGUACUAUAAAUUUAUAUUCUUUUCCUAACAUGGCCGUGUAUUUUACAUUACAUUGUUAUGAUUAAAAUCAAGAAAAACAAGUAGAAAAGUAGAAAAUUUACAAGUUUUCUCGUAGAUUACAAGAUUUUCAGUUGUGUUUACAACGAUAAUGACAUAAUUUUACUCGUCCAAAGUCCAUUCUUACCUUGGUACUAUGUAUCAUUUUCUUUGUAAAUUAGGGUAUUACAAUGUUAUGGAUUAGGGUGGACUAUAAUGUUGUUACAAUUAUUUCAAUUAUUUCACAACAUUUGCAGAUUUUUUCAUGAUUCAUGAGUUAGGGGUUGCUUUGUAUAACUUGUAACCAAAAUCAAUAAAAUUGGGGUAACUUUAUAUAAAUCCAAUUGGCCAAACUGAAAAAAAAAAAAAAAAUAUUUACUUGUAACCAAAUACAAUUUUUUAACAUCUAAACUAUUCUUUUUAUUUUGUUAUUUCUUAAAUGUGAAUAAAUUACUAGAAGGAACUAAAAUACGACUACAUAGUAUAACUCAUUUAUGUAUUUAAUAUCAAUCAAUGAUAAGAUAUUCAACUUUUAAGACAUAAUAUCAAUAAAUAUCCACUUGUAUUAUAAUAAAUAUUAUAUGACAUACUCUGAAGCCACACUAUAAUUACUUCUCAAGAUGACAUAUUAUUAUAUUAAAAAAUAUAUGUAUUCUUGCUUAUUCUAAAAAUAACUUAAAGCAAAUGUCUUAUAACAAAAGAUGACUCAUAGCAUCUUCCAACAAAAAAUUUCCUUAUGAUCCGUCUCCCUUUUUUUGUUCAUAUCUUCGUAAUAUAAUUGGUUCAUGUUCCGAUUAAAAAAAAGUUAAAUAAGAAUAUAUAAUAAUAUAAUACUUAAAUAAUAUAUAUUGCACUUUAUAAUCAAUAUAGAAUACAUAAAUAUGAUAUUUACAUAUAAUAUGUACAAUUUCAACUAAAAUACUCGAAUUUUAUAUAAGUAUGUAACAUAACAAAAUACUAAAUGAGGCAAUGAAGGAGAAGAAAGUGAUUGAGUUACCAUUACCAAUUCCUUAAACUCGUAACUUACAAGUUUUUGUAACAAUUUACAAGGUUUUGCUCUUAGAUUACAACAUUAGGGUUCACCGAAUCCAUAAUGUUGUAAAUCAGCCUUUUGCAAGGAUAUGGAUCCAUAUUACAAGGAAUUGGUAAUGAUGAACCGUAGGGAAGCAAAAUGGGUCCUUAUUCUAGUAAACAAUGGUUUACAACAUUAAGGAUUUGUAUUACGAUGCUUUGGACGCAAGAGUUCCAUAAACUUGUAAAGUGGAUCCGUAAUCUCAUAGAUUACAAUAUUUGGGUUCCCAUUUAUCCGUUUUUGCAAUCUAAUUACAAGUUUAAGGUUCUUCAUAUUCCAUAAUCUUAUAAUACCCAUAGAAAGGAUCCCCAUUACAAGUUUAUGGAAUGUCGAGGUCCAAAACAUUGUAAAAGGGGUCCUUAUUAUUGUAAACCCUUGUGUUUACAAGAAUAAGGACCACAUUUACUUCUCCAAGGUCCACCCUUAUAAUACCUUAACAUUAUAAGAGAGAUCAUUUCUAAUGUAAAUUAUUAUAGUAUUACAAGAUUAUGGAUUAUAAAGAACUUUAAAGUUGUAAUCAUGGUGCAAAAACUUGUAAAUAAGAAUCAAAAUAUUGUAAUCUAUGAGAUUAAGGAUCCAUUUUACAAGUUUAUAGAACACUUAUGUCCAAACCAUUGUAAUACAAGUCCUUAGUGUUAUAAACCGUUGCAUUUACAAGAAUAUGAACCACGUUUACAUUUUCAAGGUCCACCAUUACCUUAACUUUGUAAUAGAGAUCCUUUUAUUGUAAUUUAUGAGAUUACAAAUUUAUGGAUACACGUUACAAGUUUAUGGUACAUGGAGGUCCAAAAUAUUGUAAAAGAGGUCCGUAAUACUAUAAACCCUUGUGUUUACAUGAAUAAGGACCACAUUUACAACGUUGAAGUCUACUCUUACCUUAUCAUUGUAAGAGGGAUCAUUUCAAUUGUAAAUCAGGAUAUUACAACGCUAUGGAUAAGGAAGAACCUCAAACUUGUAAUCAUAGUGCAAAAAAUCAUAAAUGAGAAUCCAAAUAUUGUAAUGUACGAGAUUAAGAAUCUGCGUUACGAGUUUAUGGAGAGCUUACGUCCAAAGCACUGUAAUACGGGUUCUUAAUGUUAUAAACCAUUGCAUUUACAAGAAUAAGUACCAAUUUUACAUCUUCAAGGUCCACCAUUAUCUUAACCAUGUAAUAGAGAUCAUUUCUAUCGUAAUUUAAGAUAUUACAAGUUUAUGGAUACACUUUACAAAUUUAUGGAACAUAGAGGUCCAAAACAUUGUAAAAGAGGUCCUUAAUAUUGUAAACCCUUGUGUUUAUAAGAGUAAGGACCACCUUUACUUCUCCAAAGUCUACUUUUACUUUAUCAUUGUAAGAGGGAUCCUUUCAAUUGUAAAUCAGGAUAUUACAACGCUAGGGAUAAGGAAGAACCUCAAAAUUGUAAUCAUGGUGCAAAAAAUCAUAAAUGAAAACCCAAAUCUUGUAAUGUACGAGAUUAAGGAUCUGCGUUACGAGUUUAUGGAGAGCUUACAUCCAAAGCAUUGUAAUACGAUUCCUUAAUGUUAUAAACCAUUGCAUUUACAAGAAUAAGUACAAAUUUUACAUCUCUAAGGUCCAUAAUUACCUUAACCAUGUAAUAGAGAUCCUUUAUAUUGUAAUUUAUGAUAUUACAAGUUUAUGGAUACGCUUUACAAAUUUAUGGAACAUGGAGGUCCAAAACAUUGUAAAAGAGGUCCUUAAUACUGUAAACCCUUGUGUUUAUAAGAAUAAGCACCAAAUUUAUUCCACCAAUGUCCACUCUUACUCUCUUCUUAUACAAGGGUUCCUUGUUGUUGCAAAUUAUGGUAUUACGAGAUUAAGGAUGGCUUUUACAAUGUAAUGGAACGACUAUGUCCAUUUUAGUAUAAUACGAAUCCUUAAUGUUGUAACCACCACCUUGUUUACAAGGAUAAUGACUCAACUUACUACUCCAAGGUUCAUUCUUACCUUAACAUUGUUUUGGGGGUCAUUACGAGUUUUGUAAAUUACGAUAUUACAAGAUUAAGGAUCUCUUUUAUAACUUUAUGGAACCUCUCUAUCCAUAACAAUAUAACGGAAGUCCUAUAUAUUGUAAACUCCUUUGUUUACAAUGACAAGGACCAAAUUUAUUCCACCAAGGUCCACUCUUACCCUAUUCUUAUACAAGUAUAAGGACCCAAUUUACUUUCCUAAUGCCCCAAGUUACCUUAAUAUUGUACUAUAUGUCUUUAUCUUUGUAAAUUACGAUAUUUCAAUAUUAAGGAUGGGUUUUAUACUUUUAUGGAACACACCUGUUUAAUAUAAAGUUGUAAAUGUUUGUGUUUAUAAGUAUAAGGACCCAAUUUACCUUCCGAAUGUUCCAUUUUACUGUUUGUCAAUUGCAAUUUUGAACUUACUAUUUGUCAAUUGCAUUAUUCAAUUUCAAUUUUCCACUAACUGUUUGUCAAUUGCAUAUGAGUCCUUACUAUUGUAAACCCUUUGGUUUACAAGGAUAAGGACCUAAUUUACUUCUCUAAUAUCUCUCAUUCCCUUUAUAAAUUUAUUUUAUUAAUUUUAGUAUCUUUUAAAUACAUGUUUACAACAUAUUUACAAAGGCCAAAAAUCGCAUUUUUUUUACCCAAAAAAAACUUAUUCACUUUGGGGUUACAAAAGCAUUAGGAAUGGGAAGUGAAAUCAUGUGGAAAACGAAGUCAAAAGUGAAGCAAAUAGGGUAAUUGAUGGUAACACACACACACACACACACACACAAAAAACAAACAAAUAGGGUAGGGUAAUUGAUGGUAACACACACACACACACACACACACACACACAUAUAUAUAUAUAUAUCAACAAACAAACAAAUAGGGUAAUUGAUGGUAACACACACACACACACACACAUAUAUAUAUAUAUAUAUAUAUCAACAAACAAACAAAUAGGGUAAUUGAUGGUAACACACACACACACACACACAUAUAUAUAUAUAUCAACAAACAAACAAAUAGGGUAAUUGAUGGUAACACACACACAUAUAUAUAUAUAUCAAUGGAAAUUGCCAAACAAGAGACAAAUUUCCCAUCGUCAUUUAAAAGUGAGAUCCGACUUAACAAAAAAGAGCUUAACAAUAAAAGUUAAUAGGGUUAUUCACAGCAAUGGUCCCUCAACUAUACCCGUAGUUACAUUUGGGUCAUUGAACUCAAUUAUUAGCUGUAGACGUCACUGAAUUAGGUGUUGUGUUGCACCAUUAGUCUUUCCGUCAAAUUUUGUUAAAUUUUUUGUCAAAAGUAAGGAUAAAUUUGGAAAUUCAUCAACAACCUUCUCCUUCCUCCACAACCCUCCAUUGCCGCAACCCAAUCCUUGCCGACACCAAAAAAUUCAAUUAAAAAGAUGCCGCACAGCACCAAGAAUAUUUUCAAAUAUUUAUAAUAAAUACCUUCAGAUCAGCAAACAAAUUCAAGAUCUCGCAUUUUAAGCCGCUUACGAGAACCCAAGUCACGUUCUUGUCCCAAUUCAGUACUCACAUGUUUUUCCCCAACAAUCUAAAACAACCCAAAAAAUAAGCAGGAAAAAGAACCAAACUUUGAAUCCGAUCUGGGUAUCGAAACCAACCUUUCUCCUAAAUCACAUCGGUCUUCCAUAAUCUUCGAACCCAAUUCAAAUACACCAAUUUAAAACCCAACCCUUUUGCAAGAGCCACUAAAUUUGACUCAUGGGUGCUAAAAUUUGUAGACUUUUGAAAUAAAAAUGAAAAAGGGUAAGUGUUGAAAUGAUGAAUCUUUGGACCUCCCCGAAGGAGCAAACAAGAAUGGAAGGGUGAACCAUAGGUUUGACACAAGAGGAAUCUUUCGUAGACUCGGUUCGCCAUCAAUUUGCAAACCAUCUAGAGGUUGAGAGGGAAGAAGGGUUGGUGGGUUAGUGUUUUGAAGUUUUGUGUAGUAGACCUGUGGGAAUUUUUAUGAUUUGAUAUUCAAUUUGAAUUUCCAAAUUUACAAAUUUACAAAUUUUGAAGUUGUGGAAGAUAGAGAGGGUUGUGGAUGAAUUUUCGAAUUUACCCUCACUUUUAACAGAAAAUUUAAAAAAACUUGACGAAAAGACUAUUGAUGUAACAAAACACAUAUUUGAGUGACCUCUGCAACUAAUAAUUAAGUUCAGUGACUCAAAUCUAACUACGAAUAUAGUUGAAAAACUAUUGCUGCGAAUAACCUAAGUUAAUAUGUGACAAUCUAAUGCUUUGUACCUUUAUUUAUGUGAAUCUGUAUGACCUAAUACUUUGUAUUAACUUGUAUUUAUUUUACCCUUAAUCAAUUCAAAUGUUUAUUUUGGAAAAUAAACUUGUCCAACUGCAUAGUUCAAUUUUCUUUUGUAUUUUCAUAAUAAACAUAUAAAGCAAAUAGGACUACUUUGAUUGUCAAUUGCACGACUGGAAUGCAAAUGGCACAACUUGUUUGUCAAUUUCAUUAACAAAUCACAUAUUGUAUUUAUAUUUUCAAUUAAUUGUGCAUAGAUAAUGGCAAUUGUGCGAUUGGAAUGCAAAUGAGACUGCUUUGUUUAUCAAUAACAUGGCUGGAAUGCACAUGACAUUACCUGUUUGUCAAUUGCAUUGACAAACCACAUAUUGUAUUUACAUUCUAACAAUAUGCAAAUUGAAAAGGCUACCAAUAACAUGACAAUAUGCAUACACUAAUUGUAAAAACGGACUAACCAGUUGCUAAUUGGAUUCAAAAAUGACAUACCGAAGUACCUAUUGCAUUUUCAUUACAAAAAUGCAAGGCAACAAAUAUAAUGUCGCUAAUUGCAAUAACAGACUAGUCAGUUGGUAAUAGCAUUCUGAAAAUGCAAAAAGGUUGCCAAUUGUAUGCUCAGUUAUGUACACCAACUGCCAAAAACCCCUUACAAUUUGGUAAUUACACGCCUGAAUACCAUAUCAAACUUCAAUAUAAUACAACAAUUCCGAUGAAGAUGAACUCAAUGUCAGAGCUCAUAAUAUCAUUACAAUUAAGAAAUUCUACCUAAUGCUUUUCAAAUGAGUCACAAAAAUUUCAACAUCAACAAUAUGCCUAACAUGAAAAUAUAUAUAUAUAUAUAUACUGAAAUUAAUCAUAUUGGGUGUUUUGUCUGCCAAAAAAAAAAAAAAAACUCAAAUCACAAUGGGUUUCUUUUCAGCAAAAAAAAACUCACAUCCACAUCUCGACCACAAUGCCAAGCUAAAUAAAAAAACAGAUAGUACAAAAAGAAUAGUAUGACUGAAAAAGAAAAUUAAAGCUUCGUAACCAAAAGGUGCAAAGAAAUAAUUAAAUUGCUAAAUAAUUAUAUAAAGCAACAAACUGAAAUCUCACAUCCAAUACAAAUAAAUAUUCGGCACUACAAAAAUGUUAAUAAGAUAGGGAAAUAAACCAAAUGAUCUAAUAUCCAGUAAGUCACUUGGAAGCUCGACUUUCCUUGAUGAGCCUAAGAUUGCCUUUUUGGUAUGAGCCACAGUAAUCACAUCAAGUUGCUAAAAUGUAAAUGUAUGAAUUAAAGAGUUAAUUAAUGCACAUGGAACUAAGACUAAGCAGAAUUCAGAUAAUAGAUGAUGCCUUAAAUAAUCUCUAAUGUUUAAUAACAUAUAUAAUGAUGAAAAUUUAAAACUCACAUACAUGAAGGGUAGACAAUCCUAGGAUAGUAAGCAUGAGAGAGGAGGUAAUAAACAGGGCUUCCUAUGUAGAUGCACACAUGAUGAAUGAAAAUCAAGCAAUUCAUAGAAAAUUACAGCACUCUUUCUGCAGGACAACACCAAGUGAACAUCCAAUUGUCAGUUAGUAAGAGAAAGCACAAGGGCAGCAAAAAAUUAGUGAGACUAAAAGGAAACUAAAGAAACUAACAGAGGCUUUUAUUGUUUGGUUGUUAGGUAGCUUUCAUUAAAACCCCAAAAAAGAGGCAACCUUCACACGCAUUUAGUAGAAUACUGACAAGAAGAAGAAAAAAAUCAAUCAUAACAAGCUUCCAAAGAUGAUAUUCAUAAAUCAAUGGGGAUGCAGAAGGAUGAGAAAUCCUCACACCCCCCAUCCCACACGACCAAGACUACAAACAAAAGCAAAAAAACCACAUAAAAAAGAAGAAUCCGGGCUAAACAAAGCAACAUUCCAGAGCCCAGGAAAAAAAAAAAAAGAGUCUUAAGAAUGACAUCAUAGCACAUUCAGGAAUCCGAAUAUGAAAAUAAGAUGCAACUUGUAAACACAAGAACCAACUCAGAAAAAUUAAAAAAAAAUCAAUUGGAAAAGAAAAAAAAAACCAAAAAAUGAUGAAUGCAGCAGUAAACUCAAAAUUAAACUAACAUUACCAAAUCUACAUCUAGUUCAACACUAAUAUGAAAUCCUCACCUUGUCUCCAAAUUAAUGGUUCAAAUACAAAUUAAAAAGUUGAAAACAUGCAGAGACCAUAGCCCAAUAUUAAAACCUAAAACUUACAAUAUAAAUUAGAAAACUCAAACCUUGAAUAAUUAAAAUUAUCUUGGGAGAUAGAGGGCAGGGAUCGAGCUAAAUGAGGGUUUCAAUUGGGGAUGAGAUUGUUGGUAUGGGUUUGGUUUUGAAACGAAGCCUGGGAAGGAGAUUGAGAGACCAUGAGAUGUAGAGAUGAGAGAGACAAUUAGGGAGAAGAAAGAGAGAGAUACCUGAGAGGAGAGGAGUUGUGUUCGUCGCGCUGUCUCGUCGUCACAGGAGGAGGAGAGGAGCGAUUUUGGAAGGAGUCGAACUGGAAGAGAGAGAAAAGAGAAACCCAAUGCUAAGAGGAGAGGAGUUGUGUUCGUCGCGCUGUCUCGUCGUCACAGGAGGAGGAGAGGAGCGAUUUUGGAAGGAGUCGAACUGGAAGAGAGAGAAAAAAACCCAAUGCUACUGAAGGAGAGUUUUUGUUUUUGUUUUCUUUUUUCCUACAACAACCGAUUUAUCCGGUAACUAACUCAACGGUGUGGAUAACUCCACAUCACCAACUACUCAUCCAAUGGUCUGUAACAAUGGGCGCAUCCAUACGCCAAGCCCACUGUAGAAUUUUCCCUGAAAUUAAUCCUCGGUGAAGACAUAGUGGAACAGUUUCAAACCACGAACUAUUUUGUUUUCUUCUUAUAAUUAUUGAAGGAAUAUGAUUUCCUCACUCUCUUGGUUUUCUCCCCUUACACUUUUUAAUCAAUUUUCUUCUUUCUCUUUUCUAUUUUAUCUUUACUCUACGUUAAUUUUUUUAUAUUUCAUUUUUAUAUUAGUUCUUUACAUUUCAUUUUUAUAUUAGUUCUUUUUCUUUAUAUUUAAUUUUCCAACUUACACUCAAUUUUCAGUAUUUUUUUUCCUUUAAUCGAGUAAGAAAUUAAGUUUUUUUCUUUCUUUAAUACUAAAAAUAGAGUGUAAGUUUGAAAAUUUAAAUAUAAAGAAAAAGAAAUAAUAUAGAAGUGAAGUAAAAAGGAAAAAAAGAAAUAAUAUAAAAGUGAAGUAAAAAUAAAUUAAUGUAAGGUAAGGAUAGAAUAGGAAAGAGAAAGAACAAAAUUGAUUAAAAAGUAUUAAAAAGCAAAAGAGAGUGUAAGUGGAGAAAAAGAGAGUAGGAAAAUCAACUCCCUUAUUAAAAAGAUACCCUCUAAUGCAUUGAGGGCAGGGACAAUUCGACAGUAGUCUUUAUUUGACAAUGCUAUGGAGCAUCUUCAACACGGAAAAGAAAAACAAACAUAAUUCUCUACUUCAACAAAAUUAUUGCAAGCACACAAUCCUCACAAGUAAUAUAAAAAUUAGUAAAGUGUUGUUCCCACGAAGACUGUAAUCUCCUAUUAACUAUCAAUUAUGAUUAAUUCAAAAGUUUAUUUGAAUAGUUGAUUAAGAAGAUUGAUUGAUUUAAGUAAACUAAAACAAUUGUGAAAAAUAGCAAUUUAAUUAAUGAUGAAAAAUCAAGUUGAUGUGACACUAGAUCAUCCGAUUUCACCAUAACCAAUUCAACUUAAUUCUUAUAGUCAAUUAACCCUAAUUACUAUCCAUGUUGACAAUUGGUUUAUCCUAAAUCAUUUGAUAUACCCUCUCGAGCUCAACCAAAAGUAUUCUUAAUUAACAACCUAUUCUCUCUUGAGCAACGAAUUUAGAAAAUCAAGAACCUAUUAAGUUCAAUGAGAACUUGCAAGAAAGCUGCAUGAGUCAUGUUAGUCCCUCUCGGGCACUCAUUCAAGACAUCACUACUACAAAAAAGCAAAAAGACGACGGUAAAUCACCGUCGUGUAUUCGAUUUUUCAAUGGUCGUGGAAUCCACCGUCAUCUUUUCCCUCAUAUACCACGACGCUAAAUCACCGUCGUUGUUAAAAUAUAUAACGUCAUCAACAAAUACAAAACGACGUCUUUGUACUGCAAAAAGAUCUAAAAAAGCAGUCGAGGAUGAGAAUAGACGACCAAUUCUCUAAAAAAACCGUCGUUAAAAAGGAAAAAUAUGACACAUAUUAAGAGAACAAGGCCGCAAGAUAGACAUACAACGACGGAAAUAAAAAAACGACGCCGUUAAAUAUCAUUUUCACGACAAUAAAAAAUUUGACGUCUUUAAAUACAUUAGAAGACGACGUUAUUGAUACCUACUACGUCGCAUAUAUAAAAACAGCCGUCGUAAAAUUAAUUUUCCACUUCGAUUUUUCGAUAAAAGAUGACGUGGAAAUAGUUGUCAGUGUCAUUAUUUACGACGUAUGUAUUUAUUGAGUAGACGUUGAAAAACGAAACAACGUCGGUUACAAAUAUAUGAGAGUCGUAUUACAAAAUUUAUACGUCAUAUUUUCAGAAACAAACAACGACGAUAAAUAUUAGACGUUGUUAAAUAAAACAACGUCGGAAAACAAUAAAAACAGACGUGUUUAGUCUGCUAAAGUUCUAGAAAAUAGUCGAGGAUGAGAAUAGACGACCAACUCAAACAACUCACCGUCGUUAAAAAGGAAAAAUAUGACACAUGUUAAAAGAACAAGGCCGCAAGAUAUACAUACAACGACGACAACUAAAAUACUACGCCGUUAAAUAUAAUUUACACGACAAGAAAAAAUAUGACGUCUUUAAAUACAUGAGAAGACGACGUUAUUGAAAUAUACUACGUCUCUUAUUUACAAACAACCGUCGUGAAAUAAAUUUUCCACUUCGAUUUUUCUAAAAAAGAUGACGUGGAAAUAGUUGUCAGUGUCAUUAUUUACGACGUAUGUAUUUAUACAGUUGACGUUGAAAUGCGAAACAACGUCGGUGGCAUUUAUAUAGUCGACGUUGUAUUUAUAUCUAUCAUCAUUACUCACGACGCACUUAAUAAUAUAGACGACGUUGAACUUCUAAACAACGUCGGUUCCAAAUAAAUGAGAGCCGUAUUACAGAACAUAUAGACGGCGUUGAUUAUGAUGAGAGCCGUAUUACAAAUAACGUCGUUUAAUUGUUAUUAGACGGCGGUUAUAAUGAAUUUCCGUCGGAAUUCAUUUCGUUCCUCUUCGUUUAUAAAAGAACUUGCGACGUGGAAAAUGUAUGAUGACGUCGUAUUUUUUAACGUUCAGAUUAUAUAUCUCGUUUUUUAGACGUCGGUAUUAUGGGAUUGGAGUCGUGUUAUUUUGAAUUACAUGGCGGUUCUUAAUCCUUCCCCGACGUGAUAUCCUGAAUAAUUGCUUCACAAUUGCGUCGUGGUUCUUCAUUGUUACGUUGCUUUAAGACGUCGGUAAAUAUGCUGAAUAACUGGUUCACAAUAACGUCGUGUUUUAUUUGAAGUAGAAAGUGAAGAAAUCACAUUACAAUAUAUUACAAAAUUAAUGUCAUACACUGCCAAUUACAUAAGCAUCAUUCAAUCCAUAUAUCUUCACACCCAUCUCGAAUAUUUUGACCGCCUAACUCACCCACCAGUUCAUCAAAUGUGUCAACAUUUGGCAUCCCUCUAGUAAAUGGCUCACACUCAAUUAUCACAUCACCUAAGACUUCAUCACCAAUAACAUCAUUAUAUUCUCUAUUAGGCAUUGAUAACACUACCGACCAACCACGAUGCAUCGGGUCGUCAACAAAAAAUAUUUGUUUGACUUGAGAAGCCAAAAGAAAUUGGUCAUUCCUAUGUCCAAUUUUACUCAAAUCUACAAGGGUAAAUCCAAGUUCGUCGACUACAAGACCAGAACUAUCUAUCCAAUCACACCUAAAGACUGGGAUUGUAAACUUUUGGUAGUCAAGGUCCCAAAUUUCUUGAAUGACACCAUAGAAACCCAUAUUUGAGAGAAUUGGGUUUUUAUCCUUGGCACUAGCAACUUGCAUGGUAUGUGCAAGUAAAUAAACUCCACUAUUUUGAGUUGUCCGCACAUCAUCUUGUGCCUUGAUAUUGAAUUUAAUACCUUUAAUAAGAUAGCUCCUAUAUAAUGGCACUGACAUGUUUGGACCAGCUGCUAGCCACCUUAAAUUUUCUGAUACGCCAUGAUUGUCUUCCUCAAGUUCACUUUGAACCUGCAAAUUAAUCAUAUCUUAAUUCAAUCUAACAUAUAAAUAAGAAGAAAAUUAAAAGAGAAAUAUGUUAUUCAACAAUAUAUACCUUGAAGCGUAGCCAUUGAAUGAAAGUGCUAUUGUGCUUAUCCUGCAGCCACUUUGUUCUCUUUCUAAAUUUUGGAUAAGCAGUCUUGAUGUGAAUCAUAUGUUGCCUACAUGACACGAAAAAUUCAAGCAUUACGGUCCUAAAUAUAGAAGAUAAACAUAAGAAAUAAUUUAAAAUGGAAACUUAAAGAAUAAAGCUCAUACGUACUCGAUAUAAGGUAGGACUUCCUCCGUAUUCUCCAAGACAUAUAGAUGUGCUUGAUUCAACAGGUCCUGAUCAACUACGCUCACUGUGCAACCUGAUAAUGGCUUUGAAAGUCCCAUCUUUUGGCUUGAAGGCACUCCAACUGUACUAACAUCAGAUAAAUGCUGAGUACAACACUCUACCGCUUCUUCAGCUAUAUACCGCUCAGCAAUGCAACCUUCGGGACGAGUACGAUUCUGAACAUACCCCGUCAGCACUUUCAUAUAUCUUUCAAACGGAUACAUCCACCUAAAAUAUACUGGCCCACAUAGACGAACUUCUCUGACAAGAUGUACUACUAGAUGAACCAUGAUAUCAAAGAAUGAAGGGGGAAAGUACUUCUCAAGCAAACACAGAGUAACUACUACAUCUUCUUCCAACUUAUCUAGCUUGGAAACAUCAACAGUCUUUGCACAUACAGCAUUGAAGAAGAAGCACAAACGAGUUAUUGCAUACCUUGCAGGCUUCUCCAAAACAGAACGAAUUGCCACAGGGAGCAAUUGUUGCAUUAAGGUAUGACAAUCAUGUGAUUUAAGGCCAAGAAGUCUUGAAUCUUGUAAAGAUACAAGAUUUUUAAUAUUUGAAGAAUAACCUUCAGGGACCUUCAUACCAUAGAAAGAAUUGCAAACCUCUCUCUUCUCUGCUCUUGACAAAUUCCAAGGCCCAUGAGGCAAACGAGUACGUCUUUCUCCAUACUCGGGUUGCAAAUCAGUUUUGACCCCCAUGUUCAAUAAAUCUAAUCGAGCAGCAAUCCCAUCUUUAUUUUUUCCAGGGAUCUCCAGCAAUGUACCAAUGAUACUAUCGCAAACAUUCUUCUCAAUGUGCAUAACAUCUAGGGCAUGCCUCACAGGAAGGUAUUUCCAAUACUCGAGAUCAAAGAAUAUUGAUUUCUUCUUCCAACAAACUCUGUCACCAUUUUCAACCAUAUGCAGCACUUCUUCUCCGGUUAAUGGCUCGGGAGGUAUGCCAUAUUCAGGUUUCCCAUUAAAAGCUGCACGUUGCCUCCUAUAUGGAUGAUUGAUUGGUAACCAUUUUCUAUGCCCAAUGUAACAAAUUUUGUGGCCAUUUUUCAACCUGUGACUAGGUGUAUCAUCGCCGCAUAUUGGACAAGCUUUAUAUCCUUUAACAACACAACCAGAUAAGUUUCCAUAGGCGGGGAAAUCAUUAAUUGUCCACAUUAAUGCAGCUCUGAGUGUAAAGUAUUCUCCAUUAUGUGCAUCAUACACUCCUCUAAUCCCAUCCCACAAAGAUUUUAAAUCAUCAAUCAAAGGCUCCAAGUAGACGUCUAUAUCAUUUCCGGGUUGUUUAGGACCGGAAAUCAAUAAGGUUAACAUCAUGAACUUUCGUUUCAUGCACAGCCAUGGAGGGAGAUUAUAUGUAACUAAGAUAACCGGCCAACAACUAUAUCUGCUACUUAGAGAACUGUGGGGAUUGAAUCCAUCAGAUGAAAGAGCCAAUCUCAAGUUUCUCGGCUCAUUACCAAACUCAGGCCAUUUAUCAUCAAGAAGUUUCCAAGACGGGGAAUCCGCCGGAUGAGACAUCUGACCGUCAAUUGAUUUUCUAGCAGCAUGCCAAGUCAAACUCUUAGCUGUCUCAUGUGAUUGAAACAUCCUUUUAAACCUUGGAAUUGGAGGAAAAUACCACAGCACCUUCGCUGGCACACCCUCUUUCAAGAUUGAAUCUUUGCCUUCCUUCCACCUUGAGAUACCACAAGUAGGACAAUUAGUUGAAUCCUCAUACUCCUUCCUAUACAAGAUGCAAUCAUUGGGGCAUGCGUGCAUUUUCUCAUAACUCAGCCCCAAUGCACACAAAGUCUUUUUAGCCUCAUACAUGGAGGUUGGUAUUGUAUUUCCUUCUGGAAGCAAAUCGCCUUGAAGUAUCAAUAAUUCUGUAAAACAGACAUCACUCAUCCCAUGUUUUGCCUUCAAAUUAUACAACUUCACUAAUGCCGAUAACUUCGUGUACUUUCUACAACCAGGGUACACUGGUUGAUCUCCAUCCCCAAUCACAUUGGCAAACUCAUACGGAUCCGAACCAAAAUCACCAAAAUCAUUAUCAUCCAUAUCAAUUUGUUCAGACACAAAACUGUACCUACUAUGGCCAUCAUCUUCUUCAACAUUUCUACUAGCAUUAGUAGUUGCUUCCCAAGGUUCUCCGUGAAAUGUCCAAUUCUUAUAGCUUUGGUCAAUUCCAUUAAAGUAUAAGUGAUCCCUUAUAAUUCCAACCCCAAACAACUUCAAAUUAACACAUUUAACACAUGGACAACGGAUAUGUGUUGUAGUUAGAAGAUUUUCUACAGCAAAGUUCAAAAAUGCUUCCACCCCAAAUUCAUAUGCCUUCGAUCUUCUAUCCGAGUGCAUCCAUGACUUAUCCAUCUCCGACACUAUAACCUAUUAUCUAUAAUAAAGUGAAAAUACAGGCAAUGACCAUCACUAUAGCAGAUUAUACAAUGAUCUAAUCGCAAGUAAUACACAACAGAGACGACGGGUUUUAAACAAAAACAGACGUAUUUGGCAUAUAUAGACGACAGAUUUUCAACAGACGUCGUCUAUUAUAAGUAAUACAAACGACGGUUUAUGAAAAAACCGUCGUGUAUAAGUAAUACAACGACGGUAGUUUAAAAAAACCGUCGUGUAAUCGUCGUCGUAAGCCUUAAAAUUCGUCGUGUCUCAGUUUAUUUUCAAGAACACAAAACCCAUUAAGAACACAACAUAUAUAUGAAACCAAGCAAGAAACCAACAUAUACAUGAAACCAAGGAUGAAAACAAUAAAUCCAUUCCCAAUUCAACAUAACAGAUAAUGUAAUCCAUGAACCCAUUAAACAGAAAAUCCAUGAACCCAUACCUAUAAGCACAUUAUUAACAGAUCGCAAAGCAUACACAUAAAACCCUUUAACAAAACAACCUAAACAACCUAAUAUCAUUCAAUGAAUUUACAAGGGGAAGAUAGGGUUUGUACUUACAGGUUGGACGAGCUCACAGAUUCGACGGAGCCUGGAGAGUGCAACUUUACAAGGGGAAGAUANNNNNNNNNNNNNNNNNNNNNNNNNNNNNNNNNNNNNNNNNNNNNNNNNNNNNNNNNNNNNNNNNNNNNNNNNNNNNNNNNNNNNNNNNNNNNNNNNNNNCCUGGAGAGUGCAACUUUUAAUAGAGCAGAAGUGAGAGAGCGAAAUGUUAUGUUGCGCGAAAUCUGAAAAUUUUAGGGUUCAGGGUUAGAAGUAUAAGAAUAAGAGCCAAAUAUAAAAAAAUUUAGGGCGCGCGAAAAUUUUUAGAGCGCGCGCUCUUUAAAACGUCGAAAGAAAAACCAUGGCGAAAGUUCUACAAGAACCGACGUAAAUGUAAUAUUCCACGACGGAAACACUGAACGUAACGCCGUUUAUUUUGACGCUUCAUUUUUCGGAUUAAUUUUAAAUUUAUUUUGAAUAUUUUGAUAUAAAGACGACUGAAAAACCACGUCGGGGUUAAGAAAUUGAAAACGUUGUAAAUUAUAAUAGACGACUUACAUAUUAAAAUGACGUCGUUUAAAGUAGAAACCAUGUCGGAUAUUUUACUGCACGACGUAACAUAUGUAUUCCACGACUCAACCACCGUCGUUAACAAUUAAUACCCCAAACCCUUAAAACUAAAUUAUAUAAUUUUAAAAAUUAAGUUUAUAAAAGGGUUUAUGGUUUUACAGCCUAAUAUAUACCCUAAACUACCCAAAAAUUAUACUUUAAAAAUAAACCCCAAUAAAUAACAACCCUAAUCUCUAAACCCUAGACUCUAAACCCUAAACCAUAAAACUAGAAGUGAUUUUAUGACUCAUCAAAACAAUUUUGUUUUGGAUGGUCAUUUUAAAUUUUUGUUAUUCAAAAUGAAUUUUUUCAAGGUUUAGGGGGAAGAAAAUAUAUCAAUGACUUCAUUGGAGUUGACUUUGCAUUUUUCUGAUUUAUUUUAAAUUUAUUUUGAAUAUUUUGAUAUAAAAAUAAUAAAAUAUUCUUAUCACAACAACAAACCACGUCGGUGUUAAUAAAUUGUAGACGUUGAAAAUUGUAAUAGACGACUAAGUUGUUAAAAUGACGUCGUUUAAAUGAGAAACCAUGGCUGAUAUUUAACUAUCCGACGUAAAAUAUAUAUUCCACGACCUAACCGCUGUCGUUACAAAGUACUACCCUGAACCCUUAAGAAAUUGAAGACGUUGUAAACCAUAAACGACUCAAUUGUUCAAAGAACGUCGUCUAAAUAUCCUUUUACGUCGAAUUUGUUUAAAACGAAACAACAAAAAAGGACGGCUUUUGACUUUAUUACGUCGUUGGAAAAGUAUUACACGUCGGUUACGCAAUUUGUAUGUUUGUUUUUUUUUUAAUUUAAGAAAACCUCAACAAAUUUUUACAUUAUAUAUUAUAGACAAAAUUUGUACAUUAUACAUAAAUAUCAAGUGUUCAAUAAUUGCCCUGUUUAAUAAUUUGGAAAACAAACUCUGCCCAUUCAUUCCGGACUUCAUCAAUGGCUUCUUGGGGGUAUGAAACUUCCUAGUUUCCCUUGGCAUACUGCAUAAACAAUGACUAUUAGGGUUUAUAAAUAAAAAGAAAUUCAAUCACAUAUUUUUCAUAACCGACGUAGUAUAUCCAUUCAACGACGUUAAUUUUACAUGACCGUCGUUGAUAAUACAAAAAACGACGUGAAAUGUAUGAAGGUAAUUUCUUCUUACCUUAUUCUCAAACCCCAAGGAAGGAUCCAUGAUGAUGUCCCUCAUGAAGCGCAUCACAUAAUACCCGCAUUCGACAUUGCUGGGUUGCUUUGGUGUGCCUGAGAGAGUUUUCCAAAUUACAUUUUUACGUCCUGCUCGGGCUAUGUGGGUAUUAUAUAUUUUUAAAGCACUGUUCACGAUGUUUUUCGCCUCUUCGUCGACCACACGAUGACCUGACAGAGGAUCCAGAAAAUAGACGGUCUCCUUCUUUGCUCUUACAAUCAGCAAGAUCCAAUGAAGGCUGCACAAAAUUAAUAUAAAAACGACGGUUAUUUACAAAAACGACGUAUUAUAGUAUUUCACACGACGAAAUAAAGUAGAUAACGACGACAUUAUAUAUUUAUCACGACGAUAAAUAAAUACCGACGUGGUUAGUAGUUUCAAACGACUAAAUAAAAUAAAACACCGACGUGGUUAGUUUAUAAGCUGUCAUUUAUUGAAAAUCAUAAAAACAAAAUCCUAAGGAGACUAACCCUGGAUUGUAAGGCAUCAUGAAAAUAUGUUCACCGUCUGUCUUCUGAAGUCGAGCUGCUACCAGUCGUGAUCUUUCAGUUAUUGUGCCAGAGUUGGCACUAACUGUAGCAGGGUCGAUAAAGCCAACCAUGCUGCACAUAUUGGCUUGUUUCAAAACAUCGUGUAAGUACCUAAAUACAUAAAAUAAUAUAAACAAGUCAGCACAAAAAAACACGACGGUUAUGUAUAAAAAAACGACGUAUUAUAAUAUUUCACACGACGUACUGAAAUAGAUGAGGACGUUAUAAUGUAUUUAUCACGACGGUAGUUAGUUAAGACGACGUGGUUAGUUAGUUAAGACGACUCAAUAUAUAAACCAACGAGGUAUUAUUUUAGAAGUACAAACCUCAUAUAUACAGCCAAUACAGUAGCUCCAAUUUCUUCCAUGCCUGCAAAUUGUGUAAUAUCUUCAGGCAGGAGGAAGGUAUCGCGCUCACCACCAAACACCUCCUUAUCAAUUGUAAAUUGGAGUGUCUUAUCCUCAGGCAGGAGUGUCGUUUCCACAAAACGACAAAGAGUUUUUAAAGAAGAUGGUGCCUCCAUAUUUGAAUAAGCACCAACUUCAAUAACCUGUUUAAAGAAAUAAAAAAAAUGAUGUGGUAAUUCAAUAAAGACGACGGUUUAAGGAAUAAAACGUCGUCUUAAAAAUAUUUAAACGACGGUAAAAAAACUGUCGUGGUAAUUCAAUAAAGACGACGGUUUUAUGAAUAAAGCGUCGUCUGAAACCAUUUAAACGACGGUGCAAAAACCGUCGUUUAAAUAUUUUAUUACGUCUUAAAAAAAGUCCGCCGUCUAAGUUUUAAACAAACGACGGAUUAAAUAAAAAUAUCGACGUCUGAAAUUUUGAAAAACAAAUAAAAAAGGCAAAGUUAUGUGAACAUACCUUGUCGUCAUGCUUUUCUUCAUCUUCUUUCUCCUUUUCUUCUUCCUUCUCUUCAUCUCUUUUUUCUUCUUCCUUCUCUUCAUCUGGCUGAUGUUUCCCCAUUUUGGCAGUAUCAUCCUCCAAAUGUAGGGAUCUCACAUCACCUCCAGAGCAGCUAGCUUUGUCAGACAUUGGAUUUUUGGGGCUUUAGCUAAUUCUUGGUUUAAGCAUGCUUGGAUCAAAAUUGGGAAUUAAUUGGGAAAGCUGACUCAGGAAAUGGUCCCUCUCAGCCUCUACCAAUUGUUUUGUCCUAGCCUCCAUCCUUAAGGCCUCUUCCCUUGCCUUAGCCUCCAUCUUUUUAGUCUCUUCUUGAAGGAGAACUCUUAAACUGUCCUUCAAACGGUCGUCAAAGCUCACCCUCUGUGGUUUGGGCAAAUUGAAAUAUUGCCUUGGGGAAACACCAGCACCAACUCCCCUCAGUCUGCCUGGAUGCUCGGGGCCCAAAGCCAUGGUCAGCACAUCAUUGCUGCCAUCUACUCUGACUUUGCCUUCCGAGACUUGUUUCUGCAAUUCAUCCUAAAAAAAGAUAAACAAAAAAACACACGACGGUUAUUUAUGUACAAACGACGUAUUAUAUAAUUUCACACGACGCAAUAACGUAUAAACCGACGUUAUUAUAACUUAUCACGACGGUAGUUAUACCGACGUGGUUAUUUAUUUAAAACGACGAAAUGAAUAAACAACCGACGUCUUAUGCUAUAAUUAAAGAUAACAGAGUAGUGAUUCCUAUUUAGACCGUUAACGACGUUUUUAAAAAAGUUUCGACGUGGUAAUAUCAUUCAAACGACGCGAAAAUGAACCACCGACGUCUUAUGCUAUAAUUACAGAAAAUUAGUAGUGAUUCCUAUUUAGACCUUUAACGACGUUUUUAAAAACUUCUCGACGUGGUAAUAUCAUUCACACGACGAAAAAUAUAACAUACGACGUAAUAAGAAUAAUUCACAGUUUAAUAAAAAUUUAAAACAGAGUGAUAGUAGGCUUACAAUUAAUUUUGCUUUCUCUGCCACCUUUGGAUCAGGGAUGUUACCAUGUUUGUCCUGUCUAGCUCUCUUCCAUAAGGUAGAUCGAUCAAUUUCUACCCCAGGCAUGGUUUCCUCCAAUUGAUCCUCCAAUCCAGCAUAUCCUUUUCGAGACAAUCGAUGAUUGUACUCGAGUUUCUCCCUAAUCUGUGCAUGUUGAGAAUGCACAGACUCAAAAUCUUUGGAUAGCCUUGAAGCUACAAAGGCAUCCCAUUGUGCUUUCUCUAUGAAUUUAUAUGUUUAAGGGGGUUGGCUUAAUUUCUCCCUGUCAUUGGUGUAUGGAAGGAUAUAAUGCCUCAUUAGUGUAGACUUGAAAUCCUUCCAUUUCUUGGAAGCAGAAGCUAAAACAGAGGUCUUGCCCCCUUGGCCUACAACAAAAGCCAUGUCAACUGCUUCCCAAAUCUGCUCCUUUAUAUCCUUGGGGAUUUGGGACCAUUUCUUGUCCACAAGUGGGAUCCUGGAGCGUGCCAACACACCAAUAUACGACUGCAUCUCAAUAUGUGCUUGGCCAACACCUUUCCCCCUUUUAUUGUACUCAACAAUUGGCCUCAGUUUCUGAAGCUUUCUCUUCACAACACGAGGCAUUGUGCUCAUACCUCGACCAGUCUUUGAAUCAUCAGAGAUUGUUGUCUGGCUGGUUUGUUCUGUCUCAGCAGAUGAUGAAGCAAACUUCAUCUUCUUCGAAGACUUCAUCUCCUUCGAAGACUUGUCUUGAGGAGCUACCAUUCCAAGCUUCUUGGAGCCAGAAUCCUUAGUUUGUUGUUGAGAAACCAUUUUAACAGACAAAACUGCAAGUGAAAAUAUUUCAGGAAAACAUUAAGAACACAAACGACGGUAUUAAAAAAAUACGACGUAUGAUAUGAUUUUAGACGACGCAAUGAAAUAAUCUCAGACGUAAUAAAUGUUUAAAACCAUUAUUUAUAUAACGUCGUGGUAUAUAUGUUCACACGACGUCAAUAGUAAUACACGUCGUGGUAAAACUAUUAUUUAUAUAACGUCGUGGUAUUUAUGUUCAUACGACGUCAAUAGUAAUACACCGUCGUGGUAUUAACAUUCACACGACGUAAAACAAUAAGAUAUUUUGUCGUCUAUAUUAGAUACCAACCCUAGUUUCUUUUUCUUUAUAUUUUAUCAAAUAAGGGAAAAACAAAAACCAUUGUUCAGAGAAAUCAAACCUGCAAUUAAACAAGCAUAUAAAAAAAGACUAUUAUUUUAAAAACAACUUUGUCAAUUUUCAGACGACGCUAGAACAACUGACGAACCGUCGUGGUCUACCGUCGUCUUAUUUAGUUGAUGUAGUUGUCUUCAAAGUUGGAAACUUUCUCUCUUUGUCUGUAUAUUUUAUCAAACUUGGAAAGAAGUAAAAUGAUUUUGGCCAGAAAAAAGGUAAAAAGAUUUUUCAAACAAAAAACGUAUGAGCAUGCAAAACAGUAACCAAAAUAGUGAAAAUGAAAGCUUACCUUUUGCGUGCAAUGAAAGCAAGAGGAAGAUGAUCGAUGUUUAAGUUCAGAGACGACGAAGAAGACGAGAGGAAGACGAUGAGAAACUCUGACAAUGCUCUGACAAGGAAAAAAGACGAAAAGGUUUCUCUGGGAGAUUGAAAUUUUUAAUCGGGUUUGGAAACAGUGCAUGUGUAAGUCGAAAAGUUGCUUACAUAUAAAACCAUUUCAAAAAAAUAAUACGGCGGUUACAUUUAACUACAUCGUUUUUAACUAACACGACGCAAUAUUUUUCGUUCGACGUGGAAUCAUUUCAUUUAACGUCGUUAGGUUUAAUAUAACCGACGUGGAUUUUAAUUUUUAAAUUAUGAAUAGAAUUUUUUUUCCCGUGACCUUUCAGUUUAUUUUUCAAUUACCGUGCGUUAUAAAUAGAGUUUUUUUUCCGGAGGAAAUUUAAAACGAAGGAAAUUAAUAUUCUGCAAUAUGUAAAGUUUCUUUUUUGGAUGACAGAUUUAAAUAAAAUAAGAAUAUAAAAACAACUAAUGUGUAAGUCAAGUAGACGAAAAGUUGCUUACAUAUAAAACCAUUUCAAAAAAAUAAUACGGCGGUUACAUAUAACUACGACGUAUAAAUUACAAAAUACGAUGGUACAUUUAACUUCGGACGUGGUAAAUAAAUACGACAGUAGUUUGUAGGUACCGUCGUAGUAAACUCAAAAAUUAAAGUACAUAAGUAAUAACUCGCGUCAUGGUAGAUUAUUUAACACGUCGUUUUUAUUAAUUUACCGACGUGGAUUUCUGUAAUAUACGUCGAUCAUACCGACGUUGAUUUUACAAUUUAAACGGCGGUGUUUUUGUAAGGACCGCCGUUGGUUUUAAAAAUUUAUUCUAUAAAUUUGUCGCUUUCAUUCAUUUUCGGUUUACAUUUAAGGUUCCAAGUUCUUCCUCUCUCAGUCUCUCAUGUCUCAAAGACAAUAAUUUGGAUGUUUUCUCAAAGAGAAAUUGAGCUUACUCGCAUCAAAUAUAUGUCCACAAGAAGAAGCUUGUCAACUAGCCUUCUCACUUCCUUGAUCAAGCCUGAUAGGACACUUAGUGCUUCUGAAUACUCCUUGCUUUCCAUCAAAAGAGAUGCAAGCCUGGCCUCCACUCGCUGUCGAAGGAAAGUUCGCUUCUCAGGGAAAUCUGAAGAUCAGAUGUGCCUGAUCCUCUGCUUGAUUUUCUUGCCUAAGAAGAUCCGUCGGAUUUGUGAUAGCCUCUUCCUUUAUCCGUAGAGCUUCAGAAGAAGAAGAUGGGUUUCAAGAAUGCGAUAAAGAAUAGAAAUGGCUUCAGAUGGCCUCUAAAGCAUGAGCAAUUGAAUCAGUAGUUUCUGGGAGAUAUGAUGAAGACAUUGUCAAUGCUUUGAACUAUACAAGUCCUGCAGAAAGAUAUGUUAAAGAAACUGAAACAACGGCGGUUUUCUGUUCUACCGUCGUCUUUUCUCGUCGUCUAUAUUAAGUUAAGAUGGCGGUAGAUUUAUAAUUACCGACGUAGAUUAUUUUGUUAAACGUCGUUAAGUGUACUACAACCGACGUGGAUUUUAUUUUUAAAUUAUAAAUAGAGUUUUUUUUCCCGUAUUCUUUCAGUUUUAGUUUUCAAUUCCAAAGCGUGAUAAAUAGAUUUUUCUUUCCCGAGGAAAUUUAAAAUGAGGGAAAUUAAUGUUCUAGAAUUUGUAAACUAACACGACGCAAUAUUUGCAAAUCUGUGUCAUCUGUUAAGAUUAUGAUGUGGAACAGAGUUCCAUCUGGUAAGAUUUCGUAACCCUUGGGAUCUCAGACAAAUCUGAUUAUGUCGGCGGUGUUCUAUAUAAACCGUCGUGGUUAUUUCAAUUCUUGUCAUUAAGUAGAUCUACCGACGUAGGAUAAGAAAAUCAAAGAAAAAAAUUGUUAACAAAAAUUCUUAUUAAGACGACCGUUAAAAUUAAAGGUACGACGUAUAAAAUGAAUAAAUACGACGAUAAAUUUUAUUGUACGAUUUAAAGAUAACGUCGUAGAACUAUACGAGAAUGACGUCGAUAUAUUUAUAUUUUCCGUCGUUGUAAAUUUAUUUAAUACGGCGAUAUUUUGUAUUUUAAAGCCGUGGAUUUGUUUGUAAUUAUACGGCGUCUUAUACGAAAACCUCGUCGUGUUAUUUUAUGAGUAAAAACGGCAGUUUUUAUUGAAAUCGUCGUCUUUACUUUCUACGUCGGUCGAUUCAUAACUUCUGCCGUUCUUUGUUGGCAUUGAUUUUACACUGCGGAAAUCUGUUUCAAAUAGACGUCGGUUGUUUAAUUAUGUACGUCGUUGUUUUUGAACAGCCAUUUGAAACUCCAUUUUUUAGUUGUCUAAGGUUGUAUUACACGACGGUGUUUUUAGAACCGUCGUCUUUUUAUAAACCACGACGGUUUUCACUUAGACCGUCGUUGUUUUCUGGUCGUCUUUUUCACUUUUUGUAGUAGUGCAUGAUAUUUGUUACAAGAAGCAAAUACCAAACAUCUCCUCUCAGUCUCCACUUAGAUGAUCAAUUCAAUUAAAUAUUGGCAAGAUAUUCAAAGCAUUAAGAACAGUAACAAAUACUCAACAUGGAAUAGUAAUAAAAAAUUAAUAUAAUUAUAAAAAUUAAGUAUUCAUAGUUAGGCUACAUCGUAGCCCUAGCAAGAGAAAUUAGUUCAUGAGAAAAGAAAAUAUAAACAAGAGCAUUAUUGUCAUAAAAUUGAUUUGGCCGAUGGGAUUGAUCUUCAGAGUCUCCAUAGGAACACCUUCGAAAGCUCCUCAAGUAGUGUAACAGUAAAUUCUUAGCUUUCUCUGUGAUAUAUUUGUGGGUGUAUGAAUUGUAUAUUGGAAGAUGAUGAUUCAUAGAGAGAGCUUAGGGUAACCUUAUAUAGAGUAAAACAACUAAACCCUACUCCAAAAAUGUCUGAAAAAACUCUCCUAAAGCAAAACAAAAUCCCAAACAAUUAAGGAAACAAGCUAGGAAAGAAUCCUUCUUUUACUUGGAAACAAGUCAGCCAACUUUCACGCACGUUUUAGGGUCGUUCCACUUCCUAGAAAAUUCUGGAAAAAUAUGAGUAACGUAGCUUGAUCUCUAAUCUCUAAGCUUUCUAAGCAUUUAUUAAUGCCACUAGGAAAAAUUGGAAAGGUCUUCAAAUCUUCAAUCUUCCACAGCAGUGCAGUUAUGACGAGAUUUCAACUUAGGUUGUCUUGAUUUGCAAGUCUGGAGCAUUUGACUUGGUAGAAAAUUAUGAAACUUUGAUACAAUGAUCUUCAAUGUCUUAGCUUUCUUCUCCGAUUGGUGUUGCACUAAAAUUCAUUUGAAAAGUUAAUUUUCAGUCAAAAUCCUUCCAAGAGCGCAGAAUUGCUGAAAAUAUAAGAAGCAAGGUAAUAAUACUCUUUUUAAUUAACUUUUCCUACAUAAACCAAAUAAAACAAAUAUAAAAAUAUAGGUACAAAAAACAAAACAAAGAAUAAUAUUAUGGCAAAGAAAGAAUGGAAACUCCAGUUCCGAACUUCACCAAUUCCAUCAAUCCCAUGACCUCCAUUACUCGACACCUGGUCUCCUUCGGUAAUUUUCUUCUGCCCUAUCUCUCUGUAUUAUAUAUGAUUAAAUAUGGUGGUCCUCCUCAUCUUCGAAUUAGAGGUAGUGAUUAUAAUAUCACUCUAAUUAAAAAUAAUUUUUAUUACAAAUCAUCCUUGAACUUUUUAACUGUCUUAAUUUUAGUCCUCAAACUUUCAAAUUAAUAAAUAUGACCUCCAAUAUUUUGGUUCAGACAUAAGUUUGGUCCAUAUCAUCGUUUGGAGAUGUGCAGGCAACGCAGGUGACCUCCCCACUACAAAAACAAGUGGCAACAGUCACCAUUAUUUGGUGACAUUUUAGUCACUACAGCAAAUGUCAUCAAAUGUCACCAUAUAAUGGUGACUGUUGCUACUUUUUUUUGUAGUGCUCCCUUGAUCACCAAACUAUAUGUUGCCACUAAUGGAAGGUCAAGACUGCGACCCCCACUCAUUCCUAGUUACUUUGGCAAUGCGAUUUUCACAACAAUGCCAAUUACUGUCGCGGGGGAUUUCCAAUCAAAAUGAACAUGGUAUGGAGCAAGCCACAUUCAUGAUGUUUUGGCUCAUAUGGAUGAUCAAGGUUUUAAAACGCAAGGCCCUGAGGCGAGACGCUUUUGAUCUCGUAAGGUGAAGUGUAACCCUUUCGAACUUCAAUUAUUUUAAUUAAAAAUAUAAAAUUAUAUAAAAUAAUUAUAAAUAAGUACUAAUUGUCUCCUAAGCUUAAUAAUCACUACUACAAAAAGUGAAAAAGAGGACCAGAAAACAACGACGGUCUAAGUGAAAACCGUCGUGGUUUUUAAAAAGAUGACGGUUCUAAAAACACCGUCGUGUAAUACCACCUUAGACAACUAAAAAAUGGAGAUUCAAAUGGCUGUUCUAAAACAACGACGUACCUAAUUAAACAAUCGACGUCUAUUUGAAACAGAUUUCCGCAGUGUAAAAUCAAAGUCAACAAAGAACGGCAGAAGUUAUGAAUCGACCGACGUAGAAAGUAAAGACGACGAUUUCAAUAAAAGCCGCAGUUUUUACUCAUAAAAUAACACGACGAGGUUUUCGUAUAAGACGCCGUAUAAUUACAAACAAAUCCACGGCUUUAAAAUACAAAAUAUCGCCAUAUUAAAUUAAUGUACAACGACGGAAAAUAUAAAUAUAUCGACGUCAUUCUCAUAUAGUUCUAUGACGUUAUCUUUAAAUCGUAUAAAAUUUAACGUCGUAUUUAUUCAUUUUAUACGUCGUACCUUUAAUUUAAACCGUCGUCUUAAUAAGAAUUUUUGUUAACAAUUUUUUUCUUUGAUUUUCUUAUCCUACGUCGGUAGAUCUACUUAAUGACAAGAAUUGAAAUAACCACGACGGUUUAUAUAGAAAACCGCCGACAUAAUCAGAUUUUUCUGAGAUCCCAAGGGUUACGAAAUCUUACCAGAUGGAACUCUGUUCCACAUCAUAAUCUUAACAGAUGACACAGAUUUGCAAUUAGAGAGACAAUUUUUUGGAAGUUGAUGAUGUGUGUGCGUUUGUGUAUCUACAAAUAUUAUACCUAACGUCGUUGCAAAUUUGCAAUCAGAGAGACAAUUUUCAACGACGGUUAUAUUAUACCUAACGACGUUUAAAAAACAAAUCAACGUCGCUCAACAAAUAUAUUAUGUCGUCUUAGUCUUACUUAAGACGACGAAAAACGACGACAGUAAUACAAAAACAGUCGUUGUUUUUAUAUUCUUAUUUUAUUUAAAUCUGUCAUCCAAAAAAGAAACUUUACAUAUUCCAGAACAUUAAUUUCCUUCAUUUUAAAUUUCCUCCGGAAAAAAAACUCUAUUUAUAACGCACUGUAAUUGAAAAAUAAACUGAAAGGUCACGGGAAAAAGAAUUCUAUUCAUAAUUUAAAAAUUCAAAUCCACGUCAGUUAUAUUAAACCUAACGACGUUAAAUGAAAAGAUUCCACGUCGCAAAACAAAUAUUGCGUCGUGUUAGUUAAAAACGACGGCAUAACAAAAAACCGUCGUUGUUUCAAACUGAAUUAAUUUAAAAUUUCUUCGGGAAAGCAAAAUCUAUUUAUAAUUUCCUCGGGUUAGUAAUAUUGCGUCGUGUUAGUUUACAAAUUCUAGAACAUUAAUUUUCCUCAUUUUAAAUUUCCUCGGGAAAGAAAAAUCUAUUUAUCACGCUUUGUAAUUGAAAACUAAAACUGAAAGAAUUCGGGAAAAAAAACUCUAUUUAUAAAUUAAAAAUAAAAUCCACGUCGGUUGUAUUACACUUAACGACGUUUAACAAAAUAAUCUACGUCGGUAAUUAUAAAUCUACCGCCAUCUUACCCUAAUAUAGACGACGAGAAAAGACGACGGUAGAACAGAAAACCGCCGUUGUUUCAGUUUCUUUAACAGUUUGGUCCUUUAUCUUUCUGCAGGACUUGUAUAGUUCAAAGCAUUGACAAUGUCUUCAUCAUAUCUCCCAGCAACUACUGAUUCGAUUGCUCAUGCUUUAGAGGCCAUCUGAAGCCAUUUCUAUUCUUUAUCGCAUUCUUGAAACCCAUCUUCUUCUUCUGAAGCUCUACGGAUAAAGGAAGAGGCUAUCACAAAUCUGACGGAUCUUCUUAGCCAAGAAAAUCAAGCAGAGGAUCAGGCACAUCUGAUCUUCAGAUUUCCCUGAGAAGCGAACUUUCCUUCGACAGCGAGUGGAGGCCAGGCUUGCAUCUCUUUUGAUGGAAAGCAAGGAGUAUUCAGAAGCACUAAGUGUCCUAUCAGGCUUGAUCAAGGAAGUGAGAAGGCUAGUUGACAAGCUUCUUCUUGUGGACAUAGAUUUGAUGCGAGUAAGCUCAAUUUCUCUUUGAGAAAGACAUCCAAAUUAUUGUCUUUGAGAUGUGAGAGACAGUGUCUCUGAGAGAGGAAGAACUUGGAACCCUAAAUGUAAACCGAAAAUGAAUGAAAGCGACAAAUUUAUAGAAUAAAUUUUUAAAACCAACGGCGGUCCUUACAAAAAAACCGCCGUUUAAAUUGUAAAAUCAACGUCGGUAUGACCGACGUAUAUUACAGAAAUCCACGUCGGUACAUUAAUAAAAACGACGUGUUAAAUAAUCUACCAUGACGCGAGUUAUUACUUAUGUACUUUAAUUUUUGAGUUUACUACGACGGUACUUACAACACUACUGUCGUAUUUAUUUACCACGUCCGAAGUUAAAUGUACCGUCGUAUUUUGUAAUUUAUACGUCGUAGUUAUAUGUAACCGCCGUAUUUUUUUUUUGAAAUGGUUUUAUAUGUAAGCAACUUUUCAUCUACCUGACUUACACAUGCACUGUUUCCAAACCCGAUUAAAAAUUUCAAUCUCCCAGAGAAAACUUUUAGACUUUUUUCCUUGUCAGAGCACUGUCAGAAUAUCUCAUCGUCUUCCUCUCAUCUUCUUCGUCGUCUCUGAACUUAAACAUCGAUCGUCUUCCUCUUGCUUUCAUUGCACGCAAAAGGUAAGCUUUCAUUUUCACUAUUUUGGUUGCUGUUUUGCAUGCUCAUACGUUUUUUGUUUGAAAAAUCUUUUUACCUUUUUUAUGGCCAAAAUCAUUUUAUUUCUUUCCAAGUUUGAUAAAAUAUACAGACAAAGAGGGAAAGUUUCCAACUUUGAAGACAACUACCUCAACUAAAUAAGGCGACGGUAGCUUCUUAUUUACGUGGUUAAAUAUGUAGACCACGAUGGUUCGUCAGUCGUUCUAGCGUCGUCUGAAAAUUGACAAAGUUGUUUUUAAAAUUAUGGUCUUUUUUUUAUUUGCUUGUUUAAUUGCAGGUUUGAUUUCUCUGAACAAUGGUUUUUGUUUUUCCCUAAUUUGAUAAAAUAUAAAGAAAAAGAAAGUAGGGUUGGUAUCUAAUAUAGACGACAGUAUCUUAUUGUUUUACGUCGUGUGAAUGUUAAUACCACGACGUCAUAUUAAAUCACGUCGGCCGGUAAAUAUCGACGUAAUAAGUUAUUAUUACGUCUUAUUUUAUAUUAUUUCGUCGUUGUUUAAUUACCUUGGUUUUAAACAUUUAUUACGUCUGAGAUUAUUUCAUUGCGUCGUUUAAAAUCAUAUCAUACGUCGUAUUUUAUUAAUAACCGUCGUUUGUGUUCUUAAUAUUUUCCUGAAAUAUUUUCACUUGCAGUUUUGUCUGUAAAAAUGGUUUCUCACCAAGACCAAAGUAAGGAUUCUGGCUCCAAGAGAAGUCUUCGAAGAAGAUGAAGUCUUCGAAGAAGAUGAAGUUUGCUUCAUCAUCUGUUGAGACAGAACCAACCAGCACGACAACAAUCUCUGAUGAUUCAAAGUCUGGUCGAGGUAUGAGCACAAUGCCUCGUGUUGUGAAGAGAAAACUUCAGAAACUGAGGCCAAUUGUUGAGUACAAUAAAAGGGGGAAAGGAAUUGGCCAAGCACAUAGUGAGAUGCAGUCCUACAUUGGUGUGUUGGCACGCUCCAGAGUUCCACUUGUGGACAUGAAAUGGGCUCAAAUCCCCAAGGAUAUAAAGGAGCAGAUUUGGGAAGCAGUUAACAUUGCUUUUGUGGUAGGUCAAGGGGGCAAGAACUCUGUGUUAGCUUCUGCUGCCAAGAAAUGGAAGGAUUUCAAGUCUACACUAACGAGGCAUUAUAUCCUUCCAUACACCAAUGACAGGGAGAGAUUAAGCCAACCCCCUGAAACAUAUAAAUUCAUAGAGAAAGCACAAUGGGAUGCCUUUGUAGCUUCAAGGUUAUCCAAAGAUUUUGAGUCUGUGCAUUCUCAACAUGCACAGAUUAGGGAGAAACUUGAGUACAAUCAUCGAUUGUCUCGAAAAGGAUAUGCUGGUUUGGAGGAUCAAUUGGAGGAAACCAUGCCUGGGGUAGAAAUUGAUCGAUCUACCUUAUGGAAGAGAGCUAGACAGGACAAACAUGGUAACAUCCCGGAUCCAAAGGUGGCAGAGAAAGCAAAAUUAAUUGUAAGCCUACUCACUCUGUUUUAAAUUUUUAUUAAACUGUGAAUAAUUCUUAUUACGUCUUAUGUUAUAUUUUGCGUCGUGUGAAUGAUAUUACCACGUCGAAAUUUUGUUAAAAACGUCGUUAAAGGUCUAAAUCAGGAAUCACUACUCUGUUUUCUGUAAUUAUAGCAUAAGAUGUCGGUGUUUCAUUUUCGCGUCGUUUGUAUUAAAUUACUACGUCGAAAUGUUUUAAAAAAGGUCGUUAAAGGUGUGAAUAUUGAAUCAUCCCUCUGUUAUCUGUAAAUAAAGCAUAAGACGUCGGUGGUUUAUUCAUUUCGUCGUUUUAAAAAACUAACCACGUCGGUAUAACUACCGUCGUGAUAAAUUAUAAUAACGUCGAUUUAUAUGUUAUUGCGUCGUGUGAAAUUAUAUAAUACGUCGUUUGUAUAUAAAUAACCGUCGUGUGUUUUUUGUUCUUACUUUUUUAUAUAUCUUUGUUUUAGGAUGAAUUGCAAAAACAAGUCUCGGAAGGCAAAGUCACUGUAUCUGGCAGCAAUGAUGUGCUGACCAUGGCUUUGGGCCCCGAGCAUCCAGGCAGAGUGAGAGGAGUAGGUGCUGGGAUUUCACCAAGGCAAUAUUUCAAUUUACCCAAACCACAGAUAGUGAGCUUUGACGACCGUUUAAAGGACAGUUUAAGAGUUCUCCUUCAAGAAGAGACUAAAAAGAUGGAAGCUAAGGCAAGGGAAGAGGCUUUAAGGAUGGAGGCUAGAACGAAACAAUUGGUAGAGGCUGAGAGGGAGCAUUUCCUGAGUCAGCUUUCUCAAUUAAUUCCCAAUUUUGAUCCAAGCAUGCUUAAACCCAGAAUUAGCCAAAGUCCCAAAAAUCCAAUGUCUGACAAAGCAAGCUGCUCUGGAGGUGAUGUGAGAUCCCUACAUUUUGAGGAUGAUACUGCCAAAAAUGGGAAACAUCAGGAAGAAAAGGUAACAUAUCUGAACUUUGAAUUCUCUGUUUUUUUAAAACCAUUAGACGUCGUAUUAUUAAUAAAACCGUCGUUUGAAAUACAUAUCACGACGAUUUUAAAAAUAAACCGUCGUUUGUAUUUCAAUACCACGUCGUAUUUAGUUUCCUUGUUUUACACGCCAUUAAACGUCGUUAUUUUUAAAACUUUGUGGUUUUUAGACGACGGAGUUAGUCAUUCCCGACGUAAUAGAUGAAGAGAAGAAAGAAGAAAAACAAGAUGAAAAGGAGAAAGAAGAUGACGACCAGGUAUGUUCACAUAACUUUGCCUUUUUUAUUUAUUUUUCAAAAUUCCAGACGUCGAUAUUUUUCUUUAAACCGUCGUUUGUUUACAACUUAGACGGCGGAAUUUUUUUCUAAGACGUAAUAAAUUAUUCACCACGACGGGUUUUUCACCGUCGUUUAAAUUCUUUUCAGACGACGUUUUAUUCCUUAAACCGUCGUUUUUAUUGAAUUACCACGUCAUUUUUUUUAAUUCUUUAAACAGAUUAUUAAAGUUGUUGAUUAUUCAAAUAUGGAGGCGCCAUCUUCUUUAAAAUCCCUUUGUCGUUAUGUGGAAACGACACUCGUGCCUCAGGAUAAGACCCUGCACUUUACAAUUGAUAAGGAGGUGUUUGGUCUAGAGCGCGAUACCUUCCUCCUGCCUGAAGAUAUUACACAAUUUGCAGGCAUGGAAGAAAUAGGAGCUACUGUCAUUGCUGUAUAUAUGAGGUUUGUCAUUCUAAAAUAAUACGUUGUUGGUUUAUUUAUUGCGUCGUCUUAACUAACUAACCACGUCGUUAGUAUGUACCGUCGUGAUAAAUAUAUUAUAACGUCGUUGUCUAUUUCAGUACGUCGUGUGAAAUUUUAUAAUACGUCGUUUUGUUAUACAUAACCGUCGUGUGUUUUUUUGUGCUAACUUGUUUAUAUUAUUUUAUAUAUUUAGGUACUUACACGAUGUUUUGAAACAAGCAAAUAUGUGCAGCAUGGUUGGCUUUAUCGACCCUGCUACAGUUAGUGCCAGCUCUGGCACAAUAGCUGACAGAUCACGACUAGUAGCAGCUCGACUUCAGAGGACUGACGGUGAACAGAUUUUCAUGAUGCCUUACAAUCCAGGGUUAGUCUCCUUAACAUGAUUUUGUUUUUAUGAUUUUCAAUAAAUGACAGCGUAUAAACUAACCACGUCGGUGUUUUAUUUUAUUGAGUCGUUUGAAACUACUAACCACGUCGGUAGUUAUUUAUCGUCGUGAUAAAUAUAUAAUGUCGUCGAUUGCUACUUUAUUUCGUCGUGUGAAAUAUUAUAAUACGUCGUUUUUGUAAAUAACCGUCGUUUUUAUAUUAAUUUUGUGCAGCCGUCAUUGGAUCUUGCUGAUUGUAAGAGCAAAGAGGGAAACCGUCUAUUUUCUGGAUCCUCUGCCAGGAAAUCGUGUGAUCGAUGAAGAGGCCAAAAACAUCGUGAACAGUGCUAUAAAACUUUAUAAUUCUCACAUAGCCAGAUCAGGCCGUAAGGCAGUAAUUUGGAAAACUCUGUCAGGCACACCAAAGUAACCCAGCAGUGUCGAAUGCGGGUAUUAUGUGAUGCGCUUCAUGAGGGACAUCAUCAUGGAUCCUUCCUUGGGGUUUAAGAAGAAGGUAAGAAGAAAUUACCUUCAUACAUUUUACGUCGUUUUUUGUAUUAUCAACGACGGUCAUGUAAAAUUACCGUCGUUGAAUAGAUAUAGUACGUCGGUUAUGAAAAAUAUCGUCGUCUGUGAUUGAAUUUCUUUUUAUUUAUAAACCCUAAUAGUCAUUGUUUAUGCAGUAUGCCAAGGGAAAACAGGAAGCGCCAUACCCCCAAGAAGCAAUUGAUGAAGUCUGGAAUGAAUGGGCAGAGUUUGUUUGCCUUCACCUGGAAUAGGGGAAUUAUUGAACACUUGAUAUUUAUGUAUAAUGUACAAAUUUUGUCUAUAAUAUAUAAUGUAAAAAUUUGUUGAGGUUUUCUUAAAUUUAAAAAAAAAAAAACAUACAAAUUGCGUAACCGACGUGUAAUACUUUUCCAACGACCUAAUAAAGUCAAAAACCGUCGUUUUUUGUUGUUUCGUUUUAAACAAAUUCGACGUAAAAGGAUAUUUAGACGACGUUCAUUGAACAAUUGAGUCGUUUAUGGUUUACAAAGUCUUCAAUUUCUUAAGGGUUCAGGGUAUUACUUUGUAACGACAGCGGUUAAGUCGUGGAAUAUAUAUUUUACGUCAGAUAGUUAAAUAUCUGCCAUGGUUUCUCAUUUAAACGACGUCAUUUUAACAACUUAGUCGUCUAUUAUAAUUUACAACGUCUACAAUUUAUUAACACCGACGUGGUUUGUUGUUGUGAUAAGAAUAUUUUAUUAUUUUUAUAUCAAAAUAUUCAAAAUAAAUUUAAAAUAAAUCAGAAAAAUACAAAGUCAACUCCUAUGAAGUCAUUGAUAUAUUUUCUUCCCCCUAAACCUUGAAAAAAUUCAUUUUGAAUAACAAAAAUUUAAAAUGACCAUCCAAAACAAAAUUAUUUUGAUGAGUCAUAAAAUCACUUCUAGUUUUAUGGUUUAGGGUUUAGAGUCUAGGGUUUAGAGAUUAGGGUUGUUAUUUAUUGGGGUUUAUUUUUAAAGUAUAAUUUUUGGGUAGUCUAGGGUAUAUAUUAGGCUGUAAAACCAUAAACCCUUUUAUAAACUUAAUUUUUAAAAUUAUAUAAUUUAGUUUUAAGGGUUUAGGGUAUUAAUUGUUAACGACGGUGGUUGAGUUGUGGAAUACAUAUGUUACGUCGUGCAGUAAAAUAUCCGACAUGGUUUCUACUUUAAACGACGUCAUUUUAAUAUGUAAGUCGUCUAUUAUAAUUUACAACGUUUUCAAUUUCUUAACUCCGACGUAGUUUUUCAGUCGUCUUUAUAUCAAAAUAUUCAAAAUUAAUUUAAAAUUAAUCCGAAAAAUGAAGCAUCAAAAUAAACGGUGUUACGUUCAGUGUUUCCGUCGUGGAAUAUUACAUUUACGUCGGUUCUUGUAGAACUUUCGCCAUGGUUUUUCUUUCGACGUUUUAAAGAGCGCGCGCUCUAAAAAUUUUCGCGCGCCCUAAAUUUUUUUAUAUUUGGCUCUUAUUCUUAUACUUCUAACCCUGAACCCUAAAAUUUUCAGAUUUCGCGCAACAUAACAUUUCGCUCUCUCACUUCUGCUCUAAUUAAAAGUUGCACUCUCCAGGCUCCGUCGAAUCUGUGAGCUCGUCCAACCUGUAAGUACAAACCCUAUCUUCCCCUUGUAAAUUCAUUGAAUGAUAUUAGGUUGUUUUGUUAAAGGGUUUUAGGUAUAUGCUUUGCGAUCUGUUAAUAAUGUGCUUAUAGGUAUGGGUUCAUGGAUUUUCUGUUUAAUGGGUUCAUGGAUUUUCUGUUUAAUGGGUUCAUGGAUUACAUUAUCUAUUAUGUUGAAUUGGGAAUGGAUUUAAUUUUGUCGGAUCUUUUAAUCACCCUAUGUUAUGUUGAAUUGGGUUCAUGUAUAUGUUGGUUUCUUGCUUGGUUUCAUAUAUAUGUUGUGUUCUUAAUGGGUUUUGGGUUCUUGAAAAUAAACUGAGUUUUGGGUUCUUGAAAAUAAACUGAGACACAACGCCUUUUUAGGCAUACGACGACGAUUACACGACGGUUUAUGAAAUUUUUCAUAAACCGUCGUUUGUAUUACUUAUAUUAGACGACGUCUGUUGAAAAUCCGGCGUCUAUAUAUGCCAAAUACGUCUGUUUUUGUUUAAAACCCGUCGUCUCUGUUGUGUAUUACUUGCUAUUAGAUCUUUGUAUAAUCUGCUAUAGUGAUGGUCAUUACCUGUAUUUUCACUUUAUUAUAGAUAAUAGGUUAUAGUGUCGGAGAUGGAUAAGUCAUGGAUGCACUCGGAUAGAAGAUCGAAGGCAUAUGAGUUUGGGGUGGAAGCAUUUUUGAACUUUGCUGUAGAAAAUCUUCUAACUACAACACAUAUCCGUUGUCCAUGUGUUAAAUGUGUUAAUUUAAAGUUAUUUGGGGUUGGAAUUAUAAGGGAUCACUUAUACUUUAAUGGAAUUGACCAAAGCUAUAAGAAUUGGACAUUUCACGGAGAACCUUGGGAAGCAACUACUAAUGCUAGUAGAAAUGUUGAAGAAGAUGAUGGCCAUACUAGGUACAGUUUUGUGUCUGAAGAAAUUGAUAUGGAUGAUAAUGAUUUUGGUGAUUUUGGUUCCGAUCCGUAUGAGUUUGCCAAUGUGAUUGGGGAUGGAGAUCAACCAGUGUACCCUGGUUGUAGAAAGUACAUGAAGUUAUCGGCAUUAGUAAAGUUGUAUAAUUUGAAGGCAAAACAUGGGAUGAGUGAUGUCUGUUUUACAGAAUUAUUGAUACUUCAAGGCGAUUUUCUUCCAGAAGGAAAUACAAUACCAACCUCUAUGUAUGAGGCUAAAAAGACUUUGUGUACAUUGGGGCUGAGUUAUGAGAAAAUGCACGCAUGCCCCAAUGAUUGCAUCUUGUAUAGGAAGGAGUAUGAGGAUUCAACUAAUUGUCCUACUUGUGGUAUCUCAAGGUGGAAGGAAGGCAAAGAUUCAAUCUUGAAAGAGGGUGUGCCAGCGAAGGUGGUGUGGUAUUUUCCUCCAAUUCCAAGGUUUAAAAGGAUAUUUCAAUCACAUGAGACAGCUAAGAGUUUGACAUGGCAUGCUGCUAGAAAAUCAAUUGACGGUCAGAUGUCUCAUCCGGCGGAUUCCCCGUCUUGGAAACUUCUUGAUGAUAAAUGGCCUGAGUUUGGUAAUGAGCCGAGAAACUUGAGAUUGGCUCUUUCAUCUGAUGGAUUCAAUCCCCACAGUUCUCUAAGUAGCAGAUAUAGUUGUUGGCCGGUUAUCUUAGUUACAUAUAAUCUCCCUCCAUGGCUGUGCAUGAAACGAAAGUUCAUGAUGUCAACCUUAUUGAUUUCCGGUCCUAAACAACCCGGAAAUGAUAUAGACGUCUACUUGGAGCCUUUGAUUGAUGAUUUAAAAUAUUUGUGAGAUGGGAUUAGAUGAGUGUAUGAUGCACAUAAUGGAGAAUACUUUACACUCAGAGCUGCAUUAAUGUGGACAAUUAAUGAUUUCCCCGCCUAUGGAAACUUAUCUGGUUGUGUUGUUAAAGGAUAUAAAGCUUGUCCAAUAUGCGGCGAUGAUACACCUAGUCACAGGUUGAAAAAUGGCCACAAAAUUUGUUACAUUGGGCAUAGAAAAUGGUAACCAAUCAAUCAUCCAUAUAGGAGGCAACAUGCAGCUUUUAAUGGGAAACCUGAAUAUGGCAUACCUCCCGAGCCAUUAACCAGAGAAGAAGUGCUGCAUAUGGUUGAAAAUGGUGACAGAGUUUGUUGGAAGAAGAAAUCAAUAUUCUUUGAUCUCGAGUAUUGGAAAUACCUUCCUGUGAGGCAUGCCCUAGAUGUUAUGCACAUUGAGAAGAAUGUUUGCGAUAGUAUUAUUGGUACAUUGCUGGAGAUCCCUGGAAAAAAUAAAGAUGGGAUUGCUGCUCGAUUAGAUUUAUUGAACAUGGGGGUCAAAACUGAUUUGCAACCCGAGUAUGGAGAAAGACGUACUCGUUUGCCUCCUGGGCCUUGGAAUUUGUCAAGAGCAGAGAAGAGAGAGGUUUGCAAUUCUUUCUAUGGUAUGAAGGUCCCUGAAGGUUAUUCUUCAAAUAUUAAAAAUCUUGUAUCUUUACAAGAUUCAAGACUUCUUGGCCUUAAAUCACAUGAUUGUCAUACCUUAAUGCAACAAUUGCUCCCUGUGGCAAUUCGUUUUGUUUUGGAGAAGCCUGCUAGGUAUGCAAUAACUCGUUUGUGCUUCUUCUUCAAUGCUAUAUGUGCAAAAACUGUUGAUGUUUUCAAGCUAGAUAAGUUGGAAGAAGAUGUAGUAAUUACUCUGUGUUUGCUUGAGAAGUACUUUCCCCCUUCAUUUUUUGAUAUCAUGGUUCAUCUAGUAGUACAUCUUGUCAGAGAAGUUCGUCUAUGUGGGCCAGUAUAUUUUAGGUGGAUGUAUCCGUUUGAAAGAUAUAUGAAAGUGCUGAUGGGGUAUGUUCAGAAUCGUACUCGUCCCGAAGGUUGCAUUGCUGAGCGGUAUAUAGCUGAAGAAGCGGUAGAGUUUUGUACUCAGCAUUUAUCUGAUGUUAGUACAGUUGGAGUGCCUUCAAGCCAAAAGAUGGGACUUUCAAAGCCAUUAUCAGGUUGCACAGUGAGCGUAGUUGAUCAGGACCUGUUGAAUCAAGCACAUCUAUAUGUCUUGGAGAAUACGGAGGAAGUCCUACCUUAUAUCGAGUACGUAUGAGUUUUAUUCUUUAAGUUUCCAUUUUAAAUUAUUUCUUAUGUUUAUCUUCUAUAUUUGGGACCGUAAUGCUUGAAUUUUUCGUGUCAUGUAGGCAACAUAUGAUCCACAUCAAGACUGCUUAUCCAAAAUUUAGAAAGAGAACAAAGUGGCUGCAGGAUAAGCACAAUAGCACUUUCAUUCAAUGGCUACGCUUCAAGGUAUAUGUUGUUGAAUAACAUAUUUCUCUUUUAAUUUUCUUCUUAUUUCUAUGUUAGAUUGAAUUAAGAUAUGAUUAAUUUGCAGGUUCAAAGUGAACUUGAGGAAGACAAUCAUGGCGUAUCAGAAAAUUUAAGGUGGCUAGCAGCUGGUCCAAACAUGGCAGUGCCAUUAUAUAGGAGCUAUCUUAUUAAAGGUAUUAAAUUCAAUAUCAAGGCACAAGAUGAUGUGCGGACAACUCAAAAUAGUGGAGUUUAUUUACUUGCACAUACCAUGCAAGUUGCUAGUGCCAAGGAUAAAAACCCAAUUCUCUCAAAUAUGGGUUUCUAUGGUGUCAUUCAAGAAAUUUGGGACCUUGACUACUAAAAGUUUACAAUCCCAGUCUUUAGGUGUGAUUGGAUAGAUAGUUCUGGUCUUGUAGUCGACGAACUUGGAUUUACCCUUGUAGAUUUGAGUAAAAUUGGACAUAGGAAUGACCAAUUUGUUUUGGCUUCUCAAGUCAAACAAAUAUUUUUUGUUGACGACCCGAUGCAUCGUGGUUGGUCGGUAGUGUUAUCAAUGCCUAAUAGAGAAUAUAAUGAUGUUAUUGGUGAUGAAGUCUUAGGUGAUGUGAUAAUUGAGUGUGAGCCAUUUACUAGAGGGAUGCCAAAUGUUGACACAUUUGAUGAACUGGUGGGUGAGUUAGGCGGUCAAAAUAUUCGAGAUGGGUGUGAAGAUAUAUGGAUUGAAUGAUGCUUAUGUAAUUGGCAGUGUAUGACAUUAAUUUUGUAAUAUAUUGUAAUGUGAUUUCUUCACUUUCUACGUUCAAAUAAAACACGACGUUAUUGUGAACCAGUUAUUCAGCAUAUUUACCGACGUCUUAAAGCAACGUAACAAUGAAGAACCACGACACUAUUGUGAAGCAAUUAUUCAGGAUAUCACGUCGGGGAAGGAUUAAGAACCGCAAUGUAAUUCAAAAUAACACGACUCCAAUCCCAUAAUACCGACGUCUAAAAAAUGAGAUAUAUAAUCUGAACGUUAAAAAAUACGACGUCAUCAUACAUUUUCCACGUCGCAAGUUCUUUUAUAAACGAAGAGGAACGAAAUGAAUUCCGACGGUAAUUCAUUAUAACCGCCGUCUAAUAUCAAUUAAACGACGUUAUUUGUAAUACGGCUCUCAUCAUAAUCAACGCUGUCUAUAUGUUCUGUAAUACGGCUCUCAUUUAUUUGGAACCGACGUUGUUUAGAAGUUCAACGUCGUCUAUAUUAAUAAGUGCGUCGUGAGUAAUGAAUACAUAUAAAUACAAUGUCGACUAUGUAAAUGCCACCGACGUUGUUUCGCAUUUCAACGUCAACUAUAUAAAUACAUACGUCGUACAUAAUGACACUGACAACUAUUUCCACGUCAUCUUUUUUAGAAAAAUCGAAGUGGAAAAUUUAUUUCACGACGGUUGUUUGUAAAUAAGAGACGUAGUAGAUUUCAAUAACGUCGUCUUCUCAUGUAUUUAAAGACGUCAUAUUUUUUCUUGUCGUGAAAAUUAUAUUUAACGGCGUAGUGUUUUAGUUGUCGUCGUUGUAUGUCUAUCUUGCGGCCUUGUUCUUUUAAUAUGUGUCAUAUUUUUCCUUUUUCACGACGGUGAUUUGUUUGAGUUGGUCGUCUAUUCUCAUCCUCGACUAUUUUUUAGAACUUUAGCAGACUAAACACGUCUGUUUUUAUUUUUUUUCGACGUUGUUUUAUUUAACAACGUCUAAUAUCUAUCGUCGUUGUUUGUUUCUGAAAAUAGGACGUAUAAAUUUUGUAAUACGACUCUCAUAUAUUUGUAACCGACGUUGUUUCGUUGUUCAACGUCUACUCUAUAAAUACAUACGUCGUAAAUAAUGACACUGACAACUAUUUCCACGUCAUCUUUUAUAGAAAAAUCGAAGUGGAAAAUUUAUUUUACGACGGCUGUUUUUAUAUAGGCGACGUAGUAGGUAUCAAUAACGUCGUCUUCUAAUGUAUUUAAAGACGUCAUAUUUUUUAUUGUCGUGAAAAUGAUAUUUAACGGCGUCUUAUUUUAAUUUUCGUCGUUGUAUGUCUAUCUUGCGGCCUUGUUCUGUUAAUAUGUGUCAUAUUUUUCCUUUUUAACGACGGUUUUUUUAGAGAGUUGGUCGUCUAUUCUCAUCCUCGACUGCUUUUUUAGAUCUUUUUGCAGUACAAAGACGUCGUUUUGUAUUUGUUGAUGACGUUGUAUAUUUUAACAACGACGGUGAUUUAGCGUCGUGGUUUAUGAGAGAAAAGAUGACGGUGGAUUCCACGACCAUUGAAAAAUCGAAUACACGACGGUGAUUUACCGUCUUCUUUUUGCUUUUUUGUAGUAGUGAAUUAAGUAUUCUAGGAGGAAAAUUUAGGGUGCUGCAGAUAUGAUUUCUGGUUCAACAGUUCUAUUGGGUGGGAGGGGCAUAAACAGUUGCAGGGUAUUUACCCUAAAUCUCACAGAGCCUUAAAAAUAGGCCGACGAUUGUGUUAAAUUACGAGCGUGCCACUAUUAGUAGUGUAAAACCCUAAUAGAUCUUAAUGAAUUAAAAUAACUUAUGCACCAAGAAACUUGACUUCCGAUCAAACAAUUGUGCUUGGAAUGGGGAACUAGUUCAAUAUGGAUUCUUUUCUAUGCUUCAAGACAAAUGAGGAUUUUACUAUUUCUCUUAUACAAAGCUAAGAGAUAAAAAAUAGAAACAAGUAAACAAUGUGUCAGAUCGAUCAUAUCUGGUAAUAACUAAGACUUCUACCACCUUUAAGUUGCCUCAGAGCCACUGGAAUGAGAGUAUUUUUGCUCACCACUUUAACCCAAGGUGUACUAUAACUACCCUUCUCAAUACUUGACACGUGUCUACGGGCAUAACCAUGGUUCCACAAAUACAAAACAAAGAGUUAACUAUGGUUAUGCACAUGGACACAUGUCAAGUGUUGAGAAGUAUGGUGAGGGUACACCUUGUGUUCAAGAGGUGAGAAAAAAUAUUUCCCAUUGGAAUAGCCUCAAAAUGUUAGGAAGAUCUUGUAACAAUCGAGCAGAAGCGCCACUAACAGGCAAUUCAAGAUUGUUUCCCCUUUUUUGAGACUUAUAUUUGAUCAUGCGUGAUUAUCAAUUAGGAGCAUCCGCAAUGGUUGUUCAAUAGUUCAAUAAAUUAAUUUUUUUUGGAAUAUAUUGAAUUGAAUUGAAAUGCAAUUUUACUUACAAUGGCACAGUUCAAUUGCAGUUCAAUUGCUUCAGAUCAAUAGUUUUAUCUACUUACACCUUUUUUUACAUACUUAAAUAAAAUAAAGGGAUAAAUUUAAGGCUUAAGUGCUACAAUGCCCCCUAGAACAUUGAUCAAUUCUCACUAAACCCCCUUAAAUUUAAAGUGACCCACUUUGCCCCAUUGACUGAUGUUUUGUGUCUCACUUUGCUCCUCACCGUCAAGUUUGUUAAAAAUGCUAACGUGGCACCAAUGGAACCCACUAUUUUGCUAAACUAAAUACCAUGUGUGAAAAAAAAUAUUAAAAAUUCCAAGUGUGAGCUCCAAAUCAUCCAAUCCGACGUCAUGAAUCUUCUCUCUAAUCCACGGCUUUACCUCUGGGAUCUCACUGUCAGGCAAGUUUUGGUGAGUAACAACAGGCUUCGUAAGAUUGAAAGUGGGAGAGGCUGGCAUUGUUGACAGAGAAGGAGCAAAUCUCUAGAAGCAAAUCCAUUGCCCAUAAUCAACAGUGGAAGUAUCAGACUCAUCACAUUCGGGAAUGGUAGCAGCUGGAAAAUGGAGUUGGCGACGGGUAGUGGCGGAUCCAGGAUUCAAAAGUCAUGUAGGUGAAACUUACGUUAAAAACUCGAAUGUAUGAGUGAAUUUUAUUCAUAAAAAUAAAAAGAUACACCUAGUCAGGGGGAUGUAAUGAACCUUAUCCUCAAAUAUGCAUAUCUAUACAUAAAUAAAAGCUUAACCAAAAAAAAAAAAAAAAGAAAUAAAUGCAAUGCAACACAAAAACUAAACGAUUUUAAUCUAAAACUGUACCUUACGAGGCUCAGAAAUCUUAAAUUCCUCAAUUAUCUCUUCAUUAUCGAUAUUAUUAACAAACUCUCUUUCAAUGUGGAGAAUCAUGCAAUCAGCAAGGAAUUCAUCAACUAUGGUGCUCCGAAGUCUAUUCUUAAUAAUUCUCAUACAUGAAAAAGAUCGUUCCGUUGUUGCUGUAGAAACAGGAAGAGUCAACACCAACUGAAUCAACCUAUAAAGCAAAUGGUAGUUUUCUGCCAAAGUUGUUUCCACCAAUUGUUGACAUAACUGAGGAAGAGUGGUAAGAUCCUUAAAGCAGGGAAGGCGAUGCAUAUCAUUUUGAAAAUACCUAAACUCAAUUUCCAAAGCUUUUAAGUCACUUGGACUGAAAUCAGCAUGAUAGAAUUUCUCAGCAAGUUUACAUAGAUGCCCAAUAUUGAAUGAUUUGAAGGAAUUACGAGGAUCCAAUGCUGAGCUAAGAAUAAGAAGUUCAACUGUUUGCUCUGGAAAUCUGUCAUUUAACUCCCUCAACAUGCAAUCUAUCACAUCAUUAAAUACAUCAUUGCGAUAGUAAUGUUCAACUGUAAUAAAAUCUUUUUGUUGACAAGAACGACGUGUGCCCAUCAUAUAACGAGAACUCAUAUCAGGAACAUCAAUACCAUGUUGUUCACAAAAUGAUACCACAUUCAUGAAUAAAUCAUCCCAGCCAUGUGCCCUCAUAUCUUGGAACUGUGGUUUUGUGUUUUCAACAAAGUUUAAAGCACUUACAAUAUCUUGAGUUUUUUCUGAAACACUUGACAGAGAAAGUUGGUCAAUCCCAUAAUUUUAUCCAUCAAAAGCAAUGCAAACACAAACUCAAAAGACAUCAUAGCAAUAUAGUUACUCUCUGCAUCACCAUGAAAUUGUUGGUUAGGUCCAUGUUCACUGAUUUCUUGAAGAAGUAUUUUAGUCUCUUUAAAUAAACUCAUUAAACUUGUAAUAGAGGCAAAGUGAGAUCCCCAAUGAGUGGCUCCAGCUCGUUUCAAACUAGGACCUUGAUUUAGUCCUCUACCUGUCUCAAGUUCCCCAGAAUCCAACAACUCUUUGAGUUCCGCUUUUCAAAUUAAAUUUAACUCAUUACGGCGCUUAGCAGAAGCACUAACAAAAUUCACAAUGUUAGUCAACAUUGAAAAAAAUCUCCAUACAACCUUCACAUCUUUAGCUGCACCAUUUAAUGCUAAUUGCAAGCGAUGAGCAAAACGAUGUACAUAAUAUGCAUAUGGACAAUCUUGAAGAAACAAUGCUUGUAAUCCAUUCCAUGAACCACGCAUAUUAUUAGCACAAUCAUACCCUUGGCCACACAUGUUUUUCACUAGAAUGCCGUUAUGAUCAAGCACUUUGCAUAUAUCUUGUUUAAGAGUCAAGGCAUUAGUGUCUACGACACUCACAAUAUCGAAAAAGCCUUCACGAAUAAAUCCAUCACAAUCAACAAAUCUUAGAAUAAUAGCCAUUUCUUCCUUACCUGAUUCAUCAAGUGAUUCAUCAACAAGAAUACAAUAUUUGUUCUUCCCAAGUUUGGUACAAAUUUUCUUCUUCACCUUGGUAGCAAAAAUAUGCAAGAUCUGUUUUUGUAUAUCAUGGGCAAUAUACUGAGCAUUAUGAGGAGCCUUAUCUAGAAUAACUUUCUCAACUUCUAUAUUCAUUCUUGCAAAUGACUUUAAGAUUUCAAUGAAAUUGCCUCGGUUAGAUGAGUCAACUGAUUCAUCGUGACCUCAAAAAGCCAAUGCUUAAUUUGCUAGAUACCGAAUGCCCUCUAUUGUGGUUGUAAGUCGCAACCGAUUGUCCAUCACUUGUUGCUUUGAUUGCUUAUCUACCACAUUUUCAAUAUGAAGAGAUGGAUUUUCUAAGCUAACCCACUUUUGCAUAGCAAGAUGAUGUGGAGAAUUUAGCUUGCCUACAUGACUUUGAAAUACACAUUGAUUACCACCAAUUCUCUUCCAAUUUUGAAAUCCAUGAAUAGUAAAGGUUGAAUGUGAAUGAUUCAUGUCAAAUAGGAAGCAAGGAAAACAAAAUGCCAAAUCUUUAGCAAUUGAAUACUCAAGCCAAGGGAAUUUACCAAACCACAAUUUAUUAAAUCAAUGUAAGUCUCACCCUUCUAAAUGGCUUGGAUAGUCUUCUAACUCCGGUUGACAAGGUCCUAAAAUAAUAUAGGCUUUUCGCACAUUAUCUUGUUUAUUCACCGAAUAUUGGCAUAUUUGACGACAUAAUCCCGGAUCAUGCUUAAGAUAAUUGAUAUUAAAAUCUUGACCACUAUCAACUUUUUGGGUCUCAACUCUUUCAACUUGAGGCUCGACAAUGGGAGAAGAGAGAAGAUUUGGCUCAUCACAAAUGGGAGGCAUUCUAGAAGAUGAUGACCCAUAAUUCUUUUUCUUAAAAAAAGAGAACAAAUUCUUUGUUUUCUUGGGGUUUCGAUUGUGAUCCGACAUAAUAAAAGAUAACCUAUUUAAUCAAACAUCCCAACAAAAAAUCAAACAAUUUCUCAUAAUAGCAUCAAUGAAUUUAAUCAAACAUUAACAUACCAACAACAAAUCAAACAUCUCAACAAUGCCAACAUCAAAUCAAACAUCUCAACAAAAUUCUUAAAAUCAAAGACCUAAUUAAUUUCAACAAAAUUCCCAAAUUAUAUUUAAUUCCUAAUUAAACCCUAGAAAACUCAAGGGAGCUUCACUAAUAUACCCAAAAUAGGGGCUGAAAUUAUAAAAAAAACCCCACAUGGAUUGCACUUUAGAAACACACCCAAAACUCAUUUACUACAUAAAAAAUUAGUGUUUAAGUUCUUAUAAAUUACAUGACUGCCAUUGAUCAAUUUAAAAAAGAAGACCAACACAAAAAACUUAAAUAGCACCCAAAACAAGCCCAACCCAAUUUUAUAAAAAAACCCAAACAAUUCAUUACAAACAAAAGGUCUUGAAAACCGUAGUUUCAUUAACGUGUCAUGUUAAUUAAUCAUUGUAAUGUUCUACACCUUUAUUGUCAUGUUGAUUAAUUGUUGUAAUGUUCCAGUUUAGGGUAAUAACACUGCUAUGUCAUGUUGAUUAAUGGUUAUAAUGUUCCAGUGUAGAGUAAUAACACUGCUAAUUUCCUAUAACAUCCUAUUUCUAAUGCAUGUUUACCCCUGUACUGUUCCAGUGUAGGGUAAUAACACUGCUAGUUUCCUAUGAUAUCCUAUUUCUAAUGCAUGUCUACCCAUGUAAUGUUUCAGUCUAAGGUAAUAACAUUGCUAGUUUAUUGUCAUGUUGAUUAAUGGCUGAUGUUCCAAUCUAGGGUAAUAAUAUUGCUAGUUUAUUGUCAUGCUGAUUAAUGGUUGUAAUGUUCUAGUUUAGGGUAAUAACAAUACUAGUUUCAUAUGACAUCCUAUCUCUAAUGCAUGUUUACUCUUGUAAUGUUCCAGUCUAGGGUAAUAACACUGCUCGUUUCCUAUGAUAUUCUAUUUCUAAUGCAUAUCUACCCCUAUAAUGUUCUAGUCUAGGGUAAUAGCACUGCUAUUUCCUAUGACAUCCUAUUUCUAAUGCAUGUUUACCCCUGUAAUGUUCUAGUCUAGGGUAAUAACACUGCUAGUUUACUGUCAUGUUGAUUAAUGUUUAUCAUGUUGCUAUUUCUAAUACAUGUCCACCAAAGAAAAGAUGAAGAAAGAACAAACCAGACCAACUCAAAACAAGCUGAGCCCAGAUUGUUAAUACUAUUAUGUCAUAGAAGUAUAUUGUUAAUACUCUGUCAUAGAAGUACAUUGUUAAUACCCUAUCACAGAAGUACAUUGUUAAACAAAAAUGAGAUUCAUAACUGAAAUAGUAACAAAAGUUGAAUCGAUCAUCAAAGCUUCAAAUACAUUUCGAAAAUCAACUAAAAUCCGAAGAGAAACACAUAAUUGAAGCAAAAGAUCAAAAAUCUCAAGUACAAACCAAACGACGACGACGGCGGCGACGACAAUAACAACGACAAUGAUGUGGCGAAAGAGGAGUAGAGCUCGAAGAUGAGGAGUAGAGCUAAAAGCAUCUGAUCGAGGUUUUUUCAAGGUCUUGAACAAUCCGAAAAAAAGAAAAAAUCAAUAGAAGCACGAUUUUAGAACAAGAAAUUGAAGGUGAAAUAUUGAAAAUUGUAGAUUAAAGAUGAAUAAUAUAGUUGGACCUGAGACUGAGCUUCAAUGGAAGCUCCUCUUGCUCCAACACCAGAGAAAACACCAGCGAGAAAGGAGAAAAUAAAUAUGAUUUGAUUUUUUGGCAGAUUUGGUUUUUUUGGCAGAUUUGGUUUUUUGGCAGACAUGGAAAUAUUUGGUUUUAUGGCAGAUCUGGGCAGAUCUGAUUUUCCUCUCUUAAAUCCAUAGUACAAGGACAAUAUAGGUAUUUAACACACACAAAUAAACUAAAAAACAACUAUUAAAUUAAAAAAAAUUGAUAGCUGUCAAUUUUUGGAUUUUUUUUGGGUGUGUUUAUAGUUUUUAAACGGUGUAGGGUUUCUUUAUAAAACCAUGUCUAACAUUGGGUAUAUAACUAAAUUUCUAAAAACUCAAUUUCAAAUUAAAAUUAAAACUAAGAUGCAUACAUUUAUUUUAGGAAUAACCCAAUAGAAGAAGAUAAUUAAAGAGAAGAGAUUAAGAAGAAUACUUGUUUCCUUGUAUAUGAGAAGAGAAGGGGCUGUCCACGAUUGCACAACUUGACUAUUGCACAACCAAGACUAUUGAGUUGAGAAGAAGCUACCGACUCUGUGUGGAAUUGCACAGCCACUAUUUGGUUGCUUAUAAGUUAUAUUCCCCCUUUUAUUAAAGUAUGAUUGGGCCAUUCCAUAACAUGGGCUGGUUAUAAUUUUUUUUUUUUUUUAAAAGUUUGAGUGGGCUUUAACACAUGUGGUGUGGGUUUUACAUGGGCUGGUUAGGCAAGGGUUUAUACCAUCACAUGUAGGGCUCGUUUGGUACACCGUAUUAGACUCUGGAUAGGAGUAAAUAGUCUAUGUCAUGUGUUUAGUGUCAACUUGUAUUAUUUAAUUAGCCGACUAUUUUAUACAGGUUAGGCUUUUAAUACUCUCCUUACCUGACUAACUAAUACAACCCACACACUCCGGUUUAGAUAAUACACGCUUAAUUAUACUGCUAGGGAAAAAGAACACGCCUUCUACGAAAAAAAUCAGACGCUCUUUUCAUCUUCUUCUCCCUAGGGUUGUUCUCUGCUAUCUUCUCCACAGGUUAUUUUCUUCACUCUUCUCCAGGUAUCCAUCUCUCACUCUCUCUCUUUUUCAUACUCUCUCCAAUAUGCUUUAUAUAUUUCAAAUUUUUAGUGGAAAUUAGGUUAUGAAUUUUUCUUUUUUGGCUUUUUUUUUAAUCGAAUGUUUUCUUUGUAUGUGAUAUAGUAAUUCGACAUUGUGGGAAUAUUUAGAUUGUUGGUAUUAAACAGAGUAUUGCCAGUUUUCGUCCAAAAACAAACAACUGUGCUAGUGUUGGUAGUUUAGUUGAAUACAUACAUACCUGACGACUAGGAGAGCAAAAUUACAAAAUUAAAAUUGUAUGAACCUGAAUUCUAAGAACCAUUUUUUUUCUUUGUCAAUUGCUAUUAGAAAAGCAAAGAUGGACUUGUCUAUUAAUGACCAAAUUAAGGCACUACAGCUAAUUUUGGAGAAAGCAAGUGAUGAAAAAAUAUUCCUGACAUUGGAUGGUGCUAUGAGAAAAGCAUUUGUUCUUCUCUUACUUGGGGCGAGGGAGUUGUGAUUCACUCUUUGAUGUAGUUUGGUUUAUGAACAAUUUUCUCUUUUGCUCUUAUCACCUUAAUAUGUGAUCACUUUGAAUUAUACAUUAUUUGGUACUGUUUUUAUUAACGUAUGCGAGUAUGUUGGUAUUUUUAUGAGAUACUACAAUUAUGAUAAUGGGUUAUAUGAAAAAAAAUCUUGGCAAAAACAAUUGAAAAACAAAUCUUGUCAUAUGAAUCUUACCCAAAAAAAAUUUGUGUCAUUUGAAUCUCAAUUUCCAUUAAAAUUAUCAAAGAUUUUUUAUUUAUUAUUAUUUAUAAAUAGUCUGAUAUGAGGUUAUCCGAAACAUCACCAAACAUAGUACAACUUAGUCAGAUUAUUUAUCCGGAACAACACCAAACGCCUUAUAAUAUUAUCGAUAAAUAGUCAGUACUCUCCGGAACAGAUUAAUACUAUCCGACAGAAAUUAGUCAGUACAGUCCGACGUACCAAACGAACCCAUAAUGGGUAGCAAUUACUUUGCUUAUAUAUAUAUAUAUAUAUAUAUAUAUUGAUGAAAUUUUUUUAGUUAGGCAGCUGCCUACCUCCUGGCUGUAGGACCACCACUGGUUGUCGCAGUGCUUGGGCAAAUUGAAGUUGCCCUGAGCUCGGAGCCCUGUGAAUAUCUUAGCAGCUAUGGCUCUCCUCCUCUUCUCUCUCCUCCGGUUGUUCUCUCUCUCCCUUCAGGACAACUUACUUCGCUUCACUGUCGCCGCAGACGUGGCUCCAUCCGACGUCAUUCCCUGAUCAAUUAUCUUCCCUCUCUUUUCUCUCUCAGUAUCAGGUGCUGUGCAAUUAAGUUUUUUAAAGUAUUAUUAAUUUUUUAAUAAUUAAAUUAAGUUGUUUAAAAGGCAAUUUUUAAUUUUUAAUUAUUUUUUUUUCACACAUGGCAUUUAGUUUAACAAAAUAGUGGGUCCCAUUGGUGCCACAUCAGCAUUUUUAUAGGAAUUUUUAACGGACUUGACAGUGAGGGGGCAAAGUGAGACAUAAAAUAUCGGUUAAGGGGGCAAAGUGAGUCACUUUAACUUUAAGGGGGUUUUAGUGAAAAUUGACCAAUGUUUCAAGGGGCACUGUAGCAAUUAAGCCUAAAUUUAAUAACACUAAAAUUUGUACCAUUGCAAUAUUCUCAAAGAGAUAUUUAAAAAGAGACCAAUAUUGAAAAAAAAAAUUUCUAUUGCAUUGAACUAUUGAACAACCAUUGCAGAUGCUCUUAACAACAUAAUGCAUUAAUUAUUGUAUUUUUUUCCUUUUUUUAUUGACAUGUGGGUCCAAUGGUUAGCCUAUUGCAAUCGCAAUAGAUGGUUCAUCACAUUACCCUUUCUUGCAAUUGCAUCUAUUACAAUGAACUAAAUCACACCAUUGCAAAUGAAAUUUUAGUGUUUUAGUUCAAUUUCAUACAAUAAAAUUGCAUUGAUUCUAACCAUUGCAGAUGCUCUAACAGGCAAUUCCUCUUUUAACGCCACUAACCUAGCCAAAUUCUCAUUACUUUAUAUCAAAAUAGUGAGCCCAAGCCAUCAAUUAGCCCAAUUCUUUUAUUAAUUUGCAUGGAUUGAAAAUAGGCCCAAAACACAGGGAUGUAACUGAAGCAAUUAAGAUUCUUGUACAAAAACUCAAAAUCAUAAGAGCAUGCUCUCAUGUUCGCAUGGUGUCCGAGUUUCUCCUCUUCUACUGCUGCACGUAAGAUACAGUGCAUACUUUAAAUUUCUUUUCAAAGGUCUAAUGGCUUACCCUCGCCUGUUACAGGUGAGGGUACAAUUCACCUCACUCCUUCCUUAUCAUCAUCCCGUGAGCUCUUGGUUCUCAAUAUUCACUGUAACUUGUUAUAUUUUGGUCAUUUAUUUGAUACACUUAAUGUGUUUGCUAUUUUCUAUUCUACUCAUUGUAUUUUCCAAGAUCUUAAGACUCACAAGACAAUUGGACAUGGUAAACGGAGAGGGGGGUUAUACUACUUGACUUUACCGAUUACAAUAGUUCGUGAUUGUGUUGCUAAUAAAGUUCAGAGUGGCAGUGUCAAAGACAAACAACAAAUUUGGCUGUGGCGUAGUCGCUUAGGAGACUCGUUAUUUGGUUAUCUUAAGCAUUUGUUUCCGUCAUUAUUUUGUUCUUGUAAUGAGUCUACCUUUCAAUGUGAGACUUGUGUAUUGGCCAAGAGCCAUUGUAUUGUUUUUCCUUUAAGUAAUAAUAAAGUUGCCAAGCCUUUUGAUUUAGAACAUUUUGAUGUAUGGGGUCCGGCUCAUGUUACUUUGAACGGAUUUCGUUGGUUCGUCACAUUUAUUGAUGAUUUUAUCUGAUUCACUUGGGUUUUCAUGCUCAAAAAUAAAAAUGAUGUUGCUUUCAUCCUUCCUGAAUUUUGUAAUAUGUUAUCUAUUCAGUUUCAGGCUCGGGUCCAAGUAUUCUGGACUGAUUAACGAGGGGUAAAUAUGUGAAUAAUACUUUGGCAUAUUUCUUUCGUGCUCACAGUAUCAUUCAUCAAACAACCACCCCUUUUACUAGGCCUCAUCAUUUGGCCCGCGGGCUCAUGGGCCGAUGGGGGCCCGCCCGGCCCACGGAAAAAAAGCCCGGCCUGGCCCGUUAUGGGCCGACACGGCCCACCCACAAAAGCCUUACCCGUUAGGCCCGCAUACGUAUAUAAUUAUAUAUAAAUAAGAGUUUAGGAUUAGGAUUAUGUCACUUAAAUCACAUAUAUAAUUUGUUUCAUUUCAUUUACUUUUCUUUACUCAUUCCUAGUUUAUAAUUGGAUGAUUAGCACGUUAAUUUGUGUCAAUUAUUAAUACAACAAUUAUAUAUAAAAAUAAGAUGAACAACAUAUCAUAUCACCAAAUAUAAUCAUAUCACGAAACAUAAUCGUACCACCAAAUAUAAUCAUGCUUUUCUUGAACACAUCACCAAACAUUUGCAUAUUUAUUCAUGCCAUCCUUUAAAAAUUAUCUUUAUGAUACUUAUUAUUUUUUAAAAUUAUUUCUUAAAACGUAUUACAGUCUAAUUAUGUAAUAACCUCAAAAAUAAUACUUGGUUUUAUUAUUUUUAUAGAAAAUCUUAUUAAGUUGUGUGACUUUAUUAGGUGUUUUAUGAAUUUGGUUUGAUGUGAAAAUAUUGGAAUUAAGUGAGUUUAAUCUCAAAUUUGGACUAAAAUGCCCUUAUGAUUAAGUUUAUGAUUUUUUUCGAAUGAAGUAGGCCCGUUUCGGCCUGGCCCUUUGGGCUUAGCCCGGCUCGACCCGAUGGGUUUUCUCAAGCCUGGCUCAUGGGUCAUGCUUGGGCUUUGAAUUUUUUUAAAAACCCGGCCCAGCUCGGCUCGAUAUUUUCUCUCUCCUCUUUAAAGCCUGGCCCGGCCCGGCCUAAGCCCAUUAAAUUUGGGUCAGACUAGCCCGACCCGGCCCAUUGACGAGCUUUACCUUAGACCCCUCAACAAAAUGGUGUGUCCGAAAGGAAGAACUGACAAUUGCUUGAAGUUGCUCGCUCACUUAUUUUGGAUAUGUCUAUUCCCCAUUAUGUUUGGGGACAUACUGUUAUGUCUGCUGCUUAUUUGAUCAACCGUACUACUAGUCGUGUUCAUGACUUUGACACUCUUGUUCAUGUGCUUGGUGACCAUGUGCUUCUUUCUUGUUUUCUGUUUUGUGUAGGGAAUUAAAUUGAAUCAAUCUAUCAUCAAUCUCCGUGGGAUCGACUUCGCACUUACAUAUGUUAUACUACCCAACGGUUCAUGCACUUGUGAGUAUCACAAGUUGAGAAUGCAGCUGAAUCAAUUUUGGCACAGCUGAAUCGACACAAGAAGUUUUUGGUGACGGGGAUCAAACCCGGGUCACCCACAUGACAUGCGGGAAUAUUUACCACUAUACUACAACGACUGGUUCUGUUGCCGGGACUUGAACCCGAGUCUUUCGGUUGACAGCCGAAUAUCCUGAAAGCCAAACUUUACAAUGUAAAACAAUGUUACCAAGAGGUGUGGUAACAAGUAGAAAAAGAGGCACACACAAAUGAUGCUACAAAUAGCCCAAAACGAAUUCUUUGAACCAGGCUUGGAGUGGGAAGGCCUGAGAUCUCAAUAUUGAUCUAAUAGGGCCCAAAUUUGGAUAUGUUGUAAUAGACACCUAUUGGAACAACUUUCAUGAAGAAUGUAUUCCUAUCCGAGCACAGCAACAUGCUGAUCCAAAGCCAAGAAUUUGACCUACGAAAUGAGAAAAAACAAUUUAUAUUCAAUAAUGAACUUUUAGCUCACAUUUAUUCCAACCAAGGUAAAAUUCUAUAAUAAAAAAAACACAAAAAGAAAGUAAAAGACUAUAAACUGUCAAUAACUAACAAAAAAUAUCGGUGAAUCACAUGAUAAAUCAUGUACAAAAAUGAACCCAACAAACUUCCCAAACUUAUCUUUUUUCUAGUCCUUGAGCAAAACAAAAGGAAAAUAAAGAGAAAAACAAGAAGUUAACUAGACCACUUUCGCAGGUAACUCGAUUGCAUUGAGCGUAUACAACAAGCAUUUAAACCUCUAGGCAUCCCUAAUAGGAGGAGUUGUGUCGCUUAAGGAUUUAACAGAUACAAUACCCACAAACGUUUUACUGACUCUUCAAAACAAAGUGGUUAGAAAACUAAUUAAAUUAUGUUAGUCCUUGAGCCAAAAAAAAAAAAAAAAAAAAACUCAAAAUAAUCUUUCUGAACAUUUUCAGAAGAGAAACGACUCAUGCACAUGACUCAAAAGUUUUAACAAUAAAAGUGUAGUAGUGUGAUAGCCAAAUGCAACUUAUUCCCGAAUUUCAAUUUUCACAUGAUUUCAAAAAUCAUACAAAGCACAAAUGCAACUUCAAAUCUCACCAAAAUUAUCUUCUCACCAAUGAAUCACUCAGAAAAGGGAAUGCAUCACUCAGUUAUAAACAUGAGAUUAGAGUUAAACCAUAAGGGACUUAACUCGCAAGAAAGAUGAAGAACUUGCAUUAAUAUGAUCUCAAGAAGGAUGUCAAACACUUAAAAGUAGGUGCAAUUCAACCAUUUGACCUUUAGGAUCAAUUUAGGACUUUAACAUAGGUUGAAAUGGGGCCAAGGUGUAAGGUGAGUGAGAAAUGAAAGGUAUGGAUAAUACAAAGCCCAAGGAACUCACAAUGUAAGAGCAUAAAACAAUGGUUUCCAAGACUUCGAAUCAUAAUGAUUAGAAUUUUUUUUUUAUAUGAUCAAUUAGAUCAUAAUUCCUUAUACCUCCAUUUAUAUUGAUUCACACUCAUUUCUUUUAAAUCAACUGAUUUUUAAAAGCACAACUUUUCUCUUUUCCUUCACCAAUUGGGUGAAUUUCUUUGUUUCUUUAUUUUUUUUUUAUUUUUUUUUUUAUAAAUGUAACACCCCUUCCCAAACUUAGCAUGAAAAACACAUCACAAUUAAAGCUCAUGAGUUCCCUGGAAAGGUAAAUACUUGUUUUUCAUACUAAGGCGAGAAAAAAUAACUGAUUAAAUGAAAGAAAAGGUUUACGUGUAAGCUCAAAAUGGUUAACAAUGGAAAAUCAUACUUAAGCAUGCAUAAGGUUAGCUUGGAAGGCACAAACGAUUCAAAGAGCGCCUUAAUAUCAUGUAAUCAAAUUGCAUAAGAAUGAAUGAUUUUUAAGUGCUCAACCAAAUCAACGAAUAAUGAGAUCAAACAAUUUUGAUGACAAGAAAAUAAGAAUAUGUGUAAAAACACUCAUGAAUUGCAGCACAAGCAGUGGCGGUUGUACACAGGGGGCAGGCUGGGCUGCUGCCCGGCCCAAAAUUUUCCAUAAAAACAAAUAGGUAAAUGUGUUAUCCAAGCCAAAAAAAAAAAAGAACAACUCUGUCUCUAACUAGUUGCCCAACCAGCCAUGGCCUACACUUACCAAUUGGUGGCUGGGCAAGAAUACCCACCACUUGCUCGAUGAAAUACCUCAGUGAAGAAGGCAUAGCAACACCUUCCUUGCGAUGAGUUUUCUGAUUUGCAGAGGCAGCACUAUGUGCCUGGCAAAGAAGACCAUGUCUCGGUGCCCUUAUAAACGAAACACACCGUUUUGUGAUUAGCCUCCUUUAGUGAAACGGUGGUUUAGUGUUCAACACUUGGCUGCCUCUUUUCAUUGUCGAUGGGUUUAGUGGGCUAGUUUUCGUUUUAUCGGUUUUAUGAGGUUUGGCUUCAUAAUAAUGGGUGAAUUAUUUAAAAACUUUAUCCUAUGGGCCAAUAUAAUAUAAUAGAAGAUUAUUUAACAAACAAAAAAACUAUUUUAACAGUAAAUAUAAUAAAUAUAUAGAAAUAUAUAUAUAUAUAUAUAUUUAACUAAUGUGUUAAUUCGAUAAUGCAAUGAUAAUUGAGAAAUUUAAGACUUCUUGUAUGGUAAAAUUUCAAAUUUAAAUAGUGUUAAUAUGUAUUGUAUUGCAUUGUAUUUACUUGUGAUUUUUAUUUUUAUUUUUAAAGCUUUUAUUUAUGUAUACAGAUGCAUUUGAAGUAAGGCUCAUUACAUUCCCAUGAGUAGAUGUAUCUUUUAGGGUUUAUUACUGAAUUCACUCGUAAUCUCAAGUUUAAUAUGUAAGUUUUGCCUAGCCAGUUUUCAAAUCUUGAAUCCGUCACUGAGCACAAGGCUCAAAAGCUCACAUUAUAUGGUUAUACAAGUUUAAUUUAUGCUUGAUAUACAAUUCCUUGGAUCAUGCAAGUCCUUUAAUUGGAAAAUUAUGAAGCAAAUGGCAAGUGCAUAGAAGGUUUCAAACAUAUUAUGCUAGAAUGAUGCCAUUAAGUGACAGUUUUUUAUUUUUAAAUUUUUUUUUAAAAAUCAAAAAUCAAAUUUUCAUUCAAGUCAUGCAAACAUUUAUCACAAUCUCAUCAUAUGUGUUCGGAAAGUGACUUAAAAAUGGGAAAAAAAGACUCAAAUAAAACAGAAAAAAAAAAAGAAGAAGCAAAAUACAAAAUACAAAAAAAUAAGAAAAACCAAAUUUACUUACUAAACUACCUUCCAAAGUUUAGAAAUGAACAUUGUCCUUAAUGUUUAAAAGUUAGGCACAAACAAUGUCAUAGCAACAAAUGAAAGGUACUAAAACAAAUAAAUAUCACAAAAUACAAUAAAUAAAAUACAAUAAAGUUUCAAAAAUAAAAUUAAAAAUUACCAAAAAAAAAAAAAAAAGAUCAAACGGUUAUGCAAAUUGAAACCCAAACCAUUUUGAAACCCAAUCCACUUUGAAGCCCAAACCACAGUGAAAUCCGAAGCCCACACAUUUUUUUUGAAAUUUUUUUUCUUUUAUUGUAAAUUACCAAAUUUAAAUUUUUUUUUUUAAGACGAAGCGUGAUUGGGAACGUGGGUCCCAACAUCUCAUCUCUUGGUAAGUCAUGCGCAAACAAAGCACGAGAGGCGUGUCAACACACAGAGGUGCCGCAGAUCCCUACCGAAAAUUACAAAUUUGCUGAACGCCUUCUUUCAGAAAGGUCACGUCGCGACAAAUUAUUGGGGGAUGGGUAGAAAGCCAAAAGGCUGUGGAGCUCGAGGAACAGGGGAAAAGUCAGAAAUAUGUAGAAUGGUGUUGUGGCUAGGGUUCGUCAAAAUGGACAUCUAGAAAAGGAAACGAGGGAAAAAUAAAAAAAUUCAUAACCACGCAGAAGAGAGAAAGAAAAGAAUAAAAGAGAGAUGGGAGAAAGAAAGAAAUAGAAAGCCGAAAUAAAAUGUCGUCUUCCUUCCCAUGUUCUCUAAAUCUCAACCUACCUCCGCCAACACAUACAUGGGGGUAAGGAGAAGCACCUGUGUGGAUGCCCUACUUUUCUCUCUAGAUCUCAACCUACCUCUGCCAACACAGACAUGGGGGCAAGAAGCGGCACCUGUGUGGGUGCCCUACUUUGCUUCCUCACGAGGACCAGUUACUGUAAACGACUCUUUAAUUACAUAUUGACAACGAUGUUUCGAUUGGAGUUACGAGGAGUUUGGUGAGUCCCAAGGAUUUGUGCGUGCUAGGAACAAGGGAUGACAACUGGGUAGGAGCGAUGCCUUGACAUUGAGCGUGCAAAGUGUGGCAUCUGUUGCAAGUGUGGGGCAUCGCCUCAUUGUGAAAUCCUAUGAGGUGCUGGUGCUAAAAGCUCAGUUGGUGGUAAAGCAGAAUUUGGUUGAAGAUUAUCAGAGUGUUAUAAGGAGAUUGAAAAGGUAUAGGGCAAAGUCGUUGGAAGAGACACGACACCAACUUGAAAUAUUGCAUGACGAGAAUAAAAAGCAAUCAAAGAUGGUAGAUUCUUACUCUAAAGACAUGCAAAGUAGCAGGAGGCCCUAGAGUGAACGGGUAAAUGCAAGCACGGAGAUCACGAAACAAGUUUUGCUCAAACUAAGAGAGUGAUCUUUAGGAGCUUAAGUGAUGAGCCCCAAGAAGCAGUGUGUGAAACCUGAGAGAUGAGAUCCAAAGGGCCAAACAAAUGUCUCCUAUUGUGGAAUCGGGAAGCACUCCAUGAUAUUUGAUAAGACCCGACUCGAAUUCUAUCUUGGAAUCCGUGAUGAACCCUGUGGUUUUUUCGACAUCUAACCAAUGCCGGGCCCACUUACUAAAAUAGUCCCCUUCUUUGCUACCAAGGAAAAAAGGGCUGAGACUUCUAUCGAAAUUUCGAUAAAGUCACACUUGAAAAAAAGAAGAAAAAAAGAAGAAGGUAUUUUUGCAAAUUUUCCACUUGCGAAAAACAACAGAAAAAAGUUCUCAACUACCAGCACACACAAUGCUAAAGGCGCACAGAUUAUAGAAUAGGCCUUCGGCCUUAAAUUCAACCCUACAUGGUCAAUAAUACAACAAAUCUAAGAAAUCUUUAGUUUUACAACCAAAGCAUAAGUUCCAAAGGAAAUUAAACAAGUAAAAGUUCCCUACAACAGUUUGAGGCAUGAGAGUAAGAAGUCUUGGCUCGGUUGCACGGAUCAAGUCAAGCUACUGCCUUAGGGCGCAAAACAGAAAUUGUGAGUGGACAAAAAUAAAGUUUUAACAUACUUUUAAACAAACAUACUAACCCCACCGUUUUGGAAAACGAUGCCAAAACAUGCAGAAAAACCAUUUAUAUAACAUAAUUGACUUUUAAAACCAAGGUAUCCCAUAAUCCCGAUGUAGCAUAUAACACAAACUCAAACUAGACUUUUUUCCCUUCCUAGACCACUCUCUUCUAAGACACAUGCCUUUAAGCACAACAAAGCGAGGAAGGAUCCUCACAAAUAAAUAAGAGAAUAUAUAUAUGUAGGUAUAACCACUACACCAAUACUAGUACAUGGGAAACAAUCCAACACGAGGAUUGUUUGACUAGACCACAUGUAGAAAUCCUCAAUACACAUUUGGCUAGGGAAGAGCAGUCCAACAGGGACUAUUGCUCACCACACAUGCACAGCAGAAUCCUCAAUACUCUGUCUAACACACGUUGACUGCCCCACAAGGGCCUACGAUAACACCCUGUCAAGGGUGCCCGGGUUCCAACAUAUCCAAGUAUCCAUCGUUUCCAAGUAUCCAAGUACCAGGGAGGUACAUAGGGUGGUGCUAAUAGCACUCCAAUAUAACAUAUUCCACAUCCCAACAUAUAUAUCAUAACCAUAUCCCAAAUUCCAAAUAUUCCAAAGUACCCAAUCCCAUAUACAUAGACAGACAUUAAUAGAGUCCAUAACUCAAUACCCAAAUAUUUAAUCGUAGUAUAGAUAUCAGACUCUCAAAAGCAUAUAUUCCAUAACCGAAAAUAUUCACAAACUUCAAAUAUCAAUAUAACAUCUGAUAACCAUUAGAUAUUAGGGAAAUAGCCCUAAAUGACACCCAUUUCAUAAUUUUAAUUAAAAAUACCAUCCCUUCCCAAUUUUUGUACAACUAUCACCUAUAAAUAUAAAAUUAUUGUCCACUUUCUCUUUGGUUCACAAGUUCAGAAAUUUUGGAGAGAAGAAGCUCACACAGCUCUCUCUCUCUCUCUCUCUCUCUCUCUGUGGCACAGCUCUCUUUCUCUUUGGUAUCUGUCUAUCACAGCUCUCUGUGUCUCUCUUGGGCUCUCUCUAUCUUGGUCUCUCUAUCUUGGCUCUCUCGCUCUUGGCUCUCUCGCUCUUGGCUCUCUCUCUCUUGGCUCUCUCUCUCUCUCUCUCUAGGCUCUCUCUCUCUCUCUCUAGCACAACUCUCUGUCUCUCUCUUUGCUCUGUUUCUCAUAGCGCAGCUGUCUCUCUCUAUCUUCGUUAUGUCCCUUUCUCCCCUAUUCGAUCUCUUGCUCUCUGUUUGGAAUCGCGAACCCCUCCCUUUAGCUAUGUCUUCUGAAUAGCUGCUUGCAACCUUGAAGCUCUAGUGGAUUGCCGACCUCGAAAAGGUAGUGUUGAUGGUUAUUUUCUUAAUAUCAGUAUUAUGUGAAAUGGGUUAUAGUUUGAUUGUUUGGGUUUGUGUUAAAUUCGUUUUGGCUUUAAUUUAUUUGGGUUAGGUUUUGUUGAAUAUUCAUGCUCAUUCAUCUGGGUUUGUACCAAUUGCAUUUAGAUUGGUCUGGAUAUGUGAAUCUUGAAACUUGGGAUUUUCUAUUUGAUGUAGUAGAUCUGUAUAGUGUGAUUCUGUUGUGUUCCUCUUAUUUUACAGUCGUAUUGCUGUUAUAUUGCCAUUAUAUUGCCUAUAUAUUGCUGUUAUAUUGUGGUUAUAUUGCUAUUGUAUUGUAUGAUUAUUGUGGUUAUAUUGUGUGAAUGAAAUGUUGUUUUGUCAUGGUCAGAAAUGGAGACAAUUGUUAUUCUCGUGUGCUAUAAUGGAAAAUGGGUCACCUCGAAGAAGAUGUGCAAAUACGAAGGGGGUGACUCAAAAGGCUUAAUAGUUCCACGUACCAUCAAAUUUGCUGAACUGUUGGACCGUGUGCAUCAGAUUGGUAAUAAAAACAGCAGGGAAGACAAGGUUUGCUUAAAAUUCUCAGUUUUGGUGGCCUCGAAUGAGUGGAAGCACAUAAAGAUUGAGGAAGAUGAUGAUGUCAAUUUUUUUAUGAAGUACAAUUCCGAGGUAACACCUUCAAAACUAGCUCCCUUACUCGUGAGUAUAGAAGAUAAAGGACUGACAAAUGAUGUAGUUCAUAGUAUGCAUAUCACGAAAGAUAGUAGUCGGAUGGGUCAUUCUUCAGUUGCCAUUGUUGAAAGCAAUGAAGUAACUUGGAAUAAUACAAAUGUCACUGAUUUGGGAGGUGAAGUAGGGACAGAUUUUAUGGAUAUGAUUGAUUUUAGCGAGGUGGAGGAGAUGCAUGGUGGUGAUAAUGGUACUGAAAGAAAUGAAGUGUCAGUGUACUCUGCCCCUCCUAAUUUGGGGUGCUUGAACACAGCUGCCCAGUUGCCAAAAAUGCGUUUAGGAGGAGAAUCUGAACCCACUUGUCAACAUUAUUGGAGUCAAAUGGGUGAACAAAAUCGAUAUAAUACAGUCGGUGUAAAUGAUGAAGAAGCAUAUUUGGACAGCGGGUUUUCACGAAGCGAUUGGAAUCCGAAAAUUACAGUUGGGCAAAUUUUCUCUAGUAAGAAAGCAUUGUUGACGGAGUUACGGUUGACGGCAUUAAGAGGCCACUUUGAAUUUAAGGUGCAAUUCUCUUGCACUAAGAGGUUGCUUGUGGUUUGUUGUCAACGUCCAUGCCCAUGGCGGGUCCGAGCAUCGAGAAUUGGAGAAUACAGCUUCAUGAUUGUGAGGUGUACAACUGUCCAUGAAUGUGAUUUGAGGUUCGUAAGUGACAAGCAUCGUCAAGCAACCGCAGCACUUGUAGCCACUUCACUUAAAAGUAAGUUGAAGGAUUGUCGGACAAUAUACACACCAAGUGACAUUAUGAAAGAUGUGAAACACAACUUUGGUUGCACCAUCCAUUAUUCGAAAGCUUGGAAAGCAAGGGAGUUAGCUCUAUUGUCCAUUAGAGGAUCAGCGGAGGAGGCAUAUUAUAUCCUUCCAGCUUAUUGCUAUGAAUUGGAGCGUAUGAAUCCCGGCACAAAAACACACAUCCGAACUGAUGAGAACAAUCACUUUGUGUAUUUAUUUAUGGCGGUUGGCGCAUGUAUUAGAGGGUUCCGUUCUUCCAUGCGCCCAGUGAUAGCCGUGGAUGCCACUCAUUUAAAAUCCAAGUACAAGGGUGUUAUGUUUGUAGCAAAUGCAUUCGAUGGUAAUCGAAAUAUAUAUCCUCUUGCUUUUGGGAUCGGGGAUUUGGAGACGGAUGCAUCAUGGCAUUGGUUUUUCACUAAACUUCAUGAAGCCAUUGGUGAGUGUCCCAAUCUUGUUAUUAUUUCUGAUCGCAAUGUUAGCAUAGAGAAUGUGUGGAACAAAAUUUUUCCAACUGCACAACAUGGCAUAUGCUUUUAUCAUAUGAAGGGGAACAUGAAACGCACUUGCAAGUUGAAAAAGCGUGAUCACAUACUUAUGCACUUUGAGAAGGCUGCGAAAUCUUAUUCCAUUGCUGAAUUUGAUUGUCAUUUUCGCAAGAUAAAGCGAAAGGAACAUGUUGCUCAAUAUCUUGAAGACGCAGGGUUACAUAAGUGGUCUAGAGCUCACAUGGAUGGACGCCGCUACAAUGUAAUGACAACAAAUAUUGCGGAGUCAAUCAACUCAGUCCUUAGGUUUACAAGAAUGCUGCCAGUGGUUCAUUUGAUAGGGGAAAUUGUUAAUCUCCUUGUGAAAUGGUUCACCGAACGUCGUGAGUUGGCUUUGAAUUGCACAACAACAUUGUGCCCCAAUUUUGGAGAGAAGAAGUUGAGGAACAGGUUGGAGGAUGUGGCAAGGAUGAAUGUGGUUAAAGUUAAUAAUGCACAGUAUAAUGUUUUGGACGGUGAUAUGGACGACCUCGUAGAUUUGAUGAACAACAGUUGUAGUUGUAGAAAGUUUCAGCUUGAGCAGCUACCUUGCAAGCAUGUAGUUGCAGUUUGCCCGCUUCUUGAAAGUAAGUGUAUACGCAAAGGCUUCUCGGUAUUACACUCGGAAAACCUGGAUGGAUGCUUAUUCGGAUAGCAUCUACCCGGUACACCCUCACGAAUGUGGGAUACUCCUGAAGAUGUUCAAAUCCAAGUGUGCUGCCUCCCAUGGCAAGGGUCAUGUCAGGCAGACGAAAGAAGUUAAGAUUUCCCUCGCAAGGAGAGGGCCACCAUUUGCUCCGUUUACCAGACGUCAAAGGCUUCUCGGUAUUACACUCGGAAAACCUGGAUGGAUGCUUAUUCGGAUAGCAUCUACCCGGUACAACCUCACGGAAUGUGGGAUACUCCUGAAGAUGUUCGAAGUCGAGUUGUGCUGCCUCCCAUGGCAAGGGUCAUGUCAGGCAGACGAAAGAAGUUAAGAAUUCCCUCGCAAGGAGAGGGCACCAUUAGAAGAAAAUGCUCAAGGUGCGGUUCCGCAGGGCACAAUAAAAGCACCUGUAAAAACAAUAUUCCAUUGCGCAAUGUAUCUUAGACAAUAUGAUUUGUGUUGCUUUAGUAGGUCAUGUAAACUCUACUUUUAUUUGUGGUGGGUUUCGUGUUAUGUUGAAUGGGAAUUCUUUUAAAUUUGCAUUAUUUGGGUUGCAUUGCUACAGCAUGCUGUAUUGCUGACAGAUUGCUAUUAUAUUGACCUUUUAUUGUACUGGUAUUGCUUCCAGAUUGCUAUUAUAAUUUGAGUGCGAAAUUAAAGGGACUGGAAUGUAAUUCCAAAUGGAUCCAAAACAUUAAAGUGCUUAGAAUUUCUAUAUUACACAGUUACUGUGAUACUCCGACUAUACCUUCUUUUUUUAUUACAAAUUCGGCCGAUGCAUAGGCCAGAUGUAGGGCAAAUACAAGGUGAAAUGUCCUGUGUGUUUGACUACAUAUACUUGUUGAAGGAGCAUUACGAAUGUCAACCUCAAUAGAUUGCUCAUGUCUUGCCAAGAACACUCUUGAAUUUAUGCAAUGUGCCCAAGCCAGUCCCAAAGCUGGACUCACCCGUCUCCCAUCUGCCUGAUGUGUCCAGGGACUCCAAGUUUCCCAACCUCACCCUAUUCACUCCAUCAUGUGGCCCAAUAAAAUCCACCACUUGGUUGGUGACAACCACCGCCAACCCAAACUUAUUUGCUAAACCCUUCAAUGUCCCAGAUAUGUUGAAGAACAUUUCAGACCGCCGUUUCAAAUCUGCCGGUGUUGUCUGAUACUGUGAUCGGAACAAUGCAGCAAUGGAAUCAAUGACAAUGAGUUUCACAGGUAGGCGGGUGUGAUCAAUGGCAAUAAAUGCUUCUAUGUCUCCAAGGACAUGGAUGAGUUCUUGAGCAUCAUGAACACCAUGAACAUAUAUGUCUUCCAAUGGCUCCAACCUUAUUAAGUUGGGGUAUGAUGCAUGAUAAAGGUUGCCUAGUUGUUGCAAUCGACGAAAUGGGAAGCUGAAUUCUGUGAAUAUGUAGACGGAGGAGCCCCCUAGUCCGCCAUGUGAGGGUGGGAGCUGAGCUCGUACUGUAAGUUGGAGACAAAGCUGCGUCUUCCCAGAACCACUCUCCCCUACUAUUUCUGUUAUGGAGUUGCAGGGUAUCCCACCCCCCAAGCAGUGAUCUAGUAUUAGGCAUCCAAUGGAUAAUUUAGGGGUUGAAAGAGGAAGGAGCAUGAGGUUUUGGGGUGUCAUGUUUGUGUAAUUUAGGGGGGGAUGUGAUCGUGCUACAAGGCAUGCAUUAUAUAUAUAUAUAUAUAGAGUUCAUUUUGAAGGUCUGUACUGUAGGCCAUCUGUCUUUUAAGGGAUGUAUAAUUCAUCCUUUUUCCAGGUUGUAAUUACUUUUUUGUUUAUUUAUUAGUAUUUUUUUGGACCAUAUAAUUUAAAACAUAUUCUGAUGCAGUACGUCCUGUAAUAGGAUCAUAUUGUAACUCUAUCACCACUCUAUUGUAUUGAUAUUGACAUAAUAUUGCCACUAUCCGCAUGUUUAUUGCAUAUUUAUUGAUGCUAUAUCGCCACAGAACUGGAGACCGAUAAACUGUAUACGCACAAAUACAAAAUGAGGCUUCAUCAUUCCAUAAAAUCCUAUUGCCAAACUUACAUAAUACAACAACAGGCCACCCCAUCGUUACAUAAUACAAAAAUACGCCACCUCAUAGUUCCAUUUCCCUACAAAAUGAGGCUUCAUCAUUCCAUAAAAUCCUAUUUCCAAACUUACAUAAUACAACAACAGGCCACCCCAUCGUUACAUAAUACAAAAAUACGCCACCUCAUAGUUCCAUUUCCCUGCUGUUGACAAAUUCGAAGUUGCAUACUCUUCAAGUGCGGUGACCGCGACCCAUGAAAUUCAUGACCCCGGCCACAGUGAUGUUGGCCCAGUUUCCUGCCGGAUCCAUAAUUUUUGCAAAUUUACGAAAUAGUUCGAAUCCCCUUUCCACUUGUUCUUGCUUCAACUUGGCCAUUGCUUCUGAUUCCUUGAAUACCAUAAUUGCAGUGGCAGGGGCAAUUUCAAUUUUUUCUUUCAUUCUCUUUAUAUGUAGGAGAUGCAUGCGCGCAUGAUAACGAGAGCGAAUUGUGCGGUUUUUUUAUGACACCCCAUCUAGCUUGGCCCUCCACAAUUUUUGAAACUAUGUCUGCAUGAAGAUUUUUCCAAAACAUGGUAUUGCCUCGACAUUGCUGUAUGCCAUGGACCAAGUCUGCAGGGAGUGAAUUCGGUGACUUGGCUUCUGUUUCAGUCCCUCCUUCAGUAAUUGAAAGCGUUGGGUUUGGUGUGAGGUUAUGGUCCAUGGUCUUUGAUAUUUAUUGUUGGCUGGUCUACAACUUAAUUGGAACAACAGGGGACUAAAUGCGAUUUGAGUGAAAUCAGUGGGGAAGGUAAUGGCUGUAAGCAGCAGUUAAUGUGAUGGAAGUUUUCUGAGGCAAACAGCUGGGUUGAUUAAUAUAGGCAGGUUUUAAUGACCAAACCAGUAAGUCAGAGAGUUAUUGGCGGGAGGGAUUAGGGGGAGUAAUUAGCGGGAGGGAUUGGCGGGAGUGUUAGGCGGGAUAGUACUGGGCGGGAUAGUAUGGGCGGGAGUUAUUACCCAGGUUGACUUUAUGCCUUUUUGUAAUAUAUUUGUAUGUUGGACGUUCCCAACUUGGUCAUUUUCCCAUUAUGUAUUUGAAAUAAGGGAGUUGCCUAUUUGCCUAAUUCACCAACUCAUUCGAAUUGACCAAUAAUGGUUAUUGUCUUAUUUCUCAUUUCAGCAAUCUCAAUUCGUUUCCAUUUUGCCAUUUUUCAUAUUUUCCUAUUUUCCAUGUGUCAUCCAAUUUUUCAAUUUUUCAUUAUUUUUUCCUAUUCCCUAUUUUCCUAUUGUGCAAUUUCCUAAGUUUCCUUUUGUUCUAUUUCCAGUUUUCCAAUUUUUCAAUGUUCCCAUUUCCCCCCAUUAUGUACUUAAAAAAAGUUGCCUACUUUGCCUAAUUCAGACAGUAAUUAAAAUUGUCCAAUAUGGUAAUUGUCUUAUUUCCCAUUUCCACAAUUUCAAUUCGUUUCCAGUUUUCUGAUUUUCCAUGUAUCCCUGUUUCCUAUUUCCAUUUUUCAAAAUUUAAGUUUUUGUCAAAUUAUCCAAUGUUUUUAUUUCCAAUUCGACUAUUUUCUAAGUUUCCUUUUUUUCCAUUUUCAAAUUUUUCAUUUUGGUAACUGUCCUUUUGUUCAAUUUCCAAUUUUGCUAUUUUCCAAGUUGCCUUAUUUCCUAUUUUUCAUUUAUCCAGUUAUCCAAUAUUCCAUUUUUUCAAUUUUCCAAUUUUCAAUGUCCCAAUUAGCUUAUUUGCCUAUUUUCCAAGUGUCCUUUUUUCUUAUUUACUAUUUCGAAUUUUCGACUUUUCAUGUUUUCAGAGUUUCCUUUAUUUCCUAUUUCCUAUUUUCCUAUUUUCCUAUUUUCCUAUUUUCCUAUUUUCCUAUUUUCCAAGUUUCCUUUUGUCCAAUUUCAAAUUUUCCAAUUUUCCAAGUUGCUUUCUUUUCCAAUUUACAAUUUCCAAAUUUCCUAUUUUCCAAGUGUCCUUUUUUCCUUUUUCCAAUUUUCCUAUUUUCCAACUGUCAUUUGAUCAUAUUGCCUACUUUCCUGUUUCCAAUUUUUCCUUAUUUCCUUUUUCCAAUUUUCCAAUUUUCCAACUUUCCAUUUUUUCAUAUUUCCGAUUUUCCAAUUUUCCAUUUCUUCAAUUUCCAAUUUUCCAAGUUUCCUUAUUUCCCAUAUCCAAGUUUUAAGUUUUCACUUUUCCAAAUUUCCAAUUUUCGUGUUUUGCUAUUUUGUGUUCUGAAAUUCGCAAUAAAUGCUUACUUACAUAGUCCUAUUUUGGGUUCCAAUCCACAAUUUCCUAUUUCCCAUUCAGGUUUGGUUUUUUGUCGUUUGGAAGCCAAUUUUAUUGUUGUUAAUGUCAUGUUGUACUGCUGUAACUUACAGCCAAGGAGUUAAUGGUGUAGUUUGCAAUCCCAUCAAUUGAAUGCACCAACACAAUACCCAAUUUACUUCAUAUCAGUUCGUACAUAUAACUGAACCUUCCUAUAUAGAACUGCAACAGAGGCACCUUCUUAACGGGAAAGGUAAUUAGUCUUACUGAAAGGCAAAUAUUCUCCACUCAAGCUAACCAUAUAGUCGUUUACAACUGGAGACUGAAUGUACCUAUAUUUGUUUUGUUGCAGGCAACAGCUGUGAAUUGUCCCCAGUAAUACUUGAACAUGUCGGAUGUACGCCCUCCUAACGAGCAUGUGAGUUACCCGGGGGACCAGCCGUGGCAUGUGCCAUUCCCAUCUCCACCUCGGACUCCCAAUCAUGAUCCCACUUCAUCUGGAAGUGAAGCUGAGAGUCAUGAUCCGCUUGACAAAAUCUCUGCCGUCAAGCACCACCUCCAAUAUAUGUCAAAGGCAACGGAUUGGUGGGAGAGUAAGUGCGAUAUUCAUGGCCAAGUUAUGGGAAACUUGGCCAACAAGUUGAACAAUGCAUACGCUGGAGAGGUGAAGCAAGCUCUUAAAGCAAAAAGUCGGAGCAAAGAGUUAGAGUCCUUGAAGUUGAAAUUGGAAGACAGAAAGAAAAAUGCCCUCGAAACAUUCACACAAUCUGAAGAAUAUAACCAUGAAAUGGUUGAAUGUUUCAACAACGGCUUGAAAUGUUGCUAGAUUAUGCUUCGGUCAUCUCACCAGACCACAAUUGGAGUGAAAUUGAUGUAGCUGGUGUCUGGCAGGUACUUAAUAUGGGUUCUGAUGGAAUGGCUCAUCAUAGCCUCGUGCAUGCAGCGAGAAGAAAGGACAAAGACAUGGAUCUUUUGAUGGACCUGUAGUAACGGCGAAUGCUACUUCAAUUCAUCUCACCCGAGUACAUGGAUCUUUUGUUGCCUUCAUUUUCCCUUCGCGGGAUAGAUAGUAUUGUUAAGGUUCGAUGGCGAUUUCUUUGGCAUGUGUGAAAUGUUGUCUGUAAUGUGUAUGUAUUGUAUGUAUAUUGCCUUAAUAUUGCCUUCCUAUUGUGCUUAUAUUGCCCUAAUAUUGCCUUCGUAUUGUAUAUUUAUUGUGGCCAUAUUGCGACAUUCUAUGUAAUGAUAAAAUUCCUAUCGUAUUGCCCUUAUAUUACUAUUCCCUUCUAUUAAGUUCAUCUUGUUUCAUCUGGGACUGGUUGUGAUUAGAAUCUUCAUCAUGAAGAUGAUGAUGAGCCUGAGCUUGAGCCUUUGGAAUAUUAUGAGCACUGGAAAAUAAAUCCACAGGCUCAGAAUCAGCAAUUUUGCCUCCUUCAAGAGGCGUCCCAUGCUUGUAUGCAACCCUAGCCUUCUCCCACGGGCUCAAAAUAAAUUGACUGUUAACAAUCAUUCAGAAGAAUGGUAGAAAUAAGCUCCAUUGUGCCAAUCCACGAAGUUCAACAAAUAAAUUGUGUUCGAUACACAGAUGACAUGUAAAACUAACAUUAGCAUUCUCCAAUAAGAAGACUUCUCUUCUUUCCCACCCCUCGUGGAUUGAGAAAGAAAGAAGAGGGACAAAACACACACUACCAAGUUAAGGUGACAUUACAAACCUACAAAAUAUCCUCAUCAAACUUAUAAUGCUCCUUUUUUUCUUCUUUAAAGCAAAACUUCAUUCAAACUGAGAAAACCACGUGCUUUCGAUAAUCACUCCGGAAUUAUUUGCUCAUUAUCUGCAUCGCCUUCUGUCUCAACUUGAGGCUUCGAAGCAGCUUUGGCACCAGGAGGCUGCUUCUUCUUGAUCCCACUCACAAUGUCAUCGAUUCUGAGAAGUAGGCAAGCAGCUUCUAUGGCCGUUUUAAAAGUCUGGGCCUUCACGUUGUAGGCAUCCCAUAUCUGACAUCAUAAUUGCUAUAAAUUAACAGCCUUACCAACAAAAGAAAUUUCAGAUUCAAGACUCCAUGGAUGCUCAAAUAUGAGCAAUGGCGUUCACUUUAGUAAUAACCACGACAACAGCACUUCCCCUCACAUGAGUGCUGUCGAAAUAUAUUGGGAGAAGCUGUAAACUAUAACUACUACUGAAGCAAAUCGACAAUAUCAACCAGAAUAUUGACGCUUAUGCCAUAUCAAUAAAGGGACAUAUAAUGGAUACAUUUGAGAACAAUAAUACAUUAAAAGUCCUAUUUCAGAGCUUUCAGAAAAUAUCAAUCACCCAACAAAUUUGAAUAUUGAGAUAGUGAAGGAAAUAAAAGAGAGCAACAAUAGUAAGCCAAAAAGAUAUCCACCUACCUUUUUCUCUUUCACAUCAGUUAUCACACCAGUGUUACCAUCAAUGCCAAUCCAUGCAUUUUCACCAUUUGCAUGCUAUGGAAAAAAAAUUGUGGUUAGGAUAUCAAUGAUGCAUCAUAUUGUGACCACAAAAAAUAAUCAUGCAUCAGAACGUAUAUAGAAAUGACAAAUCAUAAAAUAAAACAGAACAAAGCCAUACAAAACAGAUUCAAACCUUUGCCUGCAGCGCCGUCAUUGUUCUAAUCACAUUCACCCCGCAAUUCUGAGCCAAGGUACGUGGUAUAGCCUCAAAAGCUAUAGCAGCAGCUUCAUAUGCCCACUGUUUUACCAUCAAAAUACGUGUAGCCAUAAAACUCCAUUAAAAUGCAUGUAAAGUGAAACCACAACUAAUUGUUAAUCUUAAGUAUGUCAAGGAGCAUGUGAAGUGAAGUGACAGCCAGUUUAUUCAUAGAAUUUAGAUUUCUACUUCCACAAGGAGUUAUUCUUCGACGAGUUUUACACAAGAAAUACCGAACUUUUGGAUGAGGAAAGGAGCUUUUACCUUUUCUAUACCUUAUACAGAUGAACUCUUUUGCUUCAAUGUAGCAGAUAGAGUUCACUCUGUAGCACCACCAGCAGGAACAAGUUUCGGAUUCUUGAGGAUGUUUCUUGCUACAGACAUGGCAUCCUAUGACCAGAUAUAAGGGAGUAAAUAACAAAUUUCAGCAGACUAUAUUUAUUCUACGUAAUGGGGACAAAGAAUUAAAACCAUUAUACCUGCAAAUUCCUUUCCACUUCAUUUAAAAUAUCUUUACUACUGUCAUCUGAAGAGUACAGUACAUGCUUUAGGCUCUUUGCAAUGAACAAUGAAUGCAAAAAACUCAUCACCAAUUUUCUUAACCUCAAAUAUCCCAGCGCCUGUACCAACAUCAGACUCUUGCAAUUCAUCUGGUCUGUUAACAAUUACAGCCCCACAAGCCUUGGCAAUUCGGUUAUUAUCUGUUUUCCGCAACCUCCUGAUUGCACUGACGCCGGCCUUGCUAAAAUAAUGGCAUGCCAAGUCACUAAGCCCCUUUUAUGUGAUAACCACAUCUGGUUUAAACUUCAAUAUUUGCACACAUAGCCUCUCGAUGUAUUCUUCUUCCAAUUUUAGCAGGACUCCCCAAUCUUCUUCUUUAAGCAACUCAGCAUUUGUUUGGUUCUCGCCUUUCUUAUAUUCCAGAGGACAAUCAAGAAGAAUGAUGCGUAGGUUGAAAAUCUUUCUUCUCAUUUUUCCAGGUGCAAUAACAUCUUUGUUAAUCAUUACUCGUUUGAGAACCACUGAAUCUUCCAACUGGCCACCAGGAAUCUUCCAACUGGCCACCAGGAACCUUCUCAACCUUUAUGUACUUUUUAAUAUCCAUUCCCGCAGACCCUGGCCAAGGUCCACCCCUACUAUUGUGGUAGUGUCAAGUGCAAUUCAAGGGGGCAGUCAAUUUGGUAUGGUGGCAUAAACAUGUUUACUCCAGGAUUCACCUGUAUGGGACAGAGCUUCCUUCUUCCCUUGUCGUCUGUAGGUUUCAACUUCACACUUUUGAUAUACAUGUAUGACAACUUGUGGCUAUUUAUGUAUGGCCUCCUAACACUUGUUCUGCCAUUCCACAGUAUUAGGCGAAAAUUUUUGAGUUGAAUAACUGGAAAGACUUCAGAUGACAGAAGACAUUUACCUCAUAAAUAUGCCUCCCCCCUUAAACCCUCAAUUGCAAGCUUCAGUCGGUAAUAUUUGAUCUUCAAAGGGUCAACUUUAUCUACUUCAAUCCCAGCACUGAGAUGCUCGAUGAAUUUGACGGUCAAGAUUCCGCAAGACGCACUGUGAGGCCAAUAAGUUGGGAAAUUAGAGGGGGCAGUCAUGUAAAAUUUGGAUAAACUGCACAAAAUUCACAAAGCUUACCCAUCUCGUUGUUAUGGCACAUCUGCAAUGCUGCACACUGAGAAUGGCGUAUACAUCGACAUCGUCAGCCCCUUUUGCUUCACCUCUUCAACCUCAGAAUCAUCAUAAAAGUGCAUAUCAUACAGCACUCGUGCCAGCGUAUCGCUAAUAGGGUGCAGAAGUGUAACCAGCUUUGAACGUUUGGUAAAAUCAACAUAGGAGUCAUACACAGUUGCAGUAUGUCUGACGAAAUCAAUUUCGAUUGCAACCCAGUGAGACCCUUUCAGAUUAUAUGGCAAAUAGACCUUCCGGACUUUUGUCCAAGCUUGGGCAUACCCGUGUUGCCACGUACCACGCACAAAGUGAUGUAUAUUCUUCAGCUUGCUAGGUGGAAGGUCAAUGGUGUUUGAAGCAGCUGCCUUCUUCGAUCCACGUGUCCUGGAAGUCGGUUUGAACGGCUCUAGAAAUUGCUGUAGAAAUUUAAAUGAAGGCAUAUUAGAAAAUCACAACCGACAGCAAAUGAAGCAGUGAAUGUAACAUGGUUACGUGUUUACCUGCAAGCAACAAUCUGCCGUUGUCCAGUCAGUUCCAAAAACCAACGGUUGAGAGAGUUGCCUUUUCCGGAUAAGAAAGGUUGCCAUGUCCAGGUGCUGAAAGUUGACACAUAAUAUUAGCACAAUUUCAUACAACUGUACACUUAAAAAAGGUGAGAAAACAAUUGAAUUAUCGUAAUAAAGUAGAGCUUUGUGUAUCGUUACCCUUGAGCUCAUCCAUUCCGUUUCAUCGACAAGUCUGUAGAAAAAAUCAGCGCCCACUGAAAAUGAUUCCAGCUGCACCUCCGCACUACAAAAGGCAAACUUGCAACGGUUACUUUUGUAGUCAUCUCAUAAAUCUGACUUUGUUGAUGACAAAAAUACACAUGUAUAUUAAACCAAACUCUACAUUCUCUCAUUAGUCUAUGAUUACAUAGUAGAAUAGGAUGAAGAUUGGAAUUCAAAGGUCAAGAAUCGUAACCUGAUAUCGCUUUUCCAGGCACUGCAAAACUGUAUUACUGCCUUCACAUCUUCAAUGGGCAAGGGUUUUGAUGGAUCAAAACAUGGCGGGGUUGCAGUCGCAGCCGACACAGUCAUCGUCCUCUUCUUCCUCAAAGGAUCAGUAAAUGGGCUCAACAAUGUCUGCGCCGGGCACUUAUGUCUGCACCCUUUACCUUCCACUUCUUUUUUUUCAACACUCAAACUACCUUCUUCAACACCAGCCAUAGUAACUGUGGGUAGACUUGGAGGAUUGAUCGAACCUCCCGAUUGCAUACUCUUAGUGAUUUUCCAAUCUUCUAACAGCUUCAUGACUCUUUGGCAGAUUUCGUCAUACCCGGCCACAUCUUCCGGGGUAGGCAGCUUCUCGGAUUCUGCCUGCUUAGCUACUUCAUGCACUUCUAAGUGAGGAACUGAAGCGGCCAUUUUUGCCUCUUCAACUACCAUGGCUGCGAAAGGUUCGGCUCCAUCACCGGGGACUUGUGUUUCCAUUACUGCCGGUUCUGUAGGCGGACUAGCAUUGGCAUGUAAUGGCGACAAGUCAUUGUUGCCUCCUUCAUUCAUAUGAGGACUAUCGAGGUCCUCAUGUCCUUCCCCAGCUUCAUUCACCCCACCAUUUUGUUUUUUCAGCUGCUCUAUCUCCAACUUAAAAUAAUGCUCCAUUGAAGCCACGGUGUUGCACAAAUCCUCCACACACUUUUUAUUUUUUUCGAACUCUUUUUCAGCUUUCAUUGACUCCUUCCGUACCUUGUCUUCCAACUGAUGCACUCUAUCGCGAAGCGCUCGAUUUGAUAGGGCAACUUUGGCCAAUUCAUCCUUUGUCCUUUCAAAGUCACGCUUCAAAGUGCGUAACUCUCUGGACGCGACUGUACCCUGCAUUAAGUUAUAAUGCAUGUGUUACUAUGCAGGCCAAAAAAUAUUGCAACAAUACAGCAGUUAUUUUCCUAUUGUAUUAUGACGUAUAUCUUCGAAAAUAUGUAAUGCUUGCCUUAGAAGACGACGGAAGGCUUGCAGUUUCGUCAAUGUCCUUAUCUUCUUCUUCUACAGAGGCAGAAGUGCCGGUUUUUUUUUUAGCGUCAUCGCCCAACAAGUCAACAAGUUCUUCAGUGUCGUCAGCACUGUCACCCCAAGUCCAAUACGGCUGCUGCUUGUCCAUUACAGAUGGCCGGAGAAGCUGCACAUCAACCUGUAAUUUACACAUACAAUAUACAUAUCAGUAAAGUAAUUAUAUUAUAUUUUCAUAUCCCUAACAUUAUCAUUACAAACUGAACUAACCUCACGGUUCUCGAAUACUUGGCUCAUUAGCUCAUAAAAACGCGGCGAACUAUUGCUCCUCCAAUGUAGUAAAUGAGGGAUGUACGCAUUAUCUUCGUGCACCACCAAAUGUAGUGCAGCCAACGCUGGAAAGACCUCAUACGCCCAAAUCUGGUUUGAGGAAUAAAAGGUCAGUCAUUGUAAACAAAUGCAAUUUAACUUCAACAUCAAUGGACAUUUGCUCACCUGAAGUGCAUAGGCAAAACCUUUGAGGUGGUACUCUCUUGGUCUACCAGUUGCCGUUGUUGUUGGUUUCUUUCCAGAAUUUUUUUUUUUUUUUGCAGUUUUUGUGGGCAGUUUCACUCGCUGGUAAUCUGCAGAAAGUGCCCUCAGCAGUGACGCAUUUGUCUUCGCAUAACACACAGCACCCCAUGGAUACUUCCCAAACUCUUCAAGGUCUUCCGCCAACUUCAAAUAUCGCAUGUCAAUGUGGACAUGUUUUUCACUGCCCAACAGCACAAACACAGCAAAGUAUACGAAUCCGAGCUUCAAUACAUCGUCCUCAUCAUCGCAUUUGAGGAAGGCCUUUUCUAAUUCCAACAGGUUCACAGUUUUAUCGUUGGCAAAGUACUUCCGUUUCAAUGAGCAGUUCUCAUUAGUGGGAAUCGGAAUUAAGGGAAGGUUUCCAAACCUUAGCCCUGUCACGAUGCAAAAUUGCUGCACCGUGAAUUGGAUGACCUUAUUGCCAACAAUGAAUUUGAUCCCGUUCAGUUGGGAAACUGUCUUGGGAUCAGCUUUCCUGAGCAGCAAGCAGUGGACAAUUGGAGAAGUCCAUUUGAGGUCCUCAAUCCGUAGGAGAUGACCAAAACAACUCUGUUCAAACAUUUGCAGCUGCUGUUCAGUGAAUUUCUCCUUGAUCGUAGUGAUUGCGGUCUUCGUAUGGGAUAGCGACAAUGCUUUCCCUUGGAACUUUUGUUCCUCUGCAAUCAUCAACUUCACUUGACCAACCAUAUUUCCCUGCAUGCCAAUAUUAUAAACAAACUUUCAGUCGGUUGCAAUCUAGACAAUAACAAGCAAUAAACAAUCACCACUUAUCAACAGCCUAUUAUAGGAUAUGAAGUGAAAAAAAAAACAACAAAUACAUAUCAUAAACAAAACCCCAGCUAUUUACAACUGACCUCCUCAUUUAAUGGCUCAAAGCCAAGUUUCAAGACACCCAGUACUCUACCACUCCUGCAUAACCCUAAUAUCUAAACACACAUCUCAACACACCAUAUAAUCACACCAUCUAAUCAUGAGACAGCUUCAGCUAGAAUGGGAUUGUGCGGUAGCACAAGCCUAAUUGAGAACAAUUCAACACUAACGAUACAAAUCUAUCUGACUAGAAAGAGUUUUAAAAAACAACAAGACAUCGGGAAACAAUUGAUUCACUUCAAGGUAUAAUGUAGUGGAACAUCCUAUGAAUUAGUGGCAACCGCAAUACUGACUCUACUAUGGCCCUCCUUUCAAAUGUAAGAAAAUGAAAUAAAUUGACACCAUUCCUUCAGUUUUUUCUUAACAAAAUAUCAAAGAUAAAUUCAUAAAUAAAACAUCAAAACUGUAUAAAAUGUUUGUAAGACAUGUACAAUUACAAAAUUAUAAGUUCUCCUCAGAAACAGAGUUCUCUAAGUAUCCAUACACAAACAAGAAAAGCAAAAGCUUAAACAGUUAGCUUAUAGCAAAAUCAUUGUCCCCAUUUCUCUAAACCACACCUGCUGGUGGUAGGUUCCCAUCUUCACUCAUUUCCCGCUUUCUUUUAAGCACACAAUGAUGAAGCACAAAACAGCAAACUUUUAAAGAACUCAUAUUACACCACAUAUGGUUCUAAACAAAACUCAUCCAUAUCCAAUAUGCAAGCCCUAAACUUAGUAAACAGAGUUAUAAAAAAAUAUGUCAAAUUAACAAGCAUUAUUCUCAAACAAAAAGUAUGAUAUGGUUGGGAGUUUACAAGUUCAAAAUGAUAUACACAGGUUAAUUGUCUUGCACUUUUGAUAUCAUCUUCAACAAACAAAAUAGAUACCAAUUAGACUUGUAAGAAGGUUAAAUGCAAUGGUCAUAGAGACUCAUACUAAGCCACCAAAUACUAAUCAAUAACUGCUACAAAAACCAUAAUAAAAUCAUAAUAAAACUAAAAAUACAAUAGCACUAAAAUGCCAACACAACAUCACUACAUUAGCAAUACACUAGCAAAAAAACACAAUACGACAGCAAUAGCAACAGCAACACAAUAGCAGUGCAAGCAUCAGUCCACAAAGAACAAACCCAUUCACUGUUUGAAACAAGGAAUCAUCAUACUAAGAUCAUUUCAGAUAAACCCCAAAACCAAUUUCGUUGAAACCCCUAAACCAAUUUCAGAGAAACCCCUAAACCUUCAACCAAUUUCGAACAAACCCCUAAACUAAUUUCAGCGAAAUCCCUAAACCUUCAACCAAUUUCGAACAAACCCCUCAACCAAUUUCAGAGAAAUGCAUAAACCCUAAACCAACUUCGGAGAAACCCUUAAAGUGUAAGAAAAUGCCGAUGAACAGUACCUGUCGCUGGGAGAGGAAGAGAGAAGAGAGAGUCCGAGCUGAGGGACGAGAGAUUGCGAGCUGAACGACCAGAGAUUCAGAGCAAAGCCACGAGAGAGUGAAGAGAAACAGAGCCGAGAGAAGAGAGAGAUCCGAGAGAAGAGAGAGAGCCGAGAGAAGAGAGAGAGCAAAACAGAGAGAAUAAAAUUUCAGCAAAAGUGAUAUGUGUGCAAUAAGGGCACAAUAAAAAUAUAUUUAUAGGUUAUAGUUCCAAAUUUUUUAAAAAAGGGUGGUAUUUUCAGUUACAAUUAUAAAAAUGGUGGCAUUUAGGGCUAUUUCCCAAGAUAUUAUAACCCAUAAUUAAAACAACAAUAUAACUUCAUAAUCUCAAUAAUCAAAAUAAUCAAAUUUAUAUAUAUGCAAGACAAUCCACUCUUUGAAAAUAAUGAUCAUUUAAAACAAAGUCCACUCACGAAAAGUCCAAAGUUGCUUGACCCUUCGAGGGUCCCACCUGUUGAGUUCGUGGAGCCUGAGUACCUAUUUUAUCGGGAUUCAACUCCUAAGUUUUCGGGAUUCAAAGUGUGUGUGCACGACUACCGGGGAGUUUCUAAAGCCAAUAUAACUCUUUUCAAAAGGUGGAACGACCUCGGAAGACUCACGGUCAACAGGGUGGCCAAACUUCUCAAAUUGGUCAACCCAGCGGGGCCACGACGUUUGAUUUUCUAUCCGAAAGUUCCUACUCAAUCCUAAAGGUACAAAGAACAACAUAUUUGAAAUUGGGACCGAUCAAACGGUCCGAACCUAUCAAACCCGGAUAUCGCAUAAUAGGUGCAAUAUUCUUUCGAUAGUCAAAUGAAAACCAAUUCAAAAUCCAAGCAUACCGUCGUGCUCAGAUUCAGACUAACUAGCCACAUAGUGGUCCACGCGCCGCCACUCUCCGUCGGCAAGGUAUGGUGUCUUGAGAAUUUUCCCAUGAAAACACCUUACAAUACCUAUGCCAACAGAUUCAGACUAACUAGGGGAUCAACUUCUACGCUGAAACCGUAAGCUAAAAUGGGUAUAUUGAACGAUUUGUAAAACCUUGAAAUCAAUCCAAGAUACAUAUACUAACAGCUAGAGCACGUGAAUGGGAUGAAGAACCAUACCUUGGUCAACAGAAACAGCAGCCGGAAUCGCCGAAAAUUGCACGAACACCACCGGCGACCAAACUAGGGUUUCGCUCGGUUCUAGUCCAAAAUCGCGACCAAACUUGGAGUUUCGUAGGUGUAAAUGGGUAUGCACGUGUAGAUGACGAAGAGACGAAUGUUUUGUGGGUCGUGACGUCGCCAAUCUUGAUCGGACGGAGGAGAAAACGCCGACCAAACAAGCCAGUCUAUUUCGGGAAUGAGAAGAGGGUUGCGCGAGCAAGGAGAGGGUUGCACGAGCUAGGAGAGAGAGAUCUGAUAGCUCAUUUUAAAACCCAACUUUGAAAAAAUUAUGAUUGUGCCACUGCACUUCCAUAGACCACAAAUUCUUCGUUAAAUCUCUGAUUUGGGCCUACUACGUGUCUUCGAACUCGUGAGAGCUAGCUCUACGCAAUGGUGCCACUCAUUUUCCCAAAAUCCUUCAUAAUCGAAAAGUGACUAAAGUGACCCUACCCCUAAGGGAAAAAUUGUAAAUUCAAAAAUAAAAAUAAAUUUAAUAAAAUGAUUAAAUUGGGUCGAGAUGUUACAAUAUUGUUGUUGUUGUUUUUCUUUAAUUAAUGUAGCCCCCUGGUUCCUCCUCUCUUUUUUUUAAUUAAUUUUUUUUUUGUGUAAAUUUUUUAUUUUAUUUUAUAAUUUUAGCGACACUAAGAAAGAUACCAACUCACCACACAACUUAAAAACAUAGACUAACUUAUAAGAAAAUAACUAUAAAAACAAAAAACAAAAAAAAUCACAAAUUUUAAUUUUAAAUAUAUAUUUUCUUACAAGCAAAAACAUUUUUAAAAAACAAACUUAAAUUUUUAUUUAAGUUAAACUUUAUAUAUAUAAAUUUAUUUUAUGGACACAUAAAUAUACAAGCAACUCAAGGAUGACUAGUUAAGGGCCUCUGAAAACACAGCCAAUGGUUCCGGGAAGGUUGGAGAGGUCAAAAUUGUCUUGCUUAAAACCCAAACCUUCUUAGACACCAAAGGUGUCGCCGAAGAACUCCUAGACACUAUAUUGACAGAGGUAGCUCGUUCGGUUUACCAAAAAUCGGCUCAUAUGACACAUUAAAUAUUUAUAUUUAUAUUAAUUUUAAUUUUAAUUUUAAAGAAACAAAAACUUAAAAUUACUAAAAUAAUAAUAACAAAACAUGCAAAGAGAAAAUAAAAGAAAAGAAAAUAAGAAUUAUUGUAUCACUCGUGUAUCACCAUGUAAUCACUGUGGUAUCACCCGUUUAUCACGUUUUAGAGAUGAAUUUAUGAACUUUCUAUGUUUUCCAGUUUCGACCUCUGUCCCGUUUUGGACCAAUAACUUUCAAACCGUUAGUCCAGAUUUUAUGUUCAUUAUAUGGUUGGAAUCAACAUAACAAAAUGAAAUACUCAACCUGGACUGAAUGGCAAAAUUAGUUAUAGAAGUGUACAUAAUUCAUUAAAACGAACACUCAAAGUUUCGACACAAUAAAAAAAAUUCCCACCAAGAACUUAAAUGAAACAUUGUCCUUAAUGUUGAAAAGAGUAAAAUUAUGCAAUGUAUCAUAAGGCCAAGGGAAGAAACAAAACAAAAUAAAAUUAAAACAAAAACUUAAAUUACUAAAAACUAAACAAGCAAAGAGGAAUGAUUGGAAUACUCCCCUUCGAAGCGAUUAGGGCGAGCAUGGAAGCAUUUGGAGGUCACGAUUUCUCCCAAUACUCAGCACUUCCCUUCUUUGUUUUGUUACUAUUCCAGUUAUAUCUUUCUUAGAUUGUAGAUUAAUAAUUGUUUUUGAGGUGGUUUUGGUAGUGUCUUAUUCUUGGUGGUAUAUUUUGUUACGGAAUAAUAAUGGCAUCGUAGUUUCUAUUUUUUAAUUGAGUUUUUAUUUUUAUUUUUUAUGUAACAAUUAUAGUUAUAUUUUUGUUAGAUCGUAGAAUCAUUGUUUUUUAAGUAGUUCUAAUAGUGUCUAUUUUUUUGGUAUUAAAGUUCUGGUGGUGUCUUAGCGUUGCAAAUAUGUUUAGUAUGAAAUAUAAAUUGCUUCGUCAUUUCUGUUUUUAACUGUGGGUAGGGUUUUGCCAUUCAAAGCUUAGGGAUUCUAAAUCUUGGAGACUAAACAGUUAGCAACACAUGAAAUUUAAACAUUAAAGAACAACUAAUUAUAUAAUCUGAAGGAGGGUAGAUUCGGUGACUGCAAUGCAACUAAUUAUACAACUAAUUAUAUAAUUAAAGAACAACUAAUUAUCUAAUCUUAAAGAACAACUAAUUAUGUAAACAGUUAGCAACAUAUGAAAUUUAAACAUCUUUUAAAUUUAAACAUAAGCAUUUCCAUUGCAUUUGUUCAAUGUAUCUCUUCCAUCUUUUAAUUUGGCUGAAAGACACAACACUUAAUUAGACAAUGAAAAGCACGUGGUGGAGCAGUUUCAAUAAAUGAGGGUGCGUUCCAUCAACAAUGAUGCGCUGAACCUCCAUACUUGAAGCUUAGUGAGAAAAUAUAUUAGAAACUACAAAGGUUUGGAGUGUUGGGCAGGGCCUUGCAAAAGAUGUCGGUCCACGUGAGAGUGAGGGAGUCAGUGGUGGUGAAGCCAGAGGAGGAAACGCCAAAACAGGCGCUGUGGAUAUCGCACUUGGAUAUCGUGAUUUCGGCAACUCACCUUGGAAGUGUUUACUUCUACAGGAGGCCAAACGUUCAAAACGGCGCACAUCAUCUUCAAAACAACUGUGUCUUGGAUUCGGAGGUGCUCAAGUGCUCCCUUGCCAAGGCCCUCGUGCCCUUCUACCCCUUGGCCGGCCGCCUGAAGCUGAACGAUGAGGGACGUAUCGAGAUCGAUUGCAAUGGAGAGGGAGUGCUGUUUGUUGUGGCGGAGACUGACUCGGUCCUUGAUGAGUUCGGGGACUUUGCGCCGACUCUUGAGUUCCGGAAGCUCGUUCCUGCUGUUGAUUAUUCCGCUGGGAUAUCCUCUUAUCCCCUCUUGGUCGUACAGGUAUUCAGAGAAAGAGAGGAGACAUUUUUUCACUCCCUUUCUUUUAUUUCUCUUGCUCAUAAUAUCAUCCGGGACAAUUCUUGAACCUGAUAUGACUUAAACUUACAAAGUAUGGUUCUGGUUUUACUCUGUUUAUGCAUCAGGUCACAUACUUCAAAUGUGGUGGAUUGUCACUUGGUGUUGGCCUGGAACAUCGUGUAGCAGAUGGCUUUUCUGGUCUCCACUUUGUAAAUACAUGGUCUGAUAUCGCUCGAGGUCUUGACCUUACAAUUCCACCAUUCAUCGACAGGACAUUACUUCGUGCCCGAGACCCACCACAGCCUGCAUUCGAUCACAUUGAAUACCAACCUGAUCCACCCAUUAAAACCGGUACAAAAGCUGUAGGUGAUGAGAGCGCAACGGUAUCCAUUUUUAGAUUGACACGGGAGCAGCUCAACAUCUUGAAAGCCAAGUCUAAGGAAGAUGGGAACACAAUCAACUAUACCACAUAUGAGAUGUUGGCAGGUCAUAUUUGGAGAUGCGCAUCCGUGGCACGUGAACUUCCUGAUGAUCAGGAGACCAAACUACAUAUUGCAGUUGAUGGAAGGUCCAGACUGCAACCCCCCCUCCCUCCUGGUUUCUUCGGCAACGUGGUUUUUUCAGGCGCACCAAUUGCUGCAGCAGGGGAUAUCAAAUCAAAACCAACAUGGUAUGCUGCAAGCCGUAUUCAUGAUGCUGUUGUGCGUAUGGACAACAAUUAUCUUAGAUCAGCGCUGGACUAUCUUGAACUUCAGCCUGACCUGUUACCCCAUGUUCGCGGAGCUCAUACUUUUAGGUGCCCGAGACUUGCAAUAACUAAUUGGUCUAGGCUGCCGAUCUAUGAUGCUGAUUUCGGUUGGGGUCGACCUACUUUCAUGGGGCCUGGUGGAAUUGGAUAUGAGGGGUUGGCUUUUGUGUUACCAAGUGCAACAAAUGAUGGAAGUUUAUCAGUGGUCAUUUCUCUGCAAUCUCAACGUAUGAAAUCAUUCUCCAAGUUGUUGUAUGAGAUAUAAGGAAAUGAAAUGCGUCGAAUGGGAGCAAUACGUUGAACAUACUUUGGGCUUCUGUGUGUGUCCUCCGAGUUCUGGGACUUUUCAUUGACUGUGGCCUAGCUGAUCGGAAAGCAGCUGUUUUUGAAAAGUUCAAGUGGUCUUUUGGUUAAUCUAUAUUAGAGUAUCUGUUUUAGAAACACCCUAGUACUGAAUAAGAUUGUCGGAGUAUCUGUAAGCUUUGUUUAUUGCUGUGGAGGACUUCUUUUUCGGAGUAUCUGUAGUUUACUGUGAUUCUUAAUAAGAUUUUCUUUCUCCAUGAAACAAAAAGAUACUGAAUCACUUUGGUUGCAUAAAGGUUAGUGCCUUUGGUAAACCUGCACUUCGGUUAUACUUUCAGAAAUUUUGGAUUAAUGCAAGAGCAUUUGUAGCGUUUUUAUUUCUCACUGUGAAAAAAGGAAGAGUAAAUAAUCAAGAGGUUCUUGUUCUGGAGACUUCAGUGUCAAGUCUGCCUAUUCGCUGAAUUAUGUAUGCUUGUAUAUUAAAUUUAUGUCCUAAAAUUUUAGGAAUGGAAGAAUAUUCUGCAAGACUAGAGAAUAAUCAACAUGAUGCAGGUAAAAUGAAUUUUAAUGGGAUUGAAAAGGAAAAUAAUGGGGAUGAAACUGAAAUAAUGACACUGUAAUGAGUGUUGAAGAAAAAGUACAAGACCAUCGAGUUGGAAUGAUUUUUGACAUUUUUGAUGAGGUGAUCGCAUAUUACAAACAAUAUGGGAGGCAAUCAGGUUUCCAGUGAUAAGGAGAUCAUCAAGAAACGGAGAUGAUGGAAAUUUGAAAUAUGUUAUUAUUUCUUGUGCCCGAGAAGGCAAUUCAAAAAGUAAGUCAAGUAAUUUUCUUAAACCUCGUCCAAGUAUAUAGAAUAAUUGCAAGGGUCAACGUAGGGCAGGUUUAUUGCACGUCUCUGCACCACCGUUCUUUUUGCGAUUUCUUUAUGUUUUGAAUAAAUUGCAGAGAAUCUUUGGGUAUUUCCAUACUCGGCUCCUAACCGGCCCAUUCCCAUACCUAAUUAUUUUCAUUUGUAAAACUUAAGAUACUAUAUCUCUAGUAAUUCCAACACAAGACAAGCCAAUUCAAAUGAUAAUUUCAUGGAGUGAAUCUCUUUAAAAUAAGGGCGAAGUAUUACUUUUUAGGAAUAGUAAAUCAAAUAAAUAAGCAUAAGUUAUUGGUUUCAAUCAUAUUAUUCAAUUUUAGACUUGUAUAUAAUCGCUUUGAUUCUCCAUAGGAACAUCUACGGAAUUUUUUGAUGACACAUGUCCCCUUAACACCGUAACAAUUGUCCACAACUCCAUCUUUAGGUCCAACACAAAGUUUGGUAGGCCAUGUGAACCUCCCAGCUUCAUAUGGUAUUUUAUCUCAAAAGAUACAUGAUUGAGUUAAGCGCAACUUGUCUGGUACAGAGCUGAUAUUAUCAUAAAGGAGAGGUCCCAUCUAAUAUUUGAUAUUAUCACAAAGGAGAGGUCCCAUCUAAUGUUCGAUAUUAUCAUAAAGGAGAGGUCCCCUCUAAUGUUUGGUUUGUUGUUCCAGGUUGUGUCAGUUAUUAAAAUUUGGAGACCCAUCGACCAAAAACAGUUUCAAACCACGUCCUAAAAGUGGAGCAGUUUGUGUGAUCUGAAAUUAAUCCUGGUAAAAUUUGGAGACCCAUCGACCAAAAACAGUUUCAAACCACGUCCUAAAAGUGGAGCAGUUUGUGUGAUCUGAAAUUAAUCCUGGGUGAAGACAUAGUGGAACAGUUUCAAACCACGAGCUAUUUUGUUUGAAGACAUCGUGGAACAGUUUGGGUCAGUGGCGGAGUCAGGAAUUUAUGUGUUGUGAGGCCAACAUAUAAACUGAAAGGACCCGCCCCGAAUUUCUCAAAACCCGAGGCGAACCCUUUGGAAUUCUUGACAUCACCCCGAUGUCAUGCCCGCUUACCAAAGACCGAGACUUCCUGCCGAAAUUUCGGCAGAGUCUCCCCUAUAAAUUGGACAUUUCCCAAAAUUACAACCUGCAUAAAAACGCAUUUAAUAUUCACAACUGGCAGCAUGCACAAUAUAAUUUCAUGCAAUUCACACAAACGGCCUUCGACCUUCCAAUAAUUCUCAACUACUACCAAACCCGCUAACCAAACAAUUCAUGCCUUAAACAAGGCAAACAAUUUAAAUAUAAAUUAUGACUAACAUUUAGUCUACGGCUGCACCUAAUAACCUUAGGCUGCCUACGUACCCUCCUUGAGGGAUCAAGCCACACGUAGUUCUUCCAUAAAACACAAUUCCACACAUAAGCGAUACCUUAUUUCAUUUCCCUGUAUUUCUCAUAAUCUCCCUAUACGCCGAUACAACCAACGCCACGUAUGGGGCCUGUCCGCACGCCGGAUAACCUACGCCACGUGGGACCUAACUUUCACUUGGUGGUACUUGUAGUGCAACCAAAAUCCGGGGAGGUACCUAAGGUAGUGCGUAUAGCACUCCAAACUGACAUUCUAGACUCUUUUGUACUCUUGUACAAACAUAUAUAAUUAUAUAUAAUAAUUCUAAUAUUGUGUAACCCUCCACAAUAGUCUAGCACCCGAUAAUCCCCCCUGGAAGGGUGAGAUUACUCUGGGAGACUCACGGUCAACCAAGGGUCAAACUACCCUAACCCUGGUCAAACAGACCUGCGGAGCCUACGACCUCCAAUUUCCGAUCCGAAAGUCCCUAUGGGUUUUACAAGGUAUAAGACACUCGUCCUACAAGUUUGGUUUAGAUAGGACGGUCGGAUCGGUCACGAUCGCACGAUCUGACGGUUAAUAUAAAAUAUAAACUUUAAAUUAUUAUUCGGAACAUCCGGGGCUCCGAUUCACAGUCCGUGAAUUCCUAUACGAUCCUAGAAUUACCUAGAUUAACAUAUAUUAAAUUUGAGACCAUUCAACGGUCCCAACCUAUCGAACCCGAAUAACGCACAAUAUACGAUCGUCCGUUCGAUAGUCAAACGACGUCCGAAUUGAGAUCCGCGAAAUUCUACGCACUCGUGACAACCUAAGGAUCUCAUCGAGACACAGUGCCACUUUUUCUACAGUGCCCACACGCCGCCGCACGCUCCGGCAGCACGUGGGUGCCCAAAGCGAUAAAGCUUCACAGGAAAAUCUCAACACCACGGCUCCAAACUCCUACCCUGGGUAUAACACCCUAUUUGGAGCCACUUUUGUUCUUGGACCUACCCCAAAAACUGACCGGAAGUGGCCGGAAUCGCGAUCCUAAAACCGGCCGAAUUUCAAUUCGAAAAUCGAAUUGGCUAUGCUAAGAAUCGAUCCAAUCCUACCCAACAGGCAGCUAGAGCAUGCAGAAGGGAUGAAUUUCCAUACCUUGAUUGCCAGAAUCGGUGGCCGGAGGAGGGAGAUCGACGGCGGCAAAGAUCGGACGACGCCGGCCGCUUCUUCUCCAUUUUCCGGCGAAACCACGGUGGCUGGAGGCGGGAGUCAGCUGGGGCUGGAAGAGGACAAUGCCCCGGUCAUUUUGGUACCGGCCUCGUCCACAGUCGUGGCCGGUGGCCGGAGUUACGAGGAGAGAGAGAGAGAGAGAGGGAGAAAAUCUGAUUUUUAUAAAAAAAUCUCAUUUCGAAAUAAUUACGAUUAUGCAACUGGGUUUCUUUUGACCAUAUCUCUCUCGUUACAACCCCGAUUCGAGCCCACUACGUGUCUAUGAACUCGUCUCAGUACGACCUAUCCAAAAAUACUAGUCACUGCCCCAAACUUUCUCCGAUUAAGAAUAUGACCAAAAUGCCCUUAUCUCAAGGGUAAAUUUGUAAUUUCCCUUAAAUAAUUAAAUAAUUUAAAUAAGGGUUAAAUUUGGAGUCAGAGUUUUACAUAAACCAAACAAGACAUUAACAAAUUUCAAUUUUUCAACCUUAACAAUGUUUGGAAAAAUUAAAGGCAAAAAAUAAUUGUUUAUUCAAUUAGGUAUCAAAAUAACACUCGUCGUUCUUUCAUAUCUCUAAAAUCAUCUAUGAUUGAGUCAAUGCUAAACUUUUCUGCAAUUUUCCUUUUGAUGCACAUAAUCAAAGAGUCUGUGAGAAAUUCGUCUUCCAUCUUGUUACGAAGCCUAGUUUUUACUAUACACAUAGCAGAAAAUGAUCGCUCUGCAGUUGCUGUGGAAACAGGAAGAGUAAGCACAAGCACAACCACUCUAUAAACAAGUGGAUAUGUCGUUGAUCUUCUAGUCAUUACCAUCCAUUGAGAUAGAUCAUAUUGUUGACAAGUUUUUGAACUUUGGAAUUCUAACGACGUCACUCUCAAAAUGUUGAAGUUGUCUUCUCAAACCUAUCUUCUCAUGAUCUUCAAAGUUUUGCGGAUAGAACUUAUCUACUAAUUGAAAAAUAUCAUCAAUACUAAAAGAUUUAUUCACUUCACGAGGAUCCAAAGCCGACCCCAAAAUAAGCGGCUCUAUUGUUUGAUCACUAAAUCUGCUAUUUAAUUCUUGAAGUUGAGAAUCUAUUGCAGCAUAAAAAAAUAUCUAUCAUGUAAUCAUGCUUAACCGUAAAAUCAUCUUCUUGAUGGCUUGCUCGACCUCGUCUUGCAACAUAGCGAGCAUUCAUAUCUAGGAUAUCUAUGAUCUGUGCUUCACAAAAAGAAUUCACCUUGGUAAGCAAAGAAUCCCAUCUAUCAUCUCUUAAUUCUUGGAUGAGUGCUUUAGUGGAAGAAGCAAGAUUCAUGGCAUUUAUGAUGUCUUGGGAUUGACAUUGCAAAGCUUGACAAAGAUCAUUAGUGAUCUCCAUAAGUUCUUUCAUAAGAUGUAAGAUAAAGACAAAUUCAUAUGAAGUCAUUGCCUCAUAAGCCUCAUCAGCAUCUCCUCGUUGAGCAUAAGUAGUUCCGUUAUCAAUUAUAUUAAUUAGAACUGUGCAUGUUGCACUAAACAUAUUUACCAAGCUAGUAAUUGAUUUCAAAUGUGAGAACCCCAACAAGUAUCACCAGCACGUUGUAAGGUGCCAAUUUGGUUAAUUCCUUUCCCAGUCUUGAGCUCAUCAAUUGCAAUCAUGUGCUCAAUUUCAGCAGCUUGAGCAUUUUUUAGUUCAUCAUUAUGCUUGCAUGAAGCACCAACAAUAUUGACAAUAGAUGUAACACCCCGACUCCAAAUUUAAUUCCUAUUUUAAAUUAUUUAAGUGAAUUUACGAAUUUACCCUUAGGGUAGGGGUAAAUUGGUCAUUUUCUUACCCGGAAAGUGUUUGGGGCAGUGACUGGUAUUUUUGGAUAGGUGGUACUGAGAUGAAUUCGUAGACACGCGGUAGGCUUGAAUCGGAGUUGUAACGAAAAAGUUACGAGCAAAACAUCGACAAUGGCAAAAUCGUAAAUAUUUCAAAAUCUGGUUUUAAAAUAUCUGACUUCUCUCUCUCUCUCUCUCUCUCUCUCUCUCUCUCUCUCUCUCUCUCUCUCUCUCCCGCGGCUGAACCCCUCUCCCCCGUUUUGAUUUUUCGCCAGAAUUUCAGAUGGCGAGAACUUCGCCGUCCGACCUCCAUUUCAGGCGCCGUUUCUUGCAAAAGCUUCCUCUCUUCCUCCUCUACCCAGCCCACCCCUUUUCUCCGAUCGAAAACCCGGCGAACGGCGGUGGCAACGACGGGAAAAACAGCCGAAACUGCCGACAUCACAGGCGACGUUUCCGGCCGUCGCGAGCUGCACCGUCACUUGGAACAGAUAGCUCUCCUCCCCUUCUAGCUAUUUCCUAGGUUGUGCGAUGACAAUGUCGACGGUGGUCACCGGAUCGAAGCCCUGAAGUUCCGGGUUAAACCGUGAGUUUCCGACGCCGAUUCCGGCCAAUUGCCGUCCGAAUUGGACUUGGGUGUAGUUGAAUAAAGUGUUCCACUCGUCGAGUAGAACCUGUAGCCGGAAGGUGGCUUGUAGUUUGGAGAUUUUCCGGCGAAGCUUUAUCGCUUUGGACACCCGCGCGCUGCUGGCGCAUGUGGCGGCGCGUGGGCACUGUAGCAAAGGGACAUAUUUGUCCCAAUACGAUCUCCUGGUUGUCACGAGCACGUAGAAUUUCGCGGAUCUCAAUUCGGACAUCGUUUGACUAUCAAACGGAUUUUCGCAUAUUGUGCGUUAUCCGGGUUUGAUAGGUUCCAACCGUUAUAUCCUUUCCGAAUUAAAAUAUGUUGUUCUAGGUAUUCCUAGGAUCAUAUAGGAAUUCACGGAUCAUGAAUCAGAACCCCGGAUGUUCCGGUUCAAUAACUUAAAGUUUGCGUUUUUUUAAUAACCGUCCGAUCGUGCGAUUGUAAGCGAUCUAACCGUCCGUUUCGGACUAAACUUGCGAGACGGGUAUCUUAGACUUUGUGAAACCUUUAGGGACUUUCGGAUUGUAAAACGGAGGUCGUGGGUCCCGUGGGCCCGGUUGACCCAAAUUGGGAAGUUUGAUCGCCGGUUGACCGAGUGUCUCCCGAAGUUGUUCCAUCGUCCAAAUCGGGUAGUAGGACCUUAGAAAGUCUCAUUCCUAGUACACUUACUAGAAACUUGGGAAAUUAGGAUACUUAAUUUAAAGUACUCGUUCUAAACGUUUCGUAUUAAUCUCGUAUACGUAUUCUGAAUUAGGUACUCCGACUACGCAUACACAGGAGGCGGGACCCUCUCAGGGUCAAGCAGCGUGGGACUACUUGUGAGUGGACUUUGUUUUCAAAGCUUAUGCAUGGUUUUAUUGAUGAAAGAUUUAUGCAUAACGUUUUAAAUAAUUUAACGAAUAUAUUAUAUUCAUGAGUUGAAUUUGAUGUUUGUAUAGUGUUUUGGCAUAGUUGGGUAUUGAAAGUAUAUUUUAUAUAUGGAUUUUGGGAAAUAUUAUGCAUGAUGUUUUAAAUGGUAUUUUGAAUAUAUUAUUUAUGAAAUUGUUGAAAGUGAUAUUUUUAUGAGGCAUUGAAAAUAUAUUUUGGGUUUUGAUAUAUUGGAGUAUCUUGAAUACGAAUAUUUGGAUUUUGAGAAUUUCUAUAUAUAUAUUUGGCUAUGUGUGAGGUACUUGGGUUGUUGAGAUGAGAUUGUGGAAAGUGGUGAGUAUAGAAUGUCAGUUUGGUGUGCUGUAAGCACUACCCUAUGUACCUCCCUGGAUGUGGAACUUGGAUACAGAGACUUGAGAUACUUGGAAUUGUCGGAACCCGGGGCAUCCUUGACGGGAUGUUGCUGUAGACCCUUAAUUGGGUAGUCUGCGCGCGUAGGACUGAUCACAGACGUAUGGGUUUUGAGGUUAUCGACGGUACGUUCUGGCUGAGAGUUGGUCCCCCAGUUGGACGGCUCGUUCCCUAGUCACAUGGUGGAUUGAGGACUCAUCACGAGGACUCUGCCAGGGUGACUAGUCAAACAAUCCCCCGGUUGGAUUGUUUCCCCGGUACAACUAGGUGAUGGUUAUAUUUAUACUAUAUAUAUAUAUAUAUAUAUCUCUUAUAUUAUAUAUUUAUAUCUAUUCAUUCAUUCUUGUUUCUCGGUGUGGAUACUUCCUUCCCGGUCGUGCCAAUGGGUACGCUUUCGAGAGUUUACUUGUGUGAUUUAUAAGUUUUGGAUGGUGGGCUUUGUAAAGCGUUCGUUUUGGAUUUCGGACUUGGCAUCUGGUAUCGAUUUGUUUUGAUAUAUUAUAUAUAUACAUAUAUACGUGAGUAUGACGGUUUUGAGAUGCAUGGGAUUUCUUGCAUGGUUUUCUAGACGGUGGGGUUAUAUUACGUUGGUUUACAUUGAACUGAAUUUAUUUUUGUCCACUCACAAUUUUCUGUUUUGCGCCCCCCAGCCAGUAGUUGACUGAGCUCCGCAACAGAGCCGGAUCGUGAGCUUCCGAGCCUUGAGCCUUUGUAGGACUCUUUCUUCCUGUUAUUUCCUUUGCACUUUGUUUUGUUGAAAUUGAAGUUCUUAGACAUGCUCUGUUAUCGCCCCUGUUAGGGUUUGAAUUGUGAGGCCGGAGGCCAUUUUUGUUGUAAACUGUUUAUUCGCUUCAAAGCAUGCUGCUGGUUGGGAUUAUUCUGUAUUUUUAUGCAGGUUGAAUUUUGUUAGUUUGUUCAAUUCAUAAGGGAGACUCUGCCAAAAUUUUGGUAGAGAGUCUCGGUUUCAAGUAAGUGGGCCCGGCAUCGGGAUGAUGUCGGAACAAAGACGGGGUCCGCUCCGGUUUCCGGGGAAAUUCCGGGGCGGGUUCUGUCAAUAGAAGUCAAUUUAGUGAAAAAGUGGUGAACAUGAAUAACUUCUCUUGAUGAUGCAAUUAAUGCCAAUUGUAAUCGAUGUGCUAAACAAUGAACAUAGUAAGCAUAUGAGCAAUCAUUCAAAAUCAAAGCUUGUAACCCAUUCCAUUCACCUCGCAUGUUACUUGCACCAUCGUAUCCUUGUCCUCUAAUAUUUUGAAAAUUUAGUGAAUUAUGAGACAAUAUAGAGUAGAUACCUUUUUUCAAAGUUAAUGCCUUAGUGUCUGACACAUGAACAAGCCCAAAAAAAGGCUCCUGAAUAAGACCUUCUUUGUCAACAAAUCACUACACUAUAGCCAUUUGCUCUCUCUUUGGAUUCAUCACGCGCUUCAUCAACAAUUAUACAAAACUUUGAUUCCCUAAUUUCUUCACAGAUUGCUUUCUUCACUUUAGUUAAAAAAACAUGUAAAAUUUCUUUUUGGAUCUGUGGUGAUGUGUAAGGGGCAUUUUUGGGAGCUUUAUCUAAGAUAACUCCAACAACUUUUUCAUUAUAUGCAGGCAAUAUUUCUAACAUUUGAAGAAAAUUUCCACGAUUGAUUGAAUUCUUUUUUCAUCAUGGCCUCUAAAAGCACAUCCUUGGAAUGCAAGCCACGUGACUGCUUCAAUUGUUGCCUUAAGUCAUAGUCGAUUGUCUGCAAUUUGUUGGGAAGAAUAAUUCUCAACGACUUUCUGUAUAUGCUGGGAUUGAUUCAUCAAAUUCAAACAUGAUAUUUCAACAAUCUUAUGAAGGGAGUUAGGAUCUUUCCCCUUGUGAUUUAGAAAAGAACAAUUUUUUCCGGCUCUAACUUUCUUUCAACUUUGAAAUCCCUCAAGAGUGAAAGCAUUUUUCCCAUAAUGUCCAAAUGGUUUAUUAAAAAGAUAGCAUGGUAGACAAAAAGCUACAUCUUUCACAGGUGAAUAUUCUAACCACGAAGGAAAUAGUUUGAACCAUGAACUUUGAAAGCUACGCUGAUGAGUUACUGGUUGGAUACUUGGAAAGUAUAGGUUGGUAUGGACUAACGUUAAUGUAAGCUCGUCGAAUUUCGUCACGUUGAUUAACAGGAUAAUUCCAUAUUUGUGGACAUAGCCCUGGUCGAGCUCUAAAGUACUAAUAUCAACUUCAUUGUCAGUAGUCUCAAUUCUUGGAGAUCCAGAAUGAUUUUCAUAUGCUACUGUCUCAAUAUUAGAAUCAGGUACAGAUGAGGUAACUUCAAUAUGUUUUCUUUUGAAAAAUCCAUCAAUUUUAGGUUGUUUCUUCAUCUACAAUCCAAUUGCAAAUUUUAUUAAGCACAUGAUAAAUUAUACCACCAAAAAAAAAAAAAAAAUCAUAUUCUAUGCAUAGAACAUAUAAGAUACGAAACAUAUAAUUAUAACAAUGAAAACUUCAAUUUUCACUCAUAUCGCAAGACAAAGCUUGUCAUUUGGGUUCUGGGUUUUAUGUUGCUGAUGAUGAUUCAAUGCAUACGACGACUUCCACGACCUUGUUUGUUGAGUCGGUGAGGGGUGUUGUAAAACUAAAAGCUGAGUUUGCUGCAGAAUGAGUAAAAGGAAUGUGAUACUGAUUCAUUGACUUGAAGUCUAAUUAAAUACAAAUGCAAAUAACAGAAAGCUAGAAAAUAAAGCAACCUCUAAUCCCACGACUAACAACUCCUAAUAAUCUGGGAUUCUCCUAAGGAAUAGGUAAAAGCAACAGACUUCCUAACAAAUAGGAAUUUAUUGAAAAACAAACGACUAAAUAUCUUAACACCCUCCUUUAAACUGAAUGCCAUCUAUGCAAUCAGUUUAAAAAGGAACUUGAACAAACUCCAAGUAAUCCACGCAACUUCUCAAAUGCUUCCAGCUUUAGAGGUUUGGUUAGGAUAUCUGCAACUUGGUCUUCACUUCGACAAUAAACCAAAUCAAUGGUUUUUUUAGUUACAAGAUCAUGAAGAAAAUGAUACCUCACAUCUAUAUGCUUGCUUCUUCCAUGUAAAACUGGGUUCCUGGAGAGUUUAAUAGUUGAACUAUUAUCACAAUGAAUCACAGUAGGCCCAUGUUGAUGAAACUGUAGCUCUUCAAGAAUCCUUCUCAACCAAAUUGCUUGACAUGCAGAGGUUGCUGCAGAUACGAACUCUGCUUCAGUUGUUGACAAAGUUACAACCUGUUGCUUCUUUGAUGCCCAUGAUAUGGCACCUGAACCCAUCAUAAACACAUGCCCUGUUGUACUCAGCCUAUCAUCCAAAUUACCAGCAUAAUCACUGUCAGUGAAACCAAUCAAAAUAGGUCCUCCAUUUUUCUUGUAGAAAAUACCAAAAUCUGUUGUUUCUUUCAAGUAACAAAACACUCUUUUAGCAGCUCUGAGAUGCAGCUUCAUUGGUCUUUCCAUAUACCUGCUAAUUAGACACACUGCAUACAUAAUAUCAGGCCGAGUGGUUGUCAAGUACAUUAAACUUCCAACAAUUUGUUUGAAGUAAGUACUAUCAACCCUCUCUCCAUCAAGAUCACUUGAGAGCUUCAAUCCCGGUUUAGUUGGAGUCCCAACUGGAUUACAAUUCUCCAUGUGAAACCUCUCCAAAACCUCUUGAGCAUAUUUCUUUUGCCCAAUAAAAAAUCCAAUAGCUGUUUGUACUACUUCUAUACCAAGAUAAUAUUUCAUCUUCCCCAAAUCAGUCAUGUCAAAAUCAGCCAUCAUAGAAUUCUUAAAAUCAACAAACAUAGCCUCAUCAUUGCCCGUAAAAAUAAGAUCAUCAACAUAUAGGCAAACUAUCAGGAUUUUACCUUCUGCUCCAGACUUGAUGAAUAGAGUGUGCUCAUAUGGACACUUGUUGAAACCUGCCUUUUCAAAGUAUGCUUCUAUUCAAUUGUACCAGGCAUGAGGUGCUUAUUUCAGGCCAUAUAAAGCCUUAUUUAAUUUGUAAACCUUAUGUUCAUUACCUUUUAUCACAUAACCAAGAGCCAGCUCAAUGUAGACUUGCUCAAGUAGUUAACCACUAAGGAAGGCCGAUUUCACAUAAAGCUGGAAGAUAGGCCAUGAGUUUUGUGCUGCUAAUGAGACUACCAACCGAAUUGUAUCCUGUCUUGCAACAGGAGCAAAAACCUCUUGAUAAUAAACUCCAUGCUCUUGAUUAUAGCCUUUCACAACCAGCCUUGCUUUGAACUUGUCAAUUUCUCCUUUUUCAUUCAGCUUCGUCUUAUAAACCCACUUUACACCAAUGGUUUUUUGCCCUUCAGGAAGAUUGGUUAGCUCCCAAGUCUCAUUUUUCUCUAUAGCUUGAAUCUCUGCAUCCAUGGCUUUUUUUCACUUUUCUUCUUUCACUGCUUCUGCAAACAAUAUAGGAUCAGAGCCUGCAAAUAAAGCGAAAUGAGGCGUAGUAUCCUCAUCAGAUAAUUCAUCUCCACUCACAUAAUCUAUCAUCCAAGAUGGUCUUUUUCUUUGUCGUUGUGGUUCUAAGCUAGUUGCCUGAACUUCAUUUGGAAUUGAAACUCUUGCUGAAGAACUUGGUGAAACUUCUCCAAGGGACUGACCAGGAAGUUGCAAUUGUGAUUCAGACCCCUGACUUUCAAGAAGAGGUUGUAGUGGUUGUAUAAUUUCCCCGCCAGCUUCCUCAUGAUCAAUUAAAAUUUGCUGUUGUUCAGUGCUACUCCAAUCCCAUGUGUUUUCUUCAUCAAACAGAACAUCUCGACUUAUUAUUAUUUUCUUGGUAACGGGAUUAUAUAACAUGUACGUUUUGGAUUCUUCACUAACCCCAAUAAAGACACACUUCACACUUUUAUCAUCAAGCUUUGUUCUCUUUUCAUCUGGGACAUGCGCAUAUGCUAUACACCCGAAAAUUCUGAAGUGAUCAACUGAUGGCCUGACUUCACUCCAAGCUUCUUGUGGUGUUAUGUUUUUUUACAGCAAGGGUAGCGCUUUGGUUGAGUACAUGAACACUCCAAUUGACUGCUUCUGGCUAGAAAGUCUUCGGAAUACAUUUUUUUACCAACAUGCUUCGCACCAUGUUCAUAAUCAUCUGAUUCCUUCUUUCUGCCAUGCCGUUUUGCCUUGGUGUGUAUGCAGCAGUAAGUUGCCUCCGUAUUCCAUGCAAUUCACAAAAACUUGCAAAGUUAUGUGAGUUAAAUUCACCACCACGAUCUGUGCGAAGGAUCUGAAUGUACUUGCCAGAUUCUUUUUCAACUCGAGCCUUAAAGCUUUUAAAAACAACAAAAGCUUCAGAUUUCUCUUGCAAGAAAUAAAUCCAUGUUUUUCGACUAUAAUCAUCAAUGAAGGUGAUGAAAUACCUUUUGUUUCCAUUCGAUGUUGGAUUGAUUGGACCACAGAUGUCUGAAUGAACCAACUGUAGGAUUUGCUCAGCUCUCCAUGCUUUUCCUUGUGGGAAAGAAUCACGAUGUUGUUUACCAACAAUGCAAUCUUCACACAUUUCUGUGGGACAAUUAAUCUUAGGCAAUCCUUCCACCAUGUUCUUCUCAUGUAGGGUUUUCAAGCCUUUGAAGCUCAAAUGACCAUAACGAAGAUGCCACAGCCAUGUUGGAUCUUGCACUCUUGUUGAGAGACACUUUUGGGCAUCAUACUGAAUGUGCAGAGGGAACAUACGAUUUGCUGUCAUUUUUGCUUCUGCUAUGAGGCCCUUCUCUGGAUGAUGAAUUUGACACCGUCUUUGUUGGAUGAUGAUGAUAUAACCCCUCUCUUGCAGUUGGCCCAUACUGAUGAGAUUGCUUUUCAAAUCUGGGAUAUAAAACACACUAGAAAUUGUCUGCACAUUGUCCUUUUUCAUAUGGAAUUUGAUAUCCCCUUUUCCCAUGACAGAAAUGCAAGAGUUGUUCCCAAGCUUCACAGUUUCUCUGAAUGUUUCAUCCAAAUCAUAAAAUAAAGACUUGUUUCCACACAUGUGAUUGCUGCAACCUGAAUCUAAAUACCAAGUAUCACGUGAUGAAAUCUCCUUCUUGUCGAUGUAAACCAUCAAGAGUAUUUCUCCUUCAGUCUCAGCGAAAUUUACCUUGGUUUCCUUCUCAUUGUCAGGGCAUUCAUACUGAUAGUGUCCAAGCUUGUGACAGUGAUAACAUCCCACACUCGCCUUGUCAAAUUGUGCUCCUUGAUUGUAAGAAAGUUGGCGUCCUCUACCUCUGCUGCUUCCUCGAAAUCCUCCACAUCCUCUACCUCUUCCUGAAGAAGUAGUUCCUUCAUAAGUACUGACCUUCAAGGCUUGCUCCUCCACAACAUAGCUGGUCAUCCUCUGCUCAUGAACUAACAGUGAGCUUUGCAACACAUCAAUCGAAAGACUAUCAAUGUCAUCGAUUCUUCAAUGGAACACACCACAUAGUCAAAUUUGCGUGUCAUUGAGCGAAGGAUUUUCUCAAUGACUGCAACAUCUUUCAAAUUUUCUCCAUGGAUGCGCAUCUCAAUGUUCUUGCAAAGUAGUCAUUUACUGACUCUCCUUCCUUCAUGUGAAGAAUUUCAAACUCUUUGCAAAGAGCUUGGAGUUGUGCACGUUUCACCCAUGCAUGCAGUGCCUUGGUACUUCGUCUUCAUUGAAUCCCAGAUGUAUUUAGCAGUGUCCUUCUUCAGGAUGGUUUCCAAAAUGGCACGAUCUAUCGCUUGAAACAAAUAAUUCUUUGUCUUCAAAUCCUUCAAUCUCUGAUCCUCCAACGUCUUUCUCUGCGCUUCUGUCAAAACAGUCUCACUAGUGUGCACAUCGAUGCCGGUUUCCACAAGAGUCCAGUACUCCUUGGAUCGCAGAAAAUUUUCCAUCAACAUACUCCAAUGAUCAUCUUGACCAUCAAAGCGUGGAAUCGCAGGUUGCACAAAGCUGUUUUCAGAAGCCAUUGAAUAUCUUGCUGCGGCAAGAAUGAAAGCUGCUGCUUUUCCAAAUCAGAUCCUAGUGGGGGGCUCUGAUACCAAUUGUUGUAAAACUAAAAGCUAAGUUUGCUACAGAAUGAGUAAAAGGAAUGUGAUACUGAUUCAUUGACUUGAAGUCUAAUUAAAUACAAAUGCAAAUAACAGAAAGCUAGAAAAUAAAGCAACCUCUAAUCCCACGACUAACUACUCCUAAUAAUCUGGGAUUCUCCUAAGGAAUAGGUAAAAGCAACAGACUUCCUAACAAAUAGAAAUUUAUUGAAAACAAACGACUAAAUAUCUUAACAAGGGGUGUUUCCGAUUCCGCUUCCAAGAAAGGUGAUGCCUCUAUGAUUUGUGAUUCGAUUUCUGGCUCUCUUGUCUCUAAUGCUGCUUUAGUGAAAGGUGAAAUUGACAUAGCCAUUGUUGAGUCAAAGAAUGUUGUCUCGGUGUUUCAGAGUAUCAACCCGCCUCAAUUCCAUGCCUUUCCAUCUCUGGUAGGUGAACAAGUUGAAGAUUCGCUGGUAAGUGCAGUGGGUCUUGCUAUGACUCCACAGUCUGCUAUUGGCGUGAGUCGUAUUUCGGCUUUGCACAAGACUCAAUUUUGGGUGGGCUUUGAACCCAUUACUGCACAAACUCUAGUAUCAUCCUAUCAGAGUUCUUCCAAGAUCGCAGAAAUCAAGAUUCCUGCUCAAUAUUGGGUCCUAGAGUCGAGCGCCAUCUCUGCACUCUAACUGUUUUGGUCUACAACUACCAGAAUAAUAGUCUUGCACAAAAUCUUAUUGGUACUUACAUAGCUUUGUUCUUGAAUUGAAAUUCCUUGCUGGUGUUUACGAGUGAGUGAGUUAAUGUGUGUUCAUGUGAAAUUUGCGAAUGUGUUAUCUAAUAUGCUUGGGUACGACAAAGGUGAAAUUCUCAUGCAAAUAGUUUUCAGGAAUAAACAUAAGUAUAUAGUUCUGUAUUCUUUCCUUAUAUAUUAUGAGUUGUGCGAUUUCGCUUAUCUUAGAAUUGAUUCAGUCCUUUUCAUGAAUGAGCUCUUAGUAUUAAUUAUUAUGUUCCAUGUUUGAAUAAUGCUCUCUCUUCUUUCUCCAUUUAAAUCUUCCUUUGGAUGUCUGUCUUUGUUGAUGUAUCUUAAUCCAAGCAUUUACUGUCUUGUAAUUAUAUCUAUAUUUCUGGUUUAGAGGUUAUUUGGCACCAAAGUACGCAAUACUGAGGGCAAUUGACAAGGAAAGCAGAUAUUUAUACCUUUGGGGUGCUCCUUGUGAAAAUAGUCAGUGGAAGAUGUAAUACAAAUACACGACUACCAAUUGACGAACAGUAUCUGCUUGAAAGGGAAUUAAUUUCAGAUUUAUCUGUCCUUACAAGCUUUUUCUUUCAAUUUGUUUAAAUGAAAAACAUUAGAUGGCAAUUGCAUGUGUCAUGUGAUUUUGGUAGAUGCAGUUUUGCUUUCAUAUUUCCUGAUCACAGUAAUUUGGGUACUGCUAAACUCCUGUUGGUAUUUAAAAGAAAAAAAAAUUGGUCUUUGAUAUGCUGCACAUAAACUGAUAAGGCUUCUGAAGUUUGCAACCUUGUUUCCCAUCAAUUCGUUUGUUGCUGGACAAUUUUGUACAGAUGUUGUUUUUACAAAUUUUUGUGUGUGUGUGAGUUGUGUGUUCUAACAGCUUCCUUCAUAGCCAUGUUGGCUUGUAUUACCAAAGAGCAGGUGCAAGGCAUGGUGAUGAGGGAAAAGGCUGAAUUUUUAUUGAAAUGCUUGUAGUAACUAGUUGUUUGAGUCAUUGAUUCAUUUAUGUCAUAAUUCCUAUUUUAUUUGAGUAUAUAAAAAAACAUGUAAGAAGAUAUUACAAUUAAUCUAAAGCUAUUAAAUUGUAAUAUUGCAAGUUAAAAUGCAGUUGAAUUCAAUAAAUGUAAAAAUAGUUCAACAACCAUUUUGAAUGCUCUGAAACACAAGAAAUAAUACAAAGGGGCUAUCUUUAUCAGACAAAGAAAAGCACGUGGUAAAGCAGUUUCAAUAAAUGAGGGGCUCUUCUGUUUCUAUUCUGUCACAGAUUUUUUCAUCUUCUUCUUCCUCCCUCUCUUAUUCAUCUAUUUCUUAUUGUAUGGUAGUCCAAAAAGAACAAAAUCAUACCAGCCAUUUUUACAAAGGGAAUAAAUAAGCUGGAGCUGUGGAGGUGGAGGGGCAAGCUGCGAAGUCGUCGAACCCAGAUCCCGUAGGCUCCGUCUCAGUAUUCUCGCAACCUCCAUCUCAGUACCUUCGCAGCCACAAGUUAAUCACCAAAACCGAGAAAACCAAACCGUUUGACCGGUUAACCGGAGUUGGUGGUUCGGCUCCGGUGCCAGAAAUCUCUCCACCGAAAGCUACGGUUCGGCGUACGGUUUUGGGUAAAACCCAAACCAAACCAAACCGUGCUCAGCCCUAGGCAGGGAGUUGCAAAAGAUGGCGGUCAACGUGAGAGUGAGGGAGUCAAUGGUAGUGAAGCCAGAGGAGGAAACGCCAAAACGGGCACUGUGGAUAUCGGACUUGGAUGUCGUGAUUUCGAGAACUCACGUUGGAAGUGUCUACUUCUACAGGAGGCCAAAUGUCAAAACGGCGCGCAUCAUCUUCAAAACAACUGUGUUUUGGAUUCGGAGGUGUUCAAGUGCUCCCUUGCCAAGGCCCUCGUGCCCUUCUACCCCGUGGCCGGCCGCCUUAAGCUGAAUGAUGAGGGACGUAUCGAGAUCGAUUGCAAUGCAGAGGGAGUGCUGUUUCUUGUGGCGGAGACUGACUCGGUCCUCGAUGAUUUCGGGGACUUUGCGCCGACUCUUGAGUUCCGGAAGCUCAUUCCUG